UAACUAAAUGCACAUGUUAUAUGUACGAGUUUUGCUUAUGUCCGUAUUCUUCUUCUUCACAUGAUGCACAAAAUGUUUAAAUUUGAUGGUACAUAAGAUAAAAUAUUGUAAACAGAAUAAUAUAAGAUGCAGCGUACAUGGCAGAUUCUUCCGGUCCUCAGUGUUCCAAGUCAUGUAAACUCUCAACAGCCUUCCAGGUAACCUUGACAGAAAUUUUUGUGGAAUCAUGAAGAUACACCAUUUCAUGCACUGUUCCAUGAUACCCCGAACCAAAUCGACCUUCCCACAUACAACACGGCAGCUCUUGAGAAAAACCACCAUCUUUCGGGGAUCCUUCGAUACAAAGAAUAAGGUAACUGUAUCUCAUCACUCCUACGACCGAACUCAUUCUGCAACCUGAUUCUGUAACUCCAGAAAGGAGGCGGAUCACAUCUCUGAAGCCACUCGUCUUCGCAUAAAGAUUCAGAUUAAGGCCAUUGACAGGAGCAUGAAGUAUCUCAACAUCAACUUUUGCUUGAACUGCAUUCCACAACACCAGAAACUUCAUAUCCAAUCCACACUUUUCCCCAUACAGACGCCGAGUUUCGAUGAAUGGUCUUGUUUUGUGCAUGUUCAUAAACUCAGUAAACUCGGUACAUCCUUCAAUCAGAAGGUCAUCUUUUGGCCCAUCUUCUGGCUGGUCAUCAGUCCGUACAGAAAGCUUGAAUUCAAACAACACACGGCUUCCCAUGUGAAUACAUCGAGCAGGGCUAGUCAGCGAUAAAUGUGCAAUGCCCUACAUUAAGGAUCAACAAGCAUUACAUCAUAUAAAUAGUUCAUACUCAUUAGUUACUAGGAAUUGAUGGCAUAUCAUCACCACAUGUGCAUGAAUAGAAAAAAGACAAGUGUUCUGUUUAAUAGUGAUCAUCUGACUUUGAAAGUUGCCCAGUGAAUGAAAGAUAAAUUUGAGCUUGCACAUUAAAGAAGAGUUUGAAUGAUGCCCAAAAAUACAGAUUAUUAAUAUCUUGUGUCAUUGAUUAACAUGUGUUGUGUGCUAUGGUUCGGGAGAGGCUCUUGCACUUGGGGCAAGAUAGAAAAAUUAAUCAUCCAAUUCUUGCUUGCUUUACUCCUUAUAGAGGGUCCUCUUUGUAUAGAGGUCCUACAAUACAAUAUAGGUAACAAAUCAUAGAUCAUAUGUCUUAACUGGCUGAAUGCCCAAGCUAAAAGAUACCUUCCUAAUUUAAAAUAAAAACUUCGAAACAAAGUGAUCACAAGGAUCCUCUACCGAACUUGGUGCUGGAUGAGCCAUGUACUAAACGUACAAAUAAAACAUGCAUAGCACAAACUUGCAAGAACACCGACUAAAUCUGGUGUGAUAAAGAAAAGCGUGCAGGUAGAAAGAUGCAAGUUUGCGGAACUACCGUAUCCCGCUUCACAUUUACAGCUUCAUAAUUGUCAAUCCCACGCCUGUACACAUAGUUGCGCAAAGGUUCACCAUUCUCACGUACUGCGAAAAAACCAAAUAUAUUGGCACAUCCAGGUUGGACGUGGCGAUAACCAGCAGUUUUGAGAUCAAUGAACUGCAGCACGCCGCUCGGUACACAAUGGCAACCGUGUGAGCAAUCAAUGGCCCUAACAUUGUUGUUCACGUUGACUGAGAAAACAAUAAGGGAAGCAUGUGACAUAUAAGAGAUUUCAAAUUAGUAAGAAUAUGCUCAUAUGACGUAUGGCCACAACUGAAAUUAAUCAGAGAUUUCAAAUUAGUAAGAGUAUGCCAGAACUGAAAUUAAUCAUUUUUUUAUAAAAAUAUAUAUACCUUCAGACUCAUCAUAGAGUUGAUAUUGGCUACCGAAGAAAUGCUUGUGUUUUUCAACAAGGGGAUUGUUGAAUGCCCGGAAAAGAAACGUUGCCGAAGGGCCUCGAAGUUGAAUAUCAGGAUUUUGGAACACAGCAUCAGAUUGCUCAUCAAACUCACUACUAACCCUUGGGAAAUCAUCAACGGUAAAAGGUUGGUAUUUCUCUGCAUGAAAAAACAUUAAAAUAAUCAAGUCAAUAGAACAAAAUGAAGGAUAUUACUUUUUUCUUCUUCUAGAAUACGCAUGAGCAUCGAUAUAUUCAUAGAAGAAGGAUCUUAAGUUUAGACCAAGUAGAAGCACCAACUAUUAUUGAUACGGGAUAUAGCACAAGUUGGUUUAAAAUCCCUUGAUGAAUCACUUGAGAAAGCUUAUCUGUUAAACCAACUGCAAGCUACAUGGCUGUAUACAUGCAUAGGAAUCUAUGUUUCUCAAGACAAAGAUGCCUAUAUUACAAACAUGGUCACCGCGUGUAUGAUCCGGAAGGAACUGCACUAUGGUUCAAUUCAGGAAACUUAAACCAAGUUAGGAAAAAAAGUACCAAUCUCAACUAAUCUAACGUAGUAACUGCUCCGGUGAAAUAGCCAGCUAAUUUCAAGUCACUUGAAAGUUUCUUGGAUCAAGGACUGAUUUACUCUGUAUUGGCUAUGUGACUCUGCCGUGUGGCUUUAUUUAUAAAGUCGGACUUAGGCCUUUUUCGUAAAUAAAAAAGGACUGAUUUACUCGGGAAUCAAAUUGCAUCAGGAUACACAUGUAUUCAGGGAUCAAAUUGCGUCAUCAGGAUACACAUGGAGCCUCACCUAGGUCUUCAUCCUCGUCUUCGUCAUCAAUGACAGCCUGAUGGUCGUCGUCCUCAAUGCUGGCGGUAGACAUGGCCGAGUCUACGCCGUCGCUCGGAGGAGUUGAGGGGGAAGGUGGCCUCUUCAUUUCCGUCUCCGAUUCGCCUCCGCUGGACAUCGAUGCCGCCGCCGCCGCCAGCGAGAGGAAGAGAAAGCAAGGUACGAGUUCGAUUGGUGGAUCAGGUUGUCAGAGACAUAUGCGCUUUCUUGUCUCGGAAAUUCUAACAGGCUGGAGCUGGCCCAAUUCCUCUGAGGCCACUCUGGGUGCCUCGCCAGAUCCAGGUCACGGCGUGCCUUGCCCCCUACAUCCAUCGUCCAAAUCAAUCCUAUGGCCAAGCGAGUCAGCAUGUAGACGGAGGAAAACUGCGUGGGCUGAGGAAACAGGGAAACAGAGGCGCUUCGCGGGCGGAGCUCUGUCGGACUGAGAGGAGUGAAAUGUAAAAAACCAUCACAUUGAAGCAUAGGUUUGCAGAAAAUAUUGGUUUACGAAUUUCUAUCAAACCACUAAAUUUUGGCCUAAUCUUUUGCAAAAAAUAAUAGUCGGCGGCUUUGGCUCAUUUGCUAAUGUAUAUCUAUCUAUAUCUAUAUCUAUACCUACUAUUAAAGGGAAUAGGUAUUUUUGGUUUGGUUUAGUCCUUUUCAUUUAGUUUAUACACGCUAAGCAAUUUGGGCCAUGUAUUUGUAUGUCGAUGGGCCUUUUAUGGGCUUUUGUUUGGUUAAACACGUGACCUCCUGUCUAGCUCUUUGAUGUAACAACCAACGACCUAUGCGCCUUUCACAUUUACUAAUGCCAACUCCCUCUAAAUAUACGAGUGACAGUCAUCAUGUUUAGGGCGAGCUAAUUAAGCGAAUGAGCUAAUAAAAGACGGAUUGUGGGUUUAAAUAGAAAAUUCAAACGGAUGUGGCUAAUUAAAGAAAGGAUAUGGGUAAACCGGUGGAAUAACUAAAAGAAUGAUUGUGGUCUUAAUAAAUUCUACAUGAAGGAUUUGAGGUAAAAAGGUAGGAUAAUUAAAAAGAAGGAUCUGGAGGCUUUAAUGUGUUGGGCCUACUAAAUUAGAAAAUGAAGGAUUUGAUUCCCGACUAAAACGGUGAGGACAUCAUGGUAAUUAAUGAAAUGAUUAUAAUUAAAUGCCAUUAAGAAAGAAUUUUACUUAAAUAGAAUCAAUGUGAGAUUAUGCCCGGCAAAGAAGAACACGGUUAAACUGCAACAAAUUCUUUUAUGUUCAUUUUGUAGAAGGAUGCUAGUUGCGGCAUGUUCUUCAUAAUGAAUCCGGUAUUAUGAGACAUUAUGCUUGCAGCUAAUAAAAGAAGGAUUGUGGGCUUAAAUAGAAAAUUCAAAUGGAUGUGGCUAAUUAAAGAAAGGAUAUGGGUAAACCGGUGGAAUAACUAAAAGAAAGAUUGUGGUCUUAAUAAAUUCUACAUGAAGGAUUUGAGGUAAAAAAGUAGGAUAAUUAAAAAGAAGGAUCUGGAGGCUUUAAUGUGUUGAGCCUACUAAAUUAGAAAAUGAAGGAUUUGAUUCCCGACUAAAACAGUAAGGACAUCAUGAUAAUUAAUGAGAUGAUUAUAAUUAAAUGACAUUAAAAAGGAUUUUACUUAAAUGGAAUCAAUGUGAGAUUAUGCCCGGCAAAGAAGAACACGGCUAAACUGCAACGAAUUCUUUUAUGUUCAUUUUGUAGAAGGAUGCUAGUUGCGGCAUGUUCUUCAUAAUGAAUCCGGUAUUAUGGGACAUUAUGCUUCCACAAAACUUCUAUUUUUCCCGUUGCAACGCACGGGUAUAUGUGCUAGUGAUUAUGACAGAUGAAGCGCACCAUUUGCUGAUGUGGACUAACAGUCCACAAUAAACGACGUUAGAGAGGUCUUUUGCCAAAAAUACCUCCCCUCUCUGAAAAAAUUACCUUAAAAAAAGUCAACCACCAGAAAGCGUUCGCCCGUCCGAGCUGCGGCCCACGCGACCUGAUUCCUCUGUCCCCAUCGGAGGCGGUGGUGGCGCAGCAGCGGUGGGCGCUGCCUUCGCGGCGAGGGUGUAGCUGAGGGGCGGCUCUCCGGUCGGCGACCUGUGCCUGUGGACGCGAGGAGGGGGAGAUGGGCCCGGGACGUCGGGGACGCGCGCGGCAGCAGCGACCGCGAGUCCGACAACCCCUCCGACCUCGCCACCUCGCCCUUCUCCAUCCUCCCUCCUCACUCUUUUCCGAGCCGGUGCCGCGCAUCCCGGCUUCCCCUCCCCUUCUCCUUCCUUCCUCUGUUUUUCACAAGCAAGCCUCGCGUAGCACGGGCAGGAGCAGCACGGGCAAGCAGCGGUGCGGCCUCGCAUCCUCGUACAGCACGGGCACGAAGCAAGCAGCGGCCUCGCGCAGCACGGGCACGAGCAGCGGUGUCGACGCACAUCACUGGAGCAAGAAGCGGCGCGGCGGCGCACAACACGGGCACAAGCAUCAACAGCGGCAUGCAGCCCCGGAGCAAGCAGCGGCAUAGCCGCACGCAACAUUGCCGCGACCAUACACUGUGAGCUCCGCCGUUGCCGGUGCGUGGCGUGGGCGGCAGCCCAAGAGCGCGCGGUGGCUGGCGGCAGGCUACAGCCGAGUUGGGCAUGGCAAGGGCUUGAUUGCAUUUUGUUUUAUGAUUGAAGGGUGCCUAUGCAAAAAUACUAGGGACAAUUUGGUAAUUGUCUAACGCCAAUUGAGACCAACGGUUACGCCAUGUCAGCUUUUGUCGGCCCCGCAUGUCAUAAUCAAGGUUAAAAUGGCCAAAGCUACUGAUUAGUGUUUUUUGCAAAAGAUUAGACCGAGAAUCAGUGGUUUCCGGCGGAAAUUCAUAAACCGGUGUUUUCUGCAAACCUAGGCUCUAAUGUGGUGGUUUUCUACAAUUCACUCGGACUGAGAGCCCAAUAGUCGUCAUCCUCGAUGCUGGCGAUAGACUUGGCCGAGCCCACGCCAUCGCUCGGUGGAGUUGAGGGGGAAGGAGUCGCCUUCACCUCCUUGUGAACCUCCAUGACGCCGCCGCCAUCACCGCCAGCCAGAGGAAGCGAAAGCAAGGUACGCGUUCGGCUGAUGGAUGAGGCCGUCGGAGAAACAUAGGAAUUUCGCAACAACGACAAAAAGACACAGGACAUUCUAACCAGCUUGGCGCAUGCCAACUCGUCUCCAGCUACUUUUGGUCUCGAGGAUUUUGAAAGAAUGUCGUAGAAUUUUAGUUUAUAGAAAAUUUAAUGGAAAUAUUAAAAAGAUUUUUAGGCACGAAAAUCAAACAUUUUUCAUGGCAGUUUAUGUUAGCAUAUGGUUCACAAAUUUAGUUGGCGAGCACAACAAUUUUCUAUAAAAAUAAGUAAACUGGUCUGAAUUUGCCAUGAUCGUCAACUAAACUUGUCAUCCUCGGCAAACAUAAAUUUCCAUCAAAACAUUUGAUUUGCCAUGCCUAAAAAUCUGACGUUCGCUCGAUAUUCAUAUAUUCCGGUCCAAUUUUAAUCUAUAGUUAGGCCCAUCAGCCGGCACUUUUCACCUAUGGUUAUUUUUGGUCCCUAGUUUUUGAUGAUUGGUCGCCAGGGAGAUGCUUUCAUCGAACGAUUUCGUCCACCCAAGAGGAGCAGCUGUGAGUGAACGUUUUACCUUGUUCGUUAGAGGGCGGGAUGGUGCAAACCCUCGAUUGGACCAAAAGGCCGAGAUAACAGUUUCCAUAUUCAAAAAAUGGCACGAACAAAAAACAUAAACAUUCCUUGUUGGGAAUUGGGAUAAUUCUUGAAGUUCUCCUCAUGUCCGCCCCAGCUUGAAGCUGUCACACACCUAGAGGGCUCCUGGGUGUCUAAGAGCGUGGCGGCAUCCUUCAGCCCCAUGCGGGUGGCGUCAGUACGCGCAUCCACCAACCGAAGAUGGUAUGACCGUGUGUAAUUUAUCUAUGAUGGUCAGUAAGUGCAUCUAGUGCCCCUCAGCGAUUUUCGUGUAUUUAAGACUUACAGGUUAAGGAACAAAUAUGUUUGUGAAUGUACACAGGCUCUAUAAGUCAAUGAGGAGUUUAAUAUUUAUGAUGAAAGUCGACCCUUAUAAAUGUAUGUCUUCAACUGAAGACUUUGGUUCUCCUGAAGAUUUUGAAAGUGAAGAAAUUGGUGUGACCUUGAAGACUUGGAUAUUCAUGCGAGGAUUGUGAAGCGUGAAGACUUUUGUUUUCAUAGUUUCAUUUUCUCUUUGUUGAGUUAUAGAAAACACCGUACUAUUAAAGGUGGUCGAGGUAAUACUAAGGAAACUGAUUUUCAAGUGAUGCUCAUCUCAAAAUCCUACACCUACACAAUCCUUUUGAGUGAAGCAAUUGGAAAUCUCAUACCAGUUCAGUCAAUUUCUUCAGUGACAGAGAUAAAGAUCUUCUGGUCUCUGAGGAAUUUGUUCUGACUGAGGAGUUAAGAAUUCGCCAGUGCGAAUUGCAUACACAGUGAGGAACAUGAUAGCCCUGAGGAAUUUGAACCUCAUAUUUCUGACCGUUGUUGUGCUACGCGCGAGCUGUUCAAAAUAUCUACCCACCUAACGGUCAUAUUAUUGAAGGGCAUUUAUGUCUUAUCAUGUCGGUCUGCUCCCUAGGCUAUAAAUAGUCGCCCCCUACAACCACUAGCUGGUUGGCUGCUCCGAGAGAAACUGACACUUGUCAUUGAGAGCAUCCCAUCCUUCGAGGACUUUGAGCGAAAAUCAUCAAGUGAGGAAAAACCCAAAACCCAAACCCAGACACCUACAAACCCAAAGUGAUUGAGCAUCACUGAAGAGAUUAUUCUUGUGUGGAACCGAUGCUUGUUACCUUUGAGGACUGUGUAUCCUCCAGACGAUUAGGCGUCAUGGUCUGAGCAUCCAAGAGAAAUUGUGGAUCGCCAAGUGACCAAGUCUGUGAAGGUUUGGAAGUCACCUGAAGACUUACCAUGAGUGUUGGGCGAGGUCUGUGUGACUUUAGCUCAAGGAGAAUACGUGAGGACUGUGUGUCCGGGACUAUGUGUCCUCAGGUUUAAAUACCUAGCCGCUCCAACCAGACGUACAACUGUCGCAGCAGUUGGAACUGGUCUACCAAAUCAUUGUCUUCACCAAGCCAACUGGUUCUAUUUCCUCAACCCUUUCAUUUCCUCAUUCAUGUGAUUGAUGAACUUGCUCAUUACUGUUUGAAGACUUUGACUGAAGACUUUCUCUAUUUCCUCAGUCCUAAUUCUUCUGUCACAUAGUCUUCAACCUGCUUAUCAUGUUUUCACGCUAUCUGUACUCUGUGCUUAUUUUCAUUUCAUCAUGAUGACUAUGUUGUUGCUCUGUUAUGCUUAUACCGGAGUACUUAUUCCGCCGCUAGUGUGUCGUUGGUUAGGAAUUUCUUCACCUAGAAAUUCAUCAGUGAUGAAUUUGUAAAAAAUAGCCUAUUCACCCCCCUCUAGUUGAUAUAACGCACAUUCAAUUAGUAUCAGAGCAAGGUACUCCCUUGUUCUGUGUGAUUUUGGUUCAACUACCUGGAGUUUUAGUUAUGUCGAUUGCAGGAAUGAUCAAGAUCUUGGUUGGGUGUCCUACCUUCGAUGGGACAGACUACCCCUACUGGAAGAACAAGAUGCGCAUGCAUCUUGAGGCAAUUGAUAAUGAUCUCCGGUAUGUUGUGGAAAAUGGUGUUCCCUCAGUCACUCCGUCUGUGAAUGUUGCUGAUGUGAAGAGAUUAAAGCAACUCAACUCUCAAGCGAAGAAUAUCAUAUGUGGCCAUCUGAGCAAAGGACAGUACGGCAGAGUGAGUGCUUUGGAAAGUGCUAAGCUGAUUUGGGACAGGUUGUCCAAGGUCAAUGAAGGAGUCUCCACUCAACGUGACUCCCGAGUUGAUGUUAUUCUGUUGUAGGGUGAAACCCUAGAGGGGGUCUUUUCACACUUGGAGGGGGAAAAGGAGGAAGAACACUCAAGAACACAAGGCACAAAACACUCGAACAAACACAAAUAUCACAUCCACUAGAGUAGCAUACUUGAGAUCCACAAGAUUACAUGAACAAUUCAAGGAAAAUAGCACUAGGUAAGUUCUUCCCACUAGGUGAGGCCUUGAUGAUGAUAUUCUCCAAGAGGAGGCCUUGAGAAUCCAAAGGAUUCUUCCCUAGGUGGGGGCUUGAUCUCCAAGAGGAGGGGAUACAAGGAGCAAAGCUCUCUUUGGUGUUCUAAAAUACUUUGCUAUCCUUCCAAAUGAGCUAGGAGAUGAGUAUAUAAAGGCUAGGGAAUAAAAUUGGAGAAAGAGGGGUACAAAGGACCAAAAAGUCCCUAAAAUGCGUGGCCAUGGAAGAAGGGUCCGGGCACCCAGGGAGGAACCGGCCGGGCACCCAGACCGGUCAGAGGCCAGCGUCCACGCGGGACCGGGCACCCGGUGGCGAAGGGGCUGGGCACCCGGCUAGGUCAGGGGCUGGCGGGCAAGCGGCCGGGCACCUGGGGGUCCCAAGCCCGGGCACCCGGGGUGGCUCCCAGCGACUGGCAGGGCAUGGGCCAGGCACACGGGGCCGGUUGGCCGGGCACCCGGGGCGGGCUGGGCGAGGCCCAAGUGGAGGGCCGGGCACCCGGGGCCGGCUGGGGCGCAGCCCAGGCAGUGGCCGGGCACCCGGGGCCGAGAUGGCCGGGCACCCGGGGUGUCCAGGGGGUUCAGGCCUCCCCAUGUCUUUGAGUCCGGGCACCCGGGUCCUUCCUUCCGGGCACCCGGGGUGUCCAGGAGCUUCUCCCCUUCAUUCUUCUUGUUCUCCUCUCCUCUCCCUUGCUCCAUGGAUGCUCGAGUCUCCAUCUUCUCCUUCUCACGAUCAUCUUCUUGGUGUCUAAGAAUGCAUAGCACGUCUCUUUGAGGUAGAACCCAAUUCUCAUGUGAAACCGAAAGAAACUCGAAGAGGAUAGAAUUGACCUCGUUCUCGAUGUUGCGUGCACGUGCUCUUGUCAUUGGUCCUCUUGGUGCUUGCGAUGGUGAUGGAGUGUCGGUGCGGGUAGUCGAGGGAUGCUCCGCAUCAUCUCCCCCCCUUGGGAGAGAUCCGACCACGGAUCGUGCUCUUCAUCACCAUGGUACUUUGCCAAGUCUUUGACGUUGAAGAUGUCGCUAACGUUGUACUUGUCACGUGGGAUGUCGACCUUGUAGGCAUUGUCGUUGUAGCGUGCGAGCACCUUGAAUGGUUUGUUGGCUCUCGGGAGUAGCUUGGACUUGCGUUCCUUGGGGAAACGGUCCUUGCGGAGAUGUAUCCAUACUUGAUCACCCGAUUGGAACACCAUCGGAGACUUGUUGAUGUUGAGCUUGGCGGUGAGUCGUUGUACUUGGCGCUCGAUCAUGGAACGGUUUCUUCAUGCAUCUUCUUGAGGUAGGCGGCUCUUGCACUUGCAUCCAUGUUUGCUCGUUCUUGAAGUGGUAGAGGAAGGAUGUCCAAUGGUGACAAAGGGUUGAAACCGUAGACGACCUCAAAGGGGGACUUGAAGGUGGUAGAGUGUCUUGCGCGGUUGUAGGCGUACUCGGCGAUGGGUAGGCACUCCUCCCACUCCUUGAUGUUCUUCUUGAUCAACACGCGUAGGAGAGUUGCAAGCGUCCAGUUGGUGAAUUCGGUUUGGCCAUCGUUUGAGGAUGAUACGCCGUGGAGAAGAGUACCUUGAUUCCGAGCUUGGCGCAUAGCGUUUUCCAAAAGUAGCUUAAGAACUAGACGUCUCGAUCCGACACAAUUGUCUUUGGCACACCAUGCAACCUCAAGAUUUCCCUACAAAAGAGAUUGGAAACAUGUGAAGCAUCGUCUAUCUUAUUGCAUGGGAUAAAAUGAGUCAUUUUAGAGAAUCGAUCCAAAACAACAAAAAUGGAGUCUUGCCAUUUUGAGUCCUAGGUAAUCCAAGCACAAAAUCCAUGCUAAUGUCUUCCCAAGGUUGAUGUGGAAUAGGUAAAGGCGUAUGUAAACCAUGAGAUUGAGAGUGCGACUUAGCUUUGCAACAUGUAGAGCACCGGUUGGUGAAGCGGGCGACAUCAAGAAACAUCUUGGGCCAAUAAUAAUUCUUGGAAAGCAUGGCAAAAGUCUUGUCGCGCCCAAAGUGUCCCAUGAGUCCACCUCCGUGAGCCUCUUGCAAAAGUAACAAACGAAGAGAAGACUCGGGAUUGCAUAGUUUGUUAGCUCUCAUAAGAUAACCAUCUUUGAUAUAAUAUCGUUCCCAAGAAGUAUGUGUCACACACUUAGCAUAAGGAGUAGCAAAAGUCACAUCACUCUCAUACAAAUCUUUGAUAUGAUCAAAUCCAACUACAUUCAAUUCAAGUUGAGUAAGUAACAUGCAUUUGCGGGAAAGGGCAUCCGCCACAACAUUUUCUUUGCCCUUAAUGUACUUGAUCACAUAGGGAAAAGAUUCAAUGAAUUCACUCCAUUUAGCAUGUCGUUUAUUCAACUUGGUUUGACCUUUAAGGUAUUUAAGUGUUUCAUGAUCGGUAUGUAUGACAAACUCAUGUGGUCUAAGGUAAUGCUCCCAAACAUGCAACACACGCACUAAAGCAUACAAUUCUUUGUCAUAGAUGGGAUAGUUAAGUUGAGCACCGGAGAGUUUUUCACUAAAGUAUGCAAUAGCUCGCUUUUCUUGCAUCAAAACUCCACCAAUUCUGGUACCACUUGCAUCGCAGUGAACCUCAAAAUUUCUGUCAAAGUUGGGUAAAGCAAGAAUCGGAGCAUGAGUAAGCAAAGAUUUGAGCUCAUCAAAAGUGGUAGGUUGCAAAGGUCCCCAAACAAAAGGAGCAUUUUUCUUACUCAAAGCAUGCAAAGGUGCGGCGAUGGUGCUAAAACCUUUCACAAAGCAACGAUGGAAACCCGCAAGGCCAAGAAAGCUACGCACUUAUUGCAAAUUAGUGGGUUGGGGCCAAGUUUUAAUUGCUUCAAUUUUAGAUUCAUCAACAUGGACACCCUUUGAGGAAACAACGAAACCCAAGAAGACAAGCUUGUCAACACCAAAAGUGCAAUUUUUCAUGUUGGCAUAAAGACGUUCCUUGCGAAGAGUUUGCAAAAUGGCCCUAACAUGAUUUAGAUGAUCUUUGAUGGAUUUGCUAAAAACAAGUAUGUCAUCGAAGUAGACCACAACAAACACUCAAAUGUAAGGACAAAGCACGAAAUGCAUAAGACGCAUGAAAGUACCGGGAGCUUCCGAUAAACCCAUAGGCAUCACCAACCACUCGUACAAGCCAAAUUUUGUUUUGAAAGCGGUUUUCCAUUCAGCACCUUCUUUUAUGCGGAUUUGAUAAUAGCCACUUUUAAGAUCAAUUUUUAAGGAAAUGGUGGCGCCGCUAAGUUCAUCUAGCAUAUCAUCUAGGCGAGGAAUGGGAUGCCUAUAACGAACGGUGAUAGCAUUGAUGGGCCUACAAUCUGAGCACUUGCGAAAACUACUAUCUUGCUUGGGCACAAGUAUAAUCGGAACGACACAAGGGCUUAAGAUUUCACAUACAUGUCCGUUGUCGAUGAGUUGUUGUACUUGCCAUUGGAUCUCCUUAGUUUCUUCGGGGUUGACGUGGUAGGGAGCCUUGUUUGGAAGAGGUGCGCCAGGGAUGAGGUCGAUCCUAUGUUUAAUGCCACGUAGAGGAGGGAGACCGGGAGGUAGCUCAUCGGGAAAGACAUCCUCGAAUUCCUGCAACAAGUUGGAAAACACUAGAGGAAGAGGAUUAGGAUUGUUACUUUUGGUCACCUCAUCUUUGCAUAAGAGGACAAAGUGGAUGACGUUCGAUGGGUUCUCACACACUUCUCUCAUCUCUCUUUUUGUGGCUAAGAGGACUAAGUUUUUCUCUCUUUGCGAAGAGGCGCUCAAUUUUGGCUUGUGGCUCUCACUUUCUUUUUGGGGGUGCACUCUCUCACUAGUAUCUCCAUGAUGGGUGGAAGCUUGCUUGUCGGUGAUCACUUGGCUUGGUGACAUUGGUCGAAGCACAUACUCCUUGCCUUUCAUCUUGAAGCUAUAGUGGUUGGUUCGUCUAUUGUGGAUGAUGCCCCGGUCGAAUUGCCAAGGUCUUCCCAAAAGAAGGUGGCACACGGACAUAGGAACCACAUCACACUCUAAGGUGUCCUCGUAGGCGCCGAUCUUGAAAGAAACUUGCACCGUGUGCUCCACUUGAAUGGUGCCGGAGUCGCUUAGCCAUUGCACCUUGUAGGGACGAGGGUGCUUCUUCUUGACCAAUUGCAGCUUGGAACAUAGCUCUUCACUUGCCAAGUUGUGACAACUACCUCCGUCAAUGAUGACCUUGAUGGAGCGCCCAUUGAUGCCGGCCUUGGUGUGUAAGAUGUGGCACCGUUGGUCUUCGUCUUGCUGGUGUUGGAGCGUCAAGACCUUGGAGACCACGAGAGAGGGACUUGAAUAGUUGUCACAAAAGACUUGAUCAUCUUCAUCUUCGUUCACGCGCCGGUGCAUGGCCAUGUGCUCAAUGGAUUCCAUUUCUUCUUCACUCAUCGAGUCGUAUGUGCCAUCAUCGUUGAAGAUCAUUGUUCACUUGUUGGUGCAUUGGAAGGACUUGUGUCCUCAGCCGUCACAUGUGAAGCACUUGAAUGAACUUGUCUUGACGGGAUCAUCGGUAGGCGCCGAAGAUGAAGGAGUCUUGGAUUUGUAGGUGCUUGCCGGAGGACGAGUCGAGGAAGGCGCAACUUGCUUGGAACUUGACUUGUCGCUGGUACUUGGUGAUGCUCUAGUUGAGGUAGGAGGUGCCGAAGUCGCGGGAGCUUGAGAGUAGGAGCCGUAGGUCUUGGACGAGUACUUGGCGUAUUUGAAGUCAUCUUGCACUUGUCGCUCGGCCUUGGUAGCUUGAUGAACUAGCUCGAGAAGGUUUGAGUAUGGUUGGAAGCCGGCAAUCCGCUUGAUUGGGUGGUUGAGGCCGUUCAAGAAGCGUGCCAUUGUUUGCUCGUCGUAUUCCUUGACAUUGGCUCGUAUCAUGGCAAUCUCCAUUUCUUGGUAGUAUUCUUCCACCGUCUUCGUGCCUUGCUUGAGGAGUUGCUACUUCUUGAAGAGAUCUCGGGUGUAGUGAGUAGGCACGAAGCAGUCUCUCAUGACUUCCUUCAUUUAUUCCCAAGUUGUGAUUUGUGGUUCACCUCUUGUAUGUCGUCGCUCGAUCACUUGUUCCCACCAAAUGAGGAUGUAGUCUUGGAACUCGAGGAAGGCCAUGGCGAUCUUCUUUUCCUCGUCGUAGUUGUGAAGGCAGGAAAUCUUGUCCACCUUCAAGGCCCAUGAGAGAUAUUCUUCGGGUCAUUGCUUACGGAGAACUUGGGCAUGGUGAACUUGAGCUUGCCGUAGCGGAGUUCUUCAUCAUGGUAGCGGUUUUGAUAUCUCUCUUGCCGUGGAGGAAGGUCCUCAAAUGCUCGUUCCUUGCGAUGUCGCUGUUGGCGUGGAGGAGGGUCUUGAAGCACUUGUUCCGCUUGGUGUCGCUCUUGUCUUGGAGGAGGACAAGGAAUAUGUGCUUGGUUGCGCCUUUCUUGUUGCUCUUCGCGUCGGGCGGCUUCUUCUUGCAUCUCGCAACAAAGAGCUUCCUCUUGUUCUCGCACUUGGUGGUUACGGUCUUCAAUGGCUCUAGUGGCCUCGCGUAGUGCUUGUUGUGCUUCGAGUGCUUGUGCUUGACGGAUGGCGUCAUCUUCUAGAGGUACUUGAUGUGGCGCUUGUGGAGGUAUUUUCUCUUGCUCCCUUGCUUCUUGCGCUUGGUGUUGCACCCUUUCACGUGCUCAAACUCGGUCUUGUAAGCCAUUGCCAUGGAACGGAUUUUCUUGUGCUUGGCAAUCUUGAGGAACAUCACAUCGAGGAAAGCGAGCUCGUGGAGGACUUGCAUCAUAAGGGGAGUAGUCCGAAGAUGGCCGACUUGUACGGUGACCUGAGUGGCGCCGUCUUGAAGAAGCGGUUGAGGAAGACGGGCUUCGUAAGAUCAUGCUGCGGAGCUCUUCCAUUUGUGUGGUGAACUUUGCAUCGAUGUAGUCGCGGUUCCUUGUUUUCGAUUGACGAAGGUCGGAGGCGAGUUGCUCCAAGCGUUCACCCAAUGCUUCGCUUUCUUGAUGAAGUGCCUUGUUGCGCGAUGAAGAAGUGGUUCUUGGAGACGAAGUCGCAAUCAUCACCUUGCUCCUUGAAAAGUGGGUUCGCCAACGAGUUUGGCCUAUCCAUCAUAACCAAGUGGGGUGAGUAGGAAAAUGAGAGAACAAUACCAAAGUUACCUUUUUCGAGGAUUGAGGAUGUAACAAGUGUCACUCAAGGUAAUGCCACAAUAGGAGAAUUGGAACCGUGUUUGUUUCUCACACCUACAGUAAGAGGCUUAUGGAGGAGCUCGGUUAGAAUGGUGGCAAAAAUUUCAAGCAAAUGUUAGUCAAGAUAUCGAUAAGGUUGAGAAGGUUCACAAAAAUGCAAGUAAAUCAAAUAGAUCAAACCCAAAGAUAUCACUAGGAACACACACGCGGAAGAUAGAUGGGAUCCGCACAACCAAGGAGUGAGCGCAAAAUGUGCAACCAUGGAAAAUGCUCUUGUUGUGCGAAUUCUAGAGAGACGCUAGCUCGAUUGCUCAAAUGGGCAAGAUACGCUUGUGCACCAACCUAUGAGAGAAACAUGUCGUCUUCAAUCCCAACUAUGCUAUGUAUGCGAUGACCAAGAUGAUAUAACUAUGCAAAUGGCUCAAUGCUAUUGCUCACAAGCUCUUUGUUUCUCCUCUUUUGCUUAAAAGCUUUUCUUUUCUUUCUCUAUGCUUGAUGCUCGAGCUGAGUAUGAUAUGAUACAAGUAUGUAAGAUAUGCACGGGAGAGACUUAUGGCACAAACAUGAUAAUACGAUCACUACGGUGCACAAUUGCGUGGCCCGGCAAUUCUCAACUUGCUAGUCUCGAUGGGUAAGCAACACAAAAUGGCUCGGGCUAUCAAUGCAAAUUCAAGGUAAGAAGUAAGUGUCAUCGAGGUUACCGUCCUUUCUUACGGUUAGUGGUGAAGAUGACUCUGAGGUGAUGAUGGUGAUGACGAUGUCACACGCUCCUAAGUAACCGAAACACCUUAGGAAACAUAAAUUGCAACUCAAAAUAGGUCAAAUGCGGAAGGUGGGUGUUUUUUUGAUGAUUUUUGGAUGGGGGCUAAUGGUGGUGGUAGUGAGAUGAGUGGAUGGGGGAUGUCAAGAGCUUCCAAAUGAGCUAAAGAACACAAAAAAUGGACUUGGGAGAUGGAAGUUAUGGUCAAAUUGGUGGAGGUGUUGGGCUGAUUCGGGGCGGGGGGUGCGGGCACCCGGGGGUGGGAGGUGGGGGUGCCCGGGGUGGUCAGGGGGAAAUGACCCGGGGGUGCGGGUGCCCGGUGGUUCGAGGUGCGGGCACCCGGUGGUCGAUGAUUUGGGCGGAAAUUUUGGGGGAAAAGCAAAAUUCGGUGGUUUUCGUGGUGGGAAGGGUGGGGAUUGUUGGGGAGGGGCUAGAUCCACUUGCCAAACAUCAAAUCCAUGGACCAAAACAACCAAAUCUCACAAGAAACAACAAAUUGCAAGAAAAAAAUUUGGGGCUAUUUUUUGUGGGGAUUUUCGAAUUUGGACGAAAAACAACAAAAUCAAGCUAGCAAAUGGGGAGAUGGGACUCCAAGAUGUGAAUCAACCUUGCUCAUGAUACCAAGAUGUUGUAAGGUGAAAUGCUAGAGGGGAUCUUUUCACACUUGGAGGGGAAAAACAAGGAAGAACACUCAAGAACACAAGGCACAAAACACUCAAACAAACCCAAAUAUCACAUCCACUAGAGUAGCAUACUUGAGAUCCACAAGAUUACAUGAACAAUUCAAGGAAAAUAGAUAGGUAAGUUCUUCCCACUAGGUGAGGUCUUCAUGAUGAUCUUCUCCAAGAGGAGGCCUUGACAAUCCAAAGGAUUCUUCCCUAGGUGGGGGCUUGAUCUCCAAGAGGAGGGGAUACAAGGAGCAAAGCUCUCUUUGGUGUUCUAAAAUAAUUUGCUAUCCUUCCAAAUGAGCUAGGAGAUGAGUAUAUAAAGGCUAGAGAUGAAACUUGAAGAAAGAGGGGUACAAAGACCAAAAAGUCCCUAAAACGCGUGGCCAUGGAAGAAGGGUCCCGGCACCCGGGGAGGAACCGUCUGGGCACCCGGACCGGUCAGAGGCCAGUGCCCAGGCAGGACCGGGCACCGGGUGGCGAAGGGGUCGGGCACCCAGCCAGGUCAGGGGCUGGCCGUCGAGCGGCCGGGCACCCAGGGGUCCCAAGCUCGGGCACCCGGGGUGGCUCCCGGCGGCUGGCGGGGCUUGGGCUGGGCACCCGAGGCGGGCUGGGCGAGGCCCAAGUGGAGGGCCGGGUACUCGGGGCCGGCUGGGGCGCAGCCCAGGCAGAGGCCGGGCACCCGGGGUGUCCAGGGGGUUCGGGCCUCCCCAUGUCUUUGAGUCCGGGCACCCGGGGUCCUUCUGUCCGGGCACCCGGGGUGUCCAGGAGCUUCUCCCCUUCAUUCUUCUUGUUCUCCUCUCAUCUCCCUUGCUCCGAGGAUGCUCAAGUCUCCAUCUUCUCCUUCUCACGAUCAUCUUCUUGGUGCCUAAGAAUGCAUAGCACGUCUCUUUGAGGUAGAAUCCAAUUCUCAUGUGAAACCGAAAGAAACUCGAAGAGGAUAGAAUUGACCUCAUUCUCGAUGUUGUGUGCGCGUGCUUGCUACGUCUUGAGCUUGCGUUGGUUUUCCUCGAAGAGGAGAGGAUGAUGCAGCAGAGUAGCAUAAGUAUUUCCCUCAGUUUUUGAGAACCAAGGUAUCAAUCCAGUAGGAGGCUCCUCAAAAGUCCCACGCACCUACACAAACAAACUGAGAACUCGCAAGCAACGCAAUAAAGGGUUUGUCAAUCCCUUCACGGCCACUUGCGAAAGUGAGAUCUAAUAAAGAUAGUAAGAUAAGAUAAAUAUAUUUUUGUUAUUUUAUAAUAUAGAUGCAAAAAGUAAAGAUGCAAAUAAAAGUAGAUUGAAAGCAAAUAUGAUAAGAGAUAGACCCGGGGGCCAUAGGUUUCACUAGUGGCUUCUCUCAAGAGCAUAGGUGUUACGGUGGGUGAACAAAUUUCUCACGAGCAAUUGAUAGAAAAGCGAAUAGUUAUGAGAUUAUCUAGGCAUGAUCAUGUAUAUAGGCAUCACGUCCGUAACAAGUAGACCGACUCCAGCCUGCAUCUACUACUAUUACUCCACACAUCGACCGACUCCUGCCUGCAUCUAGACUAUUAAGUUCAUAAGAACAGAGUAACACAUUAAGCAAGAUGACAUGAUGUAGAGGGAUAAACUCAAGCAAUAUGAUAGAAAACCCCAUCUUGUUAUCCUCGAUGGCAACAAUACAAUACGUGCCUUGCAACCCUUUCUGUCACUGGGUAAGGACACCGCAAGAUUGAACCCAAAGCUAAGCACUUCUCCUAUGGCAAGAAAGAUCAAUCUAGUAGGCCAAACCAAACUGAUAAUUCGAAGAGACUUGCAAAGAUAACUCAAUCAUACAUAAAAGAAUUCAGAGAAGAUUCAAAUAUUAUUCAUAGACAAACUUGAUCAUAAACCCACAAUUCAUCGGAUCUCGACAAACACACCACAAAAAGAGUUUACAUCGAAUAGAUCUCCACAAGAGAGGGGGAGAACAUUGUAUUGAGAUCCAAAAAGAGAGAAGAAGCCAUCUAGCUAAUAACUAUGGACCCGUAGGUCUGUGGUAAACUACUCACAACUCAUCGGAGGGGCAAGGAUGUUGAUGCAGAAGCCCUCCAUGGUCGAUUCCCCCUCCGGUGAGGCGCCGACGAAGGCUCCAAGAUGGGAUCUCGCGGAUACAGAAGGUUACGGUGGUGGAAGUUAUGUUUUUUCUUGCUCCCGGAUGUUUUCGGGUACGUAGGUAUAUAUAGGAGGAAGAAGUACGUCGGUGGCCGCCCGAGGGGCCCACGAGACAGGGGGCGCGCCCUAUAGGGGGGGGGGCGCCUCCUAUCUCGUGGGAGCCUCGGCUGCUUCUUGACUUGCACUCCAAGUCCUCUGGAUCACGUUUGUUCCAAUAAUCACGCUCCCGAAGGUUUCAUUCCGUUUGGACUCCGUUUGAUAUUCCUUAUCCUCGAAAUACUGAAAUAGGCAAAAAAACAGCAAUAUGGGCUGGGCCUCCGGUUAGUAGGUUAGUCCCAGAAAUGAUAUAAAUGUGUAAAAUAAAGCCCAUAACAUCCAAAAGGGGUAAUAUAAUAGCAUGGAACAAUCAAAAAUUAUAGAUACGUUGGAGACGUAUCAAGCAUCCCCAAGCUUAAUUCCUGCUCGUCCUUGAGUAGGUAGAUGAUAAAAAAGAAAUUUUGAUGUGGAAUGCUACCUAGCAUAGUUCUCAAUGUAAUUUUCUUUAUUGUGGCAUGAAUGUUCAGAUCCAAAUGAUACAAAAUAAAAGUUCAUAUUAACGUAAGAAAUAAUAAUACUUCAAGCAUACUAAUCAAAGUAAUCAUGUCUUCUCAAAAUAGCAUGGCCGAAGAAAGUUAUCCCUACGAAAUCAUAUAGUCUGGUUGUUGCUCUAUCUUCAUCACACAAAGUAUUUAAUCAUGCACAACCCCGAUGACAAGCCAAGCAAUUGUUUCAUACUUUAAUAAUCUCAAACUUUUUCAACUUUCACGCAAUACAUGAGCGUGAGCCAUGGACAUAGCACUAUAUGUGGAAUAGAAUGGUGGUUGUGGAGAAGACAAAAAAGAGAAGAUAGUCUCGCAUCAACUAGGCGUAUCAAUGGGCUAUGGAGAUGCCCAUUAAUAGAUAUCAAUGUGAGUGAGUAGGGAUUGCCAUGCAACGGAUGCACUAGAGCUAUAAAUAUAUGAAAGCUCAACAAAAGAAACUAAUUGGGUGUGCAUCCAACUUGCUUGCUCACGAAGACCUAGGGCACUUUUGAGGAAGCCCAUCAUUGGAAUAUACAAGCCAAGUUCUUAUAAUGAAAAAUUCCCACUAGUAUAUGAAAGUGACAACAUAUGAGACUCUCUAUCAUGAAGAUCAUGGUGCUAUUUUGAAGCACAAGUGUGGAAAAAGAGAUAGUAGCAUUGUCCCUUCUCUCUUUUUCUCUCAUUUUAUUUUUUUCUUUUUCUUUUUCUCUCCCCCCCUUUUUUUUCUUUCUCUUUUUUUUCUUUGGCCUUUCUUUUUCUUUUUCUUUUUGGCCUCUCUUUUUCUUCUUCUUUUUUUUCUUUUUGUAAAGUCCAAAGUCUCAUCCCGACUUGUGGGGGAAUCAUAGUCUUCAUCAUCCUUUCCUCACUAGGACAAUGCUCUAUUAAUGAAGAUCAUCACACUUUUAUGGAUUUACAACUUAAAGCUAGAACAAGAUAUGACUCUAUAUGAAUGCCUCCGGUGGUGUACCGAGAUAUGCAAUGAAUCAAGAGUGACAUGUAUGAAAAUUAUGAAGGUGGCUUUGCCACAAAUACGAUGUCAACUACAUGAUCAUGCAAAGAGCAAUAUGACAAAAGUAAUGCGUGUCAUAUAAACGGAACGGUGGAAAGUUGCAUGGCAAUAUAUCUCGGAAUGGCUAUGGAAAUGCCAUAAUAGGUAGGUAUGGUGGCUGUUUUGAGGAAGGUAUAUGGUGGAUGUAAGGUACCGGCAAAAGUUGCGCGGCACAAGAAAGGCUACCAAUGAUGGAAGGGUGAAAGGGUGCGUAUAAUCCAUGGACUCAACAUUAAUCAAAAGAACUCAUGCACUUAUUGCAAAAAUUUAGAAGUCAUCAAAAACCAAAGUACUACGUGCAUGCUCCUAGGGGGAUAGACUAGUAGGAAAAGACCAUCGCUCAUCCCCGACCGCCACUCAUAAGGAAGACAAUCAAUAAAUAAAAUUAUGCUCCGACUUCAUCACAAAGCGGUUCACCAUACGUGCAUGCUACGGGAAUCACAAACUUCAACACAAGCAUUCUUUAAAUCCAUAAUCACCCAACUAGCAUGACUUUAAUAUCACUACCUCCAUGUCUCAAAACAAUUAUCAAGCAUCAAAUUGACCAUAAUCUACGAUAGUUUUUAUUAUACCCAACUUGGAUGCUCAUCAUUCUAGGACCAACUUUAUGACCGUAGCAAAUACCAUGUUGUUCUAAAAUACUCUAAAAAAUAUAUAAGUGAAGCAUGAGAGACUAGUACUUUCUUCAAAAUUAAGACACCACCGUGCUCUAAAAGAUAUAAGUGAAGCACUAGAGCAAAAACUAUCAAGCUCAAAAGAUAUAAGUGAAGCACAUAGAGUAUUCUAGCAAAUUCUAAUCAAAUAGGCUUCUUCCAAAAGGUUUGUACAGCAAGGAUGAUUGUGGUCAACUAAAAAGCAAAGACUAAUAUAAUACACGACACUCCAAGCAAAACACAUAUCAUGUGGCGAAUAAAAUAUAGCUCCAAGUAAAGUUACCAAUGAACGAAGACGAAAGAGGGGAUGCCUUCCCGGGGCAUCCCCAAGCUUAGGCUUUUGACUAUCCUUGAAUAUCUUGGGGUGCCAUGGGCAUCCCCAAUCUUAGGCUCUUGCCACCCUUUAUUCCAUAGUCCAUAAAAGCUUUACCCAAAACUUGAAAACUUCACAACACAAAACUCAACAGGAAAUCUUAUAAGCUCCGUUAGUGAAAGAAAACAAAACCACCACAUAAGGUACUGUAAUGAACUCAUUCUUUAUUUAUUUUGGUGUUAAACCUACUGUAUUCCAACUUCCUUAUGGUUUAUAAACUAUUUUACUAGCCAUAGAUGCAUUGAAAUAAGCAAACUACACACGAAAAACAGAAUAUGUCAAAAACAGAACAGUCUGUAGCAAUCUGUAACUAACACAAACUUCUGGAACUUUAAAAAUCCUACAAAAAUAGGAAGUCCUGGAAAAUUUGUUUACUUAUCAGCAGCAAAAAUAAUCAACACAAAAGCACGUUCCUGUGAUUUAACAAAAUUAUAUUUGUGCGUGCAAAGUUUCUGUUUUUCAGCAGAAUCAAAUCAACUAUCAUCGUAGGUUAUCCUAUAGGUUCUAGUUGGCACAAACACUAAUUAAAAGAUAAAAACACAUCUAACCAGAGGGUAGAUGCAAUAUUUAUUAAAUAACAGCAAGGAAAAAUAUUGAGUUGCGUCCCAACAAGCGCUAUCGUUUAACGCCCCUAGCUAGGCAUUGAUAAUUUUAAUGAUGCUCACAUGAAAGACAAGAAUUAAAGCACAAAGAGAGCAUCAUGAAACACGUGACAAACACAUCUAAGUCUAACAUACUUACUAUGCAUAGGCAUAUUAUAAGCAAACAAAUUUGCAAGGCAAGCAAAAACUAGCAUAUGCAAGGAAGAAGAAAGAGACGAUAGCAAUCUCAACAUGACGAGAGGUAAUUUAAUAAAAUAAAAAUUUCUACAACCAUAUUUUCCUCUCUCAUAAUAAUUACAUGUAGGAUCAUAGGAAAAUUCAACAAAAUAGCUAUCACAAAACAUAUUCUCAACAUGAUCCACAUGCAUGCAAAGUUGACACUAUUCCAAGAUAGUGGGAUUAACAUUAGCUAGAGUCAUGACCUUUCCGAACCCACUUUUAUCAAAAAUAUCAUAAGAUUGAACAUACUCCAAAAAUGUGGGAUCUAAAGUUGACACUCUUCCAAACCCACUUUCAAUAUUAUUGCAAACAUUAUUAUCAAUCUCAUAUUCAUCAUGGGGCUUAAAUUUUUUUUUCAAGGUUAUAAGAAGAAUCACCCCAAUCAUGAUCAUUGAAACAAGUAGUAGACAUAGCAAAACUAGCAUCCCCAAGCUUAGGGUUUUGCAUAUUAUUAGCACAACUGACAUCAAUAGAAUUUAUAGGAAAAUCAUUGCAAUCGUGCUUUUUAUUCAAGGAGUUAUCGUGAAUCUCUUCGUAAAUUUCUUCAUCAUAAUUUUCAGAUUCACAAAGUUUGAGCAAAGCUUCAUAAAGAUAAUUUAGUGUGCAAAACUCAUUAGCAAUUGGUUCAUCAUAAUUGGAUCUCUUAAAAAGAUUAGCAAGCGGAUGAGGAUCCAUAGAUCUUAGGUUCUCUAUUUAGCAAUAAAUAAGCAUCUAAUCCAACCAAACAAGCAAACGAAAGGGCAAGCAAAAGAGAGAAGAGAAGAUUGGGAAAGAGAGGGCAAAUAAAACGGCAAGGGUGAAGUGGGGGAGAGGAAAACGAGAGGCAAAAGGCAAAUAAUGUAAAUGCGAGGGAGAUGGGUUUGUGAUGGGUACUUGGUAUGUCUUGACUUGAGCGAAGACCUCCCCGGCAACGGCGCCAGAAAUCCUUCUUGCUACGUCUUGAGCUUGCGUUGGUUUUCCUCAAAGAGGAGAGGGUGAUGCAGCAGAGUAGCGUAAGUAUUUCCCUCAGUUUUUGAGAACCAAGGUAUCAAUCCUGUAGGAGGCUCCUCAAAAGUCCCACGCACCUACACAAACAAACUAAGAACUCGCAACCAACGCAAUAAAGGGGUUGUCAAUCCCUUCACGGCCACUUGCGAAAGUGAGAUCUAAUAAAGAUAGUAAGAUAAGAUAAAUAUAUUUUUGGUAUUUUAUAAUAUAGAUGCAAAAAGUAAAGAUGCAAAUAAAAGUAGAUUGAAAGCAAAUAUGAUAAGAGAUAGACCCGGGGGCCAUAGGUUUCACUAGUGGCUUCUCUCAAGAGCAUAUGUAUUACGGUGGGUGAACAAAUUACUAUCGAGCAAUUGAUAGAAAAGCGCAUAGUUAUGAGAUUAUCUAGGCCUGAUCAUGUAUAUAGGCAUCACGUCCGUAACAAGUAGACCGACUCCUGCCUGCAUCUACUACUAUUACUCCACACAUCGACCUACUCCUGCCUGCAUCUAGAGUAUUAAGUUCAUAAGAACAGAGUAACGCAUUAAGCAAGAUGACAUGAUGUAGAGGGAUAAACUCAAGCAAUAUGAUAUAAACCCCAUCUUGUUAUCCUCGAUGGCAACAAUACAAUAUGUGCCUUGCAACCCUUUCUGUCACUGGGUAAGGACACCGCAAGAUUGAACCCAAAGCUAAGCACUUCUCCUAUGGCAAGAAAGAUCAAUCUAGUAGGCCAAACCAAACUGAUAAUUCGAAGAGACUUGCAAAGAUAACUCAAUCAUACAUAAAAGAAUUCAGAGAAGAUUCAAAUAUUAUUCAUAGAUAAACUUGAUCAUAAACCCACAAUUUAUCGGAUCUCGACAAACACACCACAAAAAGAGUUUGCAUCGAAUAGAUCUCCACAAGAGAGGGGGAGAACAUUGUAUUGAGAUCCAAAAAAAGAGAAGAAUCCAUCUAGCUAAUAACUAUGGACCCGUAGGGUAAACUACUCACAACUCAUCGGAGGGGCAAGGAUGUUGAUGUAGAAGCCCUCCAUGGUCGAUUCCCCCUCCGGUGGAGCACCGGCGAAGGCUCCGAGAUGGGAUCUCGCGGAUACAGAAGGUUACGGUGGUGGAAAUUGUGUUUUGUCUUGCUCCUAGAUGUUUUCGGGGUACGUAGGUAUAUAUAGGAGGAAGAAGUACGUUGGUGGCCGCCCGAGGGGCCCACAAGAUAGGGGGCGCGCCCUACAGGGGGGGCGUGCCCUCCUAUCUUGUGGGAUCCUCGGCUGCUUCUUUACUUGCACUCCAAGUUCUAUGGAUCGUGUUUGUUCCAAAAAUCACGCUCCCGAACGUUUCAUUCCGUUUGGACUCCGUUUGAUAUUCCUUUUCUUCGGAAUACUGGAAUAGGCAAAAAAACAGCAAUAUGGGCUGGGCCUCCGGUUAGUAGGUUAGUCCCAAAAAUGAUAUAAAUGUGUAAAAUAAAGCCCAUAAACAUCCAAAAGGGGUAAUAUAAUAGCAUGCAACAAUCAAAAAAUAUAGAUACGUUGGAGACGUAUCAGUGCUCUUGUCAUUGGUCCUCUCGGUGCUUGCGGUGGUGAUGGAGUGUCGGUGCGGGUAGUCGAGGGAUGCUCUGCAUCAUCUUCGCAAUCUCUUCAACCGCUUCAAAAGACUCGACAAUGAAAAUGUUCAGCAAACCUUCGAUCGCCUCACUGACAUCUCAAAUGAGCUUCAAGCACUUGGUGCCACUGACAUCACCGACCAUGAGAUGGUGAAGAAAUUGCUGAGAUCACUUGAUUCCUCAUUCGAUACUCUUGCAUUGAUGAUUCAAGAACAAGGUGAUUACAAGUCACUAGAUCCCGCUGAUAUCCUCGAGAGGCUAAAUACUCAUGAGUUCCAGCUUGCUGAGAAGAGAGACCUCUAUGGACCAUGCUAUGGAAGAUCAUGUGAACUGAAGGCCAAGGCAGUCUCUGAAUCUGAAGGUGAAGAUUCUGGUAGCAGUCUUGGUGAUCCUCAAGAACUGAACCAGGCGCAAGCAAUGCUCGUGAAGAAAUUCCAGAAGUUCUCUCACUGUGGUCGUUUUGGAAAGUCUUCAAGAAGUGAUGAUUCCUCAUCUCGUGACUACAAAAAGAGGACUUUUGCCAGAAAUGUAAGAAACCUGGUCACUACAUGUCUGAUUGUCCUCAGUGGGAAAAGGAAUCAAAGAAGAGGAAGAAGUACAAAGAUGAUGAUUCUGAUGACUCAAAGAAGAAGAAGAAAUCUUCAAAGUCCUCGUCAUCAAAAUCUUCAAAGUCUUCAUCUCACAAGAAGAGCAGUUCCAAGAACGCAUGUGCAUUUAUUGUUAAGGAAAUAGACUCUGAAGCUGAAUCUGAGGAAAAUGUGGAAGAGGAGGAAUCUUAGGAGUCAGACUCUGGUGUGGCGAGCCUAGCCCUUGCUACUGCUUAUGUCAGCAAUUCAAUCUUGAACAAUGAAGAAAAUGACCUCCCCAACUCUACUGACAAGAGCGUCGAUGACUAUGCUCCCACCUAUUGCUCCAUGGCAAAAGAUGCCAAGGUACUCAAACAUCCCCCCUCUAAAUCUAGUGAGGAUGAAUCUGAUGACAAUCUCAAACCUAGUUAUUCCAAACUUGCCAAAAUUGCUGUUAAACAACAAAAGGCUUUGGAAAAGAUUCAAAAUCUGCUAGACAAAAGCGAUGACCUGUUGGGUGAGGAAUUGAAUCGAACUAAGACUUUAAUUAAUAGUCUUCAUAGACUUCAGCUUAAGGUUGACAAUCUUCAGGGUCAUCAUAACUCUCUCUUAACUGAUCAUGAAAAACUUUCUUAUCAAUUUCUUCAGUGAAAGCAAGAUCUUGAGAAGUUAAAAGUGAAUUAUGAAGAUCUUCAGAAGGAAAAAGAUUCAUUGCUUGCUCAACAGAUCAGUUGUGCUCAGGAAGGAUUUAUUCCACCAUGUCUGAAAUGCAUUGAGCGUGAAUCUGCUAAUUCUUCACCUGAAUGUUCAAAUGCUUCUAUUGCUGCAAAUUCUUGAACUGUCUCCGUGGUCAUAAAUUCCUCAUCUGAGGAUACCACAAGUAUCACUUACGACAAUGCAGGGUUGAAGGAAUUGUUUGUGACAUGCAUAUACAAAAGCCUUAGAGGGCAUCAGACUCUUUGUGAUAUGCUCAAAAAGCAGUAUUGAACAAGAACCCUAGGAAAGAGGGUAUUGCCUUUGAGAGGAAACUCAAUGCUGAUGGGACCUACUAGAAACCUAAGCAGUACCCCAAAACCUCAUGGGUUGCUGUGAAAGGACCUCCUGUAGAUCCAUGCACUUUAUCUGACUUUACCUGUGAAUCUUCAUAUUCCUCUGAUGAGUCAUUUGACUCCAAUAUAAACUGUUCAAGAAUCAAAAUGGUGAAGUAUUUGCUCGAUAUGUUGGAACUAACUGCAGGAAUGGUCCCCCUAUGAAGAAAAUCUGGGUUCCCAAAAGGUGCCUUGAAAAUCUUCAGGUGAAUGUCAUCAUGACACCACCUAUGAAGAAUAGGAAUCCCAGAUAAAAUUCUUCAUAUGGAUCAAAUUCUUCAUAUGGAUCCAAGUCCUCUUAUGGACCAAAUUCUUCAUCUAGAUCAAAUUCCUCAUGUGGAUCCAAAUCCCCAUAUGAACAUCAUCGUGCUAAUCCAAGAAAAGGUAUAUCCUGCACACUAUAUACCAGCAAAUAUGAUAAAAAGUAAAGAACAAUAAUGAUCAAUAAGAAGCAAAGGGCAUUUGUGUGCAGAAGAUGAGAAUCCACCAGAUAAGACACAAACAUAAACAUAACAUUUCACAACAGAAGAUGAGAAGCCACCUGAUAAGAGUACAGCCAGCUGCUUGCCUCACACUUGUUUACACAAACACUUACAUAAAGGAAGCUGUCAUUGUAGGUUCAGGCUUUGGAGCAGAACGUCAUCGUUACAUGAUUCUUGCAUAGUAAAAAUCUAAAAGCACUUGGAGACCUCCAAAAGACAAAUGUUCCACUACUAAACUUGACUAAUAAGAACGAAAAAUAUGUUGCCUACUAAGCACUCAAGCCUGCUGAUUGGGACAUGUUUUUUUGAAGGUUAUCAGAAGCUAUCUUUGUUGGAAAUAUGCCCUAAAGGCAAUAAUAAAAGUAUUAUUAUAUUUCAUUGUUCAUGAUAAUUGUCUUUUGUUCAUGCUAUAACUGUAUUAUCCGGAAAUCGUAAUACACGUGUGAACAAAUAGACCACAAUAUGUCCCUAGUGAGCCUCUAGUUGACUAGCUCGUUGUGAUCAACAGAUAGUCAUGGUUUCCUAACUAUGGACAUUGGAUGUCGUUGAUAACGGGAUCACAUCAUUAGGAGAAUGAUGUGAUGGACAAGACCCAAUCCUAAGCAUAGCACAAAGAUCGUGUAGUUCGUUUGCUAGAGCUUUGCCAAUGUCAAGUAUCUCUUCCUUCGACCAUGAGAUCAUGUAACUCCCGGAUACCGUAGGAGUGCCUUGGGUGUAUCAAACGUCACAACGUAACUGGGUGACUAUAAAGGUGCAUUACAGGUAUCUCCGAAAGUGUCUGUUGGGUUGACACGGAUCGAGACUGGGAUUUGUCACUGAAGGAAAUAUGCCCUAGAGGCAAUAAUAAAGUUAUUAUUUAUUUCCUUAUAAUCAUGAUAAAUGUUUAUUAUUCAUGCUAGAAUUGUAUUUUCCGGAAACAUAAUACAUGUGUGAAUACAUAGACAAACAGAGUGUCACUAGUAUGCCUCUACUUGACUAGCUCGUUAAUCAAAGAUGGUUAUGUUUCCUAACCAUGAACAAUGAGUUGUUAUUUGAUUAACGAGGUCACAUCAUUAGUAGAAUGAUCUGAUUGACAUGACCCAUUCAAUUAGCUUAGCACCCGAUCGUUUAGUAUGUUGCUAUUGCUUUCUUCAUGACUUAUACAUGUUCCUAUGACUAUGAGAUUAUGCAACUCCCGUUUGCCGGAGGAACACUUUGGGUACUACCAAACGUCACAACGUAACUGGGUGAUUAUAAAGGAGUACUACAGGUGUCUCCAAUGGUCGAUGUUGGGUUGGCGUAUUUCGAGAUUAGGAUUUGUCACUCCGAUUGUCGGAGAGGUAUCUCUGGGCCCUCUCGGUAAUACACAUCACAUAAGCCUUGCAAGCAUUACAACUAAUAUGUUAGUUGUGAGAUGAUGUAUUACGGAACGAGUAAAGAGACUUGCCAGUAACGAGAUUGAACUAGGUAUUGGAUACCGACGAUCGAAUCUCGGGCAAGUAACAUACCGAUGACAAAGGGAACAACGUAUGUUGUUAUGCGGUCUGACCGAUAAAGAUCUUCGUAGAAUAUGUAGGAGCCAAUAUGGGCAUCCAGGUCCCUCUAUUGGUUAUUAACCAGAGACAUGUCUCGGUCAUGUCUACAUUGUUCUCGAACCCGUAGGGUCCGCACGCUUAAGGUUACGAUGACAGUUAUAUUAUGAGUUUAUGGAUUUUGAUGUACCGAAGGUUGUUCGGAGUCCCGGAUGUGAUCACGGACAUGACGAGGAGUCUCGAAAUGGUCGAGACGUAAAGAUUGAUAUAUUGGAAGCCUAUGUUUGGACAUCGGAAGUGUUCCGGGUGAAAUCGGGAUUUUACCGGGUUACCGGGAGGUUACCGGAACCCCCCGGGAGCCAUAUGGGCCUUCAUGGGCCUUAGUGGAAAGGAGAAAGGGACAGCCCAAGGUGGCUGCGCCUCUUCCCCCUCCCCUAGUCCUAUUAGGACUAGGAGAAGGUGGCCGGCCCCCCUCUCUCCCUUCCCCUCCGAGGAAUCCUAGUUGGACUAGGAUUGGAGGAGGAAUCCUACUCCCAGAGGGAGUAGGACUCUCCUGCGCCUCCCUCUUUGGCCGGCCAGCCUCCCCUCCUCUCCUCCUUUAUAUACGGAGGCAGGGGCACCUCUAAACACACAAGUUGACACAAGUUGAUCCACGUGAUCAAUUCCUUAGCCGUGUGCGGUGCCCCCUGCCACCAUAUUCCUCGAUAAUACUGUAGUGGAGUUUAGGCGAAGCCCUGCUGCUGUAGUUCAUCAAGAUCGUCACCACGCCGUCGUGCUGACGGAACUCUUCCCCGACACUUUGCUGGAUCGGAGUCCGGGGAUCGUCAUCGAGCUGAACGUGUGCUCGAACUCGGAGGUGCCGUAGUUUCGGUGCUUGAUCGGUUGGAUCGUGAAGACGUACGACUACUUCCUCUACGUCGUGUCAUCGCUUCCGCAGUCGGUCUGCAUAGGGUACGUAGACAACACUCUUCUUUCGUUGCUAUGCAUCACAUGAUCCUGUGUGCGCGUAGGAAAUUUUUUGAAAUUACUACGAAACCCAACAGUGGCAUCCGAGCCUAGGUUAAUGAUGUUGAUGUUAUAUGCACGAGUAGAACACAAGUAAGUUGUGGACGAUACAAGUCAUACUGCCUACCAGCAUGUCAUACUUUGGUUCGGCGGUAUUGUUGGACGAGACGACCCGGGCCAACCUUACGCGUACGCUUACGCGAGACCGGUUCCCUCGACGUGCUUUGCACAGAGAUGGCUUGCGGGCGACUGCCUCUCCAACUUUAGUUGAACCAAGUAUGGCUACGCCCGGUCCUUGCGAAGGUUAAAACGGAGUCUAUUUGACAAACUAUCGUUGUGGUUUUGAUGCGUAGGUGAGAUUGGUUCUUACUUAAGCCCGUAGCAGCCACGUAAAACAUGCAACAACAAAGUAGAGGACGUCUAACUUGUUUUUGCAGGGCAUGUUGUGAUGUGAUAUGGUCAAGGCAUGAUGCUGAAUUUUAUUGUAUGAGAUGAUCAUGUUUUGUAACCGAGUUAUCGGCAACUGGCAGGAGCCAUAUGGUUGUCGCUUUAUUGUAUGCAAUGCAAUCGCGAUGUAAUGCUUUACUUUAUUACUAAACGGUAGUGAUAGUCGUGGAAGCAUAAAGAUUGGCGAGACGACAACGAUGCUACGAUGGAGAUCAAGGUGUCGCGCCGGUGACGAUGGUGAUCAUGACGGUGCUUCGGAGAUGGAGAUCACAAGCACAAGAUGAUGAUGGCCAUAUCAUAUCACUUAUAUUGAUUGCAUGUGAUGUUUAUCUUUUUAUGCAUCUUAUCUUGCUUUGAUUGACGGUAGCAUUAUAAGAUGAUCUCUCACUAAAAUUAUCAAGAAGUGUUCUCCCUGAGUAUGCACCGUUGCAAAAGUUCUUCGUGCUGAGACACCACGUGAUGAUCGGGUGUGAUAGGCUCUACGUUCAAAUACAACGGGUGCAAAACAGUUGCGCACGCAGAAUACUCAGGUUAAACUUGACGAGCCUAGCAUAUGCAGAUAUGGCCUCGGAACACGGAGACCGAAAGGUCGAGCGUGAAUCAUAUAGUAGAUAUGAUCAACAUAAUGAUGUUCACCGAUGAAACUACUCCAUCUCACGUGAUGAUCGGAUAUGGUUUAGUUGAUUUGGAUCACGUGAUCACUUAGAGGAUUAGAGGGAUGUCUAUCUAAGUGGGAGUUCUUUAAUAAUAUGAUUAAUUGAACUUAAAAUUUAUCAUGAACUUAGUCCCUGAUAGUAUCUUGCUUGUUUAUGUUGAUUGUAGAUAGAUGGCUCGUGCUGUUGUUCCGUUGAAUUUUAAUGCGUUCCUUGAGAAAGCAAAGUUGAAAGAUGAUGGUAGCAAUUACACGGACUGGGUCCGUAACUUGAGGAUUAUCCUCAUUGCUGCACAGAAGAAUUACGUCCUGGAAGCACCGCUGGGUGCCAGGCCUGCUGCUGAAGCAACGCCAGAUGUUAUGAACGUCUGGCAGAGCAAAGCUGAUGACUACUCGAUAGUUCAGUGUGCCAUGCUUUACGGCUUAGAAUCGGGACUUCAACGACGUUUUGAACGUCAUGGAGCAUAUGAGAUGUUCCAGGAGUUGAAGUUGAUAUUUCAAGCAAAUGCCCGGAUUGAGAGAUAUGAAGUUUCCAAUAAGUUCUAUAGUUGCAAGAUGGAGGAGAACAGUUCUGUCAGUGAGCAUAUACUCAAAAUGUCUGGGUAUAAUAAUCACUUGAUUCAAUUGGGAGUUAAUCUUCCGGAUGAUUGCGUCAUUGACAGAAUUCUCCAAUCACUACCACCAAGCUACAAGAGCUUCGUGAUGAACUAUAAUAUGCAAGGGAUGAAUAAGACUAUUCCCGAGCUCUUCGCAAUGCUGAAAGCUGCGGAGGUAGAAAUCAAGAAGGAGCAUCAAGUGUUGAUGGUUAACAAGACCACUAGUUUCAAGAAAAAGGGCAAAGGGAAGAAAAAGGGGAACUUCAAAAAGAACGGCAAGCAAGUUGCUGCUCAAGAGAAGAAACCCAAGUCUGGACCUAAGCCUGAAACUGAGUGCUUCUACUGCAAGCAGACUGGUCACUGGAAGCGGAACUGCCCCAAGUAUUUGGCGGAUAAGAAGGAUGGCAAGGUGAACAAAGGUAUAUGUGAUAUACAUGUUAUUGAUGUGUACCUUACCAAUGCUCGCAGUAGCACCUGGGUAUUUGAUACUGGUUCUGUUGCUAAUAUUUGCAACUCGAAACAGGGACUACGGAAUAAGCGGGCACUGGCAAAGGACGAGGUGACGAUGCGCGUGGGAAACGGUUCCAAAGUCGAUGUGAUCGCAGUCGGCACGCUACCUCUACAUCUACCUUCGGGAUUAAUAUUAGACCUAAAUAAUUGUUAUUUGGUGCCAGCGUUGAGCAUGAACAUUAUAUCUGGAUCUUGUUUAAUGCGAGACGGUUAUUCAUUUAAAUCAGAGAAUAAUGGUUGUUCUAUUUAUAUGAGUAAUAUCUUUUAUGGUCAUGCACCCUUGAAGAGUGGUCUAUUCUUAUUGAAUCUCGAUAGUAGUAAUACACAUAUUCAUAAUGUUGAAACCAAAAGAUGCAGAGUUGAUAAUGAAAGUGCAACUUAUUUGUGGCACUGUCGUUUAGGUCAUAUCGGUAUAAAGCGCAUGAAGAAACUCCAUACCGAUGGACUUUUGGAACCACUUGAUUAUGAAUCACUUGGUACUUGCGAACCGUGCCUCAUGGGCAAGAUGACUAAAACACCGUUCUCCGGUACUAUGGAGAGAGCAACAGAUUUGUUGGAAAUCAUACAUACCGAUGUAUGUGGCCCGAUGAAUAUUGAGGCUCGUGGCGGAUAUCGUUAUUUUCUCACCUUCACAGAUGAUUUAAGCAGAUAUGGGUAUAUUUACUUAAUGAAACAUAAGUCUGAAACAUUUGAAAAGUUCAAAGAAUUUCAGAGUGAAGUUGAAAAUCAUCGUAACAAGAAAAUAAAGUUUCUACGAUCUGAUCGUGGAGGAGAAUAUUUGAGUUACGAGUUUGGUGUACAUUUGAAAAACUGUGGAAUAGUUUCGCAACUCACGCCACCCGGAACACCACAGCGUAAUGGUGUAUCCGAACGUCGUAAUCGUACUUUACUAGAUAUGGUGUGAUCUAUGAUGUCUCUUACUGAUUUACCGCUAUCAUUUUGGGGAUAUGCUUUAGAGACGGCCACAUUCACAUUAAAUAGGGCACCAUCAAAAUCCGUUGAGACGACGCCUUAUGAACUGUGGUUUGGCAAGAAACCAAAGUUGUCGUUUCUUAAAGUUUGGGGCUGCGAUGCUUAUGUGAAAAAACUUCAACCUGAUAAGCUCGAACCCAAAUCGGAGAAAUGUGUCUUCAUAGGAUACCCAAAGGAAACUGUUGGGUACACCUUCUAUCACAGAUCCGAAGGCAAAACAUUCGUUGCUAAGAAUGGAUCAUUUCUAGAGAAGGAGUUUCUCUCGAAAGAAGUGAGUGGGAGGAAAGUAGAACUUGACGAGGUAACUGUACCUGCUCCCUUACUGGAAAGUAGUUCAUCACAGAAAACUGUUUCAGUGACACCUACACCAGUUAGUGAGGAAGCCAAUGAUAAUGAUCAUGAAACUUCAGAUCAAGAUACUGCUGAACCUCGUAGAUCAACCAGAGUAAGAUCCGCACCAGAGUGGUACGGUAAUCCUGUUCUGGAGGUCAUGCUACUAGAUCAUGAUGAACCUACGAACUAUGAAGAAGCGAUGGUGAGCCCAGAUUCCGCAAAGUGGCUUGGAGCCAUGAAAUCUGAGAUGGGAUCCAUGUAUGAGAACAAAGUAUGGACUUUGGUUGACUUGCCCGAUGAUCGGCAAGCAAUUGAGAAUAAAUGGAUCUUUAAGAAGAAGACUGACGCUGAUGGUAAUGUUACUGUCUACAAAGCUCGACUUGUCGCAAAAGGUUUUCGGCAAGUUCAAGGGAUUGACUACGAUGAGACCUUCUCACCCGUAGCGAUGCUUAAGUCCGUCUGAAUCAUGUUAGCAAUUGCCGCAUUUUAUGAUUAUGAAAUUUGGCAAAUGGAUGUCAAAACUGCAUUCCUGAAUGGAUUUCUGGAAGAAGAGUUGUAUAUGAUGCAACCAGAAGGUUUUGUCGAUCCAAAGGGAGCUAACAAAGUGUGCAAGCUCCAGCGAUCCAUUUAUGGACUGGUGCAAGCCUCUCGGAGUUGGAAUAAACGUUUUGAUAGUGUGAUCAAAGCAUUUGGUUUUAUACAGACUUUCGGAGAAGCCUGUAUUUACAAGAAAGUGAGUGGGAGCUCUGUAACAUUUCUGAUAUUAUAUGUGGAUGACAUAUUACUGAUUGGAAAUGAUAUAGAAUUUCUGGAUAGCAUAAAGGGAUACUUGAAUAAAAGUUUUUCAAUGAAAGACCUCGGUGAAGCUGCUUACAUAUUAGGCAUUAAGAUCUAUAGAGAUAGAUCAAGACGCUUAAUUGGACUUUCACAAAGCACAUACCUUGACAAAAUUUUGAAGAAGUUCAAAAUGGAUCAAGCAAAGAAAGGGUUCUUGCCUGUGUUACAAGGUGUGAAAUUGAGUAAGACUCAAUGCCCGACCACUGCAGAAGAUAGAGAGAAUAUGAAAGAUGUUCCCUAUGCAUCAGCCAUAGGCUCUAUCAUGUAUGCAAUGCUGUGUACCAGACCUGAUGUAUGCCUUGCUAUAAGUUUAGCAGGGAGGUACCAAAGUAAUCCAGGAAUGGAUCACUGGACAGCGGUCAAGAACAUCCUGAAAUACCUGAAAAGGACUAAGGAUAUGUUUCUCGUAUAUGGAAGUGACAAAGAGCUCAUCGUAAAAGGUUACGUUGAUGCAAGCUUUGACACUGAUCCGGACGAUUCUAAAUCGCAAACCGGAUACGUGUUUUCAUUAAACGGUAGGAGCUGUCAGUUGGUGCAGUUCUAAACAAAGCGUCGUAGCGGGAUCUACAUGUGAAGCGGAAUACAUAGCUGCUUCGGAAGCAGCAAAUGAAGGAGUCUGGAUGAAGGAGUUCAUAUCCGAUCUAGGUGUCAUACCUAGUGCAUCGGGUCCAAUGAAAAUCUUUUGUGACAAUACUGGUGCAAUUGCCUUAGCAAAGGAAUCCAGAUUUCACAAAAGGACCAAACACAUCAAGAGACGCUUCAACUCCAUCCGGGAUCUAGUCCAGGUGGGAGACAUAGAGAUUUGCAAGAUACAUACGGAUCUGAAUGUUGCAGACCCGUUGACUAAGCCUCUUCCACGAGCAAAACAUGAUCAGCACCAAGGCUCCAUGGGUGUUAGAAUCAUUACAGUGUAAUCUAGAUUAUUGACUCUAGUGCAAGUGGGAGACUGAAGGAAAUAUGCCCUAGAGGCAAUAAUAAAGUUAUUAUUUAUUUCCUUAUAAUCAUGAUAAAUGUUUAUUAUUCAUGCUAGAAUUGUAUUUACCGGAAACAUAAUACAUGUGUGAAUACAUAGACAAACAAAGUGUCACUAGUAUGCAUCUACUUGACUAGCUCGUUAAUCAAAGAUGGUUAUGUUUCCUAACCAUGAACAAUGAGUUGUUAUUUGAUUAACGAGGUCACAUCAUUAGUAGAAUGAUCUGAUUGACAUGACCCAUUCCAUUAGCUUAGCACCCGAUCGUUUAGUGUGUUGCUAUUGCUUUCUUCAUGACUUAUACAUGUUCCUAUGACUAUGAGAUUAUGCAACUCCCGUUUACCGGAGGAACACUUUGGGUACUACCAAACGUCACAACGUAACUGGGUGAUUAUAAAGGAGUACUACAGGUGUCUCCAAUGGUCGAUGUUGGGUUGGCGUAUUUCGAGAUUAGGAUUUGUCACUCCGAUUGUCGGAGAGGUAUCUCUGGGCCCUCUCGGUAAUACACAUCACAUAAGCCUUGCAAGCAUUACAACUAAUAUGUUAGUUGUGAGAUGAUGUAUUACGGAACGAGUAAAGAGACUUGCCGGUAACGAGAUUGAACUAGGUAUUGGAUACCAACGAUCGAAUCUCGGGCAAGUAACAUACCGAUGACAAAGGGAACAACGUAUGUUGUUAUGCGGUCUGACCGAUAAAGAUCUUCGUAGAAUAUGUAGGAGCCAAUAUGGGCAUCCAGGUCCCGCUAUUGGUUAUUGACCAGAGACAUGUCUCGGUCAUGUCUACAUUGUUCUCGAACCCGUAGGGUCCGCACGCUUAAGGUUACGAUGACAGUUAUAUUAUGAGUUUAUGCAUUUUGAUGUACCGAAGGUUGUUCGGAGUCCCGGAUGUGAUCACGGACAUGACGAGGAGUCUCGAAAUGGUCGAGACAUAAAGAUUGAUAUAUUGGAAGCCUAUGUUUGGACAUCGGAAGUGUUCCGGGUGAAAUCGGGAUUUUACCGGGUUACCGGGAGGUUACCGGAACCCCCCGGGAACCACAUGGGCCUUCAUGGGCCUUAGUGGAAAGGAGAAAAGGGCAGCCCAAGGGGGCUGCGCGCCUCCCCCCUUCCCCUAGUCCUAUUAGGACUAGGAGAGGUGGCCGGCCACCCCUCUCCCUCUUUCCCCCUUGGGAAUCCUAAUUGGAAUAGGAUUGGAGGGGAGUCCUACUCCCGGUAGGAGUAGGACUCCUCCUGCGCCUCCUCCUCCUGGCCGGCGCACCCUCCCCCCUUGGCUCCUUUAUAUACUGAGGCAGGGGCACCUCUAAACACACAAGUUGACACAAGUUGAUCCACGUGAUCAAUUCCUUAGCCGUGUGCGGUGCCCCCUGCCCCCUGCCACGACGCCUUAUGAACUGUGGUUUGGCAAGAAACCAAAGUUGUCGUUUCUUAAAGUUUGGGGCUGCGAUGCUUAUGUGAAAAAACUUCAAACUGAUAAGCUCGAACCCAAAUCGGAGAAAUGUGUCUUCAUAGGAUACCCAAAGGAAACUGUUGGGUACACCUUCUAUCACAGAUCCGAAGGCAAAACAUUCGUUGCUAAGAAUGGAUCAUUUCUAGAGAAGGAGUUUCUCUCGAAAGAAGUGAGUGGGAGGAAAGUAGAACUUGACGAGGUAACUGUACCUGCUCCCUUACUGGAAAGUAGUUCAUCACAGAAAACUGUUUCAGUGACACCUACACCGGUUAGUGAGGAAGCCAAUGAUAAUGAUCAUGAAACUUCAGAUCAAGAUACUACUGAACCACGUAGAUCAACCAGAGUAAGAUCCGCGCCAGAGUGGUACGGAAAUCCUGUUCUGGAAGUCAUGCUACUAGAUCAUGAUGAACCUACGAACUAUGAAGAAGCGAUGGUGAGCCCAGAUUCCGCAAAGUGGCUUGAAGCCAUGAAAUCUGAGAUGGGAUCCAUGUAUGAGAACAAAGUAUGGACUUUGGUUGACUUGCCCGAUGAUCGGCAAGCAAUUGAGAAUAAAUGGAUCUUUAAGAAGAAGACUGACGCUGAUGGUAAUGUUACUGUCUACAAAGCUCGACUUGUCGCAAAAGGUUUUCGACAAGUUCAAGGAAUUGACUACGAUGAGACCUUCUCACCCGUAGCGAUGCUUAAGUCCGUUAGAAUCAUGUUAGCAAUUGCCGCAUUUUAUGAUUAUGAAAUUUGGCAAAUGGAUGUCAAAACUGCAUUCCUGAAUGGAUUCCUGGAAGAAGAGUUGUAUAUGAUGCAACCAGAAGGUUUUGUCGAUCCAAAGGGAGCUAACAAAGUGUGCAAGCUCCAGCGAUCCAUUUAUGGACUGGUGCAAGCCUCUCGGAGAUGGAAUAAACGUUUUGAUAGUGUGAUCAAAGCAUUUGGUUUUAUACAGACUUUCGGAGAAGCCUGUAUUUACAAGAAAGUGAGUGGGAGCUCUGUAGCAUUUCUGAUAUUAUAUGUGGAUGACAUAUUACUGAUUGGAAAUGAUAUAGAAUUUCUGGAUAGCAUAAAGGGAUACUUGAAUGAAAGUUUUUCAAUGAAAGACCUCGGUGAAGCUGCUUACAUAUUAGGCAUUAAGAUCUAUAGAGAUAGAUCAAGACGCUUAAUUGGACUUUCACAAAGCACAUACCUUGACAAAAUUUUGAAGAAGUUCAAAAUGGAUCAAGCAAAGAAAGGGUUCUUGCCUGUGUUACAAGGUGUGAAAUUGAGUAAGACUCAAUGCCCGACCACUGCAGAAGAUAGAGAGAAUAUGAAAGAUGUUCCCUAUGCAUCAGCCAUAGGCUCUAUCAUGUAUGCAAUGCUGUGUACCAGACCUGAUGUAUGCCUUGCUAUAAGUUUAGCAGGGAGGUACCAAAGUAAUCCAGGAAUGGAUCACUGGACAGCGGUCAAGAACAUCCUGAAAUACCUGAAAAGGACUAAGGAUAUGUUUCUCGUAUAUGGAAGUGACAAAGAGCUCAUCGUAAAAGGUUACGUUGAUGCAAGCUUUGACACUGAUCCGGACGAUUCUAAACCGCAAACCGGAUACGUGUUUUUAUUAAACGGUGGAGCUGUCAGUUGGUGCAGUUCUAAACAAAGCGUCGUAGCGGGAUCUACAUGUGAAGCGGAAUACAUAGCUGCUUCGGAAGCAGCAAAUGAAGGAGUCUGGAUGAAGGAGUUCAUAUCCGAUCUAGGUGUCAUACCUAGUGCAUCGGGUCCAAUGAAAAUCUUUUGUGACAAUACUGGUGCAAUUGCCUUGGCAAAGGAAUCCAGAUUUCACAAAAGGACCAAACACAUCAAGAGACGCUUCAACUCCAUCCGGGAUCUAGUCCAGGUGGGAGACAUAGAGAUUUGCAAGAUACAUACGAAUCUGAAUGUUGCAGACCCGUUGACUAAGCCUCUUCCACGAGCAAAACAUGAUCAGCACCAAAGCUCCAUGGGUGUUAGAUUCAUUACAGUGUAAUCUAGAUUAUUGACUCUAGUGCAAGUGGGAGACUGAAGGAAAUAUGCCCUAGAGGCAAUAAUAAAGUUAUUAUUUAUUUCCUUAUAAUCAUGAUAAAUGUUUAUUAUUCAUGCUAGAAUUGUAUUUACCGGAAACAUAAUACAUGUGUGAAUACAUAGACAAACAAAGUGUCACUAGUAUGCCUCUACUUGACUAGCUCGUUAAUCAAAGAUGGUUAUGUUUCCUAACCAUGAACAAUAAGUUGUUAUUUGAUUAACGAGGUCACAUCAUUAGUAGAAUGAUCUGAUUGACAUGACCCAUUCCAUUAGCUUAGCACACGAUCGUUUAGUAUGUUGCUAUUGCUUUCUUCAUGACUUAUACAUGUUCCUAUGACUAUGAGAUUAUGCAACUCCCGUUUACCGGAGGAACACUUUGGGUACUACCAAACGUCACAACGUCACUGGGUGAUUAUAAAGGAGUACUACAGGUGUCUCCAAUGGUCGAUGUUGGGUUGGCGUAUUUCGAGAUUAGGAUUUGUCACUCCGAUUGUCGGAGAGGUAUCUCUGGGCCCUCUCGGUAAUACACAUCACAUAAAGCCUUGCAAGCAUUACAACUAAUAUGUUAGUUGUGAGAUGAUGUAUUACGGAACGAGUAAAGAGACUUGCCGGUAACGAGAUUGAACUAGGUAUUGGAUACCGACGAUCGAAUCUCGGGCAAGUAACAUACCGAUGACAAAGGGAACAACGUAUGUUGUUAUGCGGUCUGACCGAUAAAGAUCUUCGUAGAAUAUGUAGGAGCCAAUAUGGGCAUCCAGGUCCCGCUAUUGGUUAUUAACCAGAGACAUGUCUCGGUCAUGUCUACAUUGUUCUCGAACCCGUAGGGUCCGCACGCUUAAGGUUACGAUGACAGUUAUAUUAUGAGUUUAUGCAUUUUGAUGUACCGAAGGUUGUUCGGAGUCCCGGAUGUGAUCACGGACAUGACGAGGAGUCUCGAAAUGGUCGAGACGUAAAGAUUGAUAUAUUGGAAGCCUAUGUUUGGACAUCGGAAGUGUUCCGGGUGAAAUCGGGAUUUUACCGGGUUACCGGGAGGUUACCGGAACCCCCCGGGAGCCAUAUGGGCCUUCAUGGGCCUUAGUGGAAAGGAGAAAGGGACAUCCCAAGGUGGCUGCGCCUCUUCCCCCUCCCCUAGUCCUAUUAGGACUAGGAGAAGGUGGCCGGCCCCCCUCUCUCCCUUCCCCUCCGAGGAAUCCUAGUUGGACUAGGAUUGGAGGAGGAAUCCUACUCCCAGAGGGAGUAGGACUCUCCUGCGCCUCCCUCUUUGGCCGGCCAGCCUCCCCUCCUCUCCUCCUUUAUAUACGGAGGCAGGGGCACCUCUAAACACACAAGUUGACACAAGUUGAUCCACGUGAUCAAUUCCUUAGCCGUGUGCGGUGCCCCCUGCCACCAUAUUCCUCGAUAAUACUGUAGCGGAGUUUAGGCGAAGCCCUGCUGCUGUAGUUCAUCAAGAUCGUCACCACGCCGUCGUGCUGACGGAACUCUUCCCCGACACUUUGCUGGAUCGGAGUCCGGGGAUCGUCAUCGAGCUGAACGUGUGCUCGAACUCGGAGGUGCCGUAGUUUCGGUGCUUGAUCGGUUGGAUCGUGAAGACGUACGACUACUUCCUCUACGUCGUGUCAUCGCUUCCGCAGUCGGUCUGCGUAGGGUACGUAGACAACACUCUUCUUUCGUUGCUAUGCAUCACAUGAUCCUGUGUGCGCGUAGGAAAUUUUUUGAAAUUACUACGAAACCCAACAGUCACUCCGUAUGAUGGAGAGGUAUCUCUGGGCCCACUCGGUAAUGCAUCAUCAUAAUGAGCUCAAGGUGACCAAGGUGUUGGCCACGGGAUCAUGCAUUACGGUACGAGUAAAGUGACUUGCCGGUAACGAGACUAAACAAGGUAUUGGGAUACCGACGAUCGUGUCUCGGGUAAGUAACGUACCGAUUGACAAAGGGAAUUGCAUACGGGAUUUGAUCGAAUCCUCGAUAUCGUGGUUCAACUGAUGAAAUCAUCGAGGAGCAUGUGGGAGCCAACAUGGGUAUCCAGAUCCCGCUGUUGGUUAUUGCCCGAGAGUUGUCUCGGUCAUGUCUACGUGUCUCCCGAACCCGUAGGGUCUACACACUUAAGGUUCGGUGACGCUAGGGUUGUAUGAAUAUGAGUAUGCAGCAUACCGAAUGUUGUUCGGAGUCCCGGAUGAGAUCCCGGAUGUCAUGAGGAGUUUCGGAAUGGUCCGGAGGUAAAGAAUAAUAUAUAGGAAGUGGUAUUUCGGCCAUCGGGAAAGUUUCGGGGUCACCCGGUAUUGUACCGGGACCACCGGAAGGGUCCCGGGGGUCCAUCGGGUGGGGCCACCCAUCCCGGAGGGCCCCAUGGGCUGACGUGGGAGGGAAGCCAUCCCAUAGUGGGCUGGUGCGCCCCUAGGCCCACCCCCUGCGCCUAGGGUUGAAACCCUAGGGNNNNNNNNNNNNNNNNNNNNNNNNNNNNNNNNNNNNNNNNNNNNNNNNNNNNNNNNNNNNNNNNNNNNNNNNNNNNNNNNNNNNNNNNNNNNNNNNNNNNNNNNNNNNNNNNNNNNNNNNNNNNNNNNNNNNNNNNNNNNNNNNNNNNNNNNNNNNNNNNNNNNNNNNNNNNNNNNNNNNNNNNNNNNNNNNNNNNNNNNNNNNNNNNNNNNNNNNNNNNNNNNNNNNNNNNNNNNNNNNNNNNNNNNNNNNNNNNNNNNNNNNNNAUUGCCUUGGCGCCUCCCUCCCCCUGCUACACCUCGUCCUCCUCCCGUAGACGCUUGGCGAAGCCCUGCUGGAGUUCUGCUGCAUCCACCACCACGCCGUCGUGCUGCUAGAUCAUCAUCAACCUCUCCUUCCCCCUUGCUGGAUCAAGAAGGAGGAGACGUCUCCCGUCCCGUACGUGUGUUGAACGCGGAGGUGUUGUCCGUUCAGCACUUGGACAUCGGUGAUCUGAAUCACGUCGAGUACGACUCCAUCAUCACCAUCCCUUUGCAAGCUUCCGCACGCGAUCUACAAGUGGUAUGUAGAUGCAAACUCACUCCCUUGACUCAUUGCUUAGAUGAACUCAUAGAUGGAUCUUGGUGAAACCGUAGGAAAAAUUUUAAUUUUCUGCAACGUUCCCCAACAGUGGCAGCAUGAGCUAGGUCUAUGCGUAGUUCUCUAAUGCACGAGUAGAACACAAUUUUGUUGUGGGCGUGGAUCUUGUCAACUUGCUUGCCUCUACUAGUCUUUUCUUGCUUCAGCGGUAUUGUGGGAUGAAGCGGCCCGGACCAACCUUACACGUACGCUUACGUGAGACCGGUUCCACCGAUUGACAUGCACUAGUUGCAUAAGGUGGCUGGCGGGUGUCUGUCUCUCCCACUUUAGUUGGAGCGGAUUCGAUGAAAAGGGCCCUUAUGAAGGGUAAAUAGAAGUUGACAAAAUCACGUUGUGGUUAUUCGUAGGUAAGAAAACGUUCUUGCUAGAACCCAAUCGCAGCCACGUAAAAGAUGCAACAACAAUUAGAGGACGUCUAACUUGUUUUUGCAGCGAUUGAUCAUGUGAUGUGAUAUGGCCAGAAGUUGUGAUGAAUGAUGAAUUGUGAUGUAUGAGAUCAUGUUCUUGUAAUAGGAUUCAUGACUUGCAUGUCGAUGAGUAUGACAACCGGCAGGAGCCAUAGGAGUUGUCUUUAUUUUUUGUAAGACCUGCGUGUCAUUGAAGAACGCCAUGUAAAUGUUGGAAAUAUGCCCUAGAGGCAAUAAUAAAAGUAUUAUUAUUAUAUUUCCUUGUUCAUGAUAAUUGUCUUUUAUUCAUGCUAUAACUAUAUUAUCCGGAAAUCGUAAUACACGUGUGAAUACAUAGACCACAAUAUGUCCCUAGUGAGCCUCUAGUUGACUAGCUCGUUGUGAUCAACAGAUAGUCAUGGUUUCCUGGCUAUGGACAUUGGAUGUCGUUGAUAACGGGAUCACAUCAUUAGGAGAAUGAUGUGAUGGACAAGACCCAAUCCUAAGACUAGCACAAAAGAUCGUGUAUUUCAUUUGCUAGAGCUUUGCCAAUGUCAAGUAUCUCUUCCUUCGACCAUGAGAGCGUGUAACUCCUGGAUACCGUAGGAGUGCUUUGGGUGUAUCAAACGUCACAACGUAACUGGUGGACUAUAAAGGUGCACUACAGGUAUCUCCGAAAGUAUGUAUUGUUUUAUGCGGAUCGAGACUGGGAUUUGUCACUCCGUGUAAACGGAGAGGUAUCUCUGGGCCCACUCGGUAGGACAUCAUCAUAUGCGCAAUGUGACCAAGAAGUUGAUCACGGGAUGAUGUGUUACGGAACGAGUAAAGUGACUUGCCGGUAACGAGAUUGAACAAGGUAUUGGAUACCGACGAUCGAAUCUCGGGCAAGUAACAUACCGAUAGACAAAGGGAAUUGAAUACGGGAUUGAUUAAGUCCUUGACAUCGUGGUUCAUCCGAUGAGAUCAUCGUGGAACAUGUGGGAGCCAUCAUGGGUAUCCAGAUCCCGCUGUUGGUUAUUGAUCGGAGAACGUCUCGGUCAUGUCUACAUGUCUCCCGAACCCGUAGGGUCUACACACUUAAGGUUCGAUGACGCUAGGGUUAUAAAGGAAGUUUGUAUGUGGUUACCGAAUGUUGUUCGGAGUCCCGGAUGAGAUCCCGGACAUCACGAGGAGUUCCGGAAUGGUCCGGAGGUAAAGAUUUAUAUAUGGGAAGUCCUAUUUUGGCCACCGGAAAAUGUUCGGGAUUUUUCGGUAUUGUACCGGGAAGGUUCUAGAAGGUUCCGGAGUGGGGCCCACCUGCAUGGGGGGACCCACAUGAACGUGGGUAGUGGGGGCGAGGCCCCACACCCCUGGUCAAGACGCACCAAGAUCCCCCCUUAGAAGGAAUAAGAUCAUAUCCCGAAGGGAUAAGAUCAAGAUCCCUAAAAAGGGGGGAUAACAAUCGGUGGGGAAGGAAAUGAUGGGAUUUCUUUCCUCCCACCUUGGCCAAUGCCCCAAUGGACUUGGAGGGCAAGAAACCAGCCCCUCCACCCCUAUAUAUAGUGGGGAGACACAUGGGAGCUACAGACGAAGUUCUGGCGCAGCCCUCCCCCUCUCCCAAGUCGUCCUCCUCUCCCGUGGUGCUUGGCGAAGCCCUGGUGGAUUGCCACGCUCCUCCAUCACCACCACACCGUUGUGCUGCUGUUGGAUGGAGUCUUCCUCAACCUCUCCCUCUCUCCUUGCUGGAUCAAGGCGUGGGAGACGUCACCGGGCUGUACGUGUGUUGAACGCGGAGGUGCCGUGCGUUCGGCACUUGAUCAUCGAUGAUUUGAAUCACGACGAGUACGACUCCUUCAACCCCGUUCUCUUGAACGCUUCCGCUUAGCGAUCUGCAAGGGUAUGUAGAUGCACUCUCUUUCUACUCGUUGCUGGUCUCUCCGUAGAUAGAUCUUGGUGACACAUAGGAAAAUUUUGAAUUUCUGCUACGUUCCCCUACAGUGGCAUCAUGAGCUAGGUCUAUUGCGUAGAUUCUUUGCACGAGUAGAACACAAAGUAGUUGUGGGCGUUGAUUUUGUUCAAUAUGCUUUCCGUUACUAGUCCAAUCUUGUUUCGACGGUAUUGUGGGAUGAAGCGGCCCGGACCGACCUUACACGUACUCUUACGUGAGACAGGUUCCACCGAUUGACAUGCACUUGGUGCAUAAGGUGGCUAGCGGGUGCCAGUCUCUCCCACUUUAGUCGGAACGGAUUCGAUGAAAAGGGUCCUUAUGAAGGGUAAAUAGCAAUUGGCAUAUCACGUUGUGGUUUUGCGUAGGUAAGAAACGUUCUUGCUAGAAACCCAUAGCAGCCACGUAAAACAUGCAAACAACAAUUAGAGGACGUCUAACUUGUUUUUGCAGGGUAUGCUAUGUGAUGUGAUAUGGCCAAGAAGAAUGUGAUGAAUGAUAUGUGAUGUAUGAGAUUGAUCAUGUUCUUGUAAUAGGAUUCACGACUUGCAUGUCGAUGAGUAUGACAACCGGCAGGAGCCAUAGGAGUUGCCUUUAUUUAUUGUAUGACCUGCGUGUCAUUUAACAACGCCAUGUAAAUUACUUUACUUUAUUGCUAAACGCGUUAGCCAUAGAAGUAGAAGUAGUCAUUGGCGUGACAACUUCAUGAAGACACGAUGAUGGAGAUCAUGAUGAUGGAGAUCAUGGUGUCAUGCCGGUGACAAGAUGAUCAUGGAGCCCCGAAGAUGAAGAUCAAAGGAGCUAUAUGAUAUUGGCCAUAUCAUGUCACUACUCUAUUUGAUUGCAUGUGAUGUUUAUCAUGUUUAUGCAUCUUGUUUACUUAGGACGACGGUAGUAAAUAAGAUGAUCCCUUACAAAAUUUCAAGAAGUGUUCUCCCCUAACUGUGCAUCGUUGCUAUAGUUCGUCGCUUCUAAGCACCACGUGAUGAUCGGGUGUGAUGGAUUCUUACGUUCACAUACAACGGGUGUAAGACAGUUUUACACAGCGAAAACACUUAGGGUUAACUUGACAAGCCUAGCAUGUACAGACAUGGCCUCGGAACACGGAGACCGAAAGGUCGAGCAUGAGUCGUAUAGUAGAUACGAUCAACAUGAAGAUGUUCACCGAUGAUGACUAGUCCGUCUCACGUGAUGAUCGGACACAACCUAGUUGACUCGGAUCAUGUAAUCACUUAGAUGACCAGAGGGAUGUCUAUCUGAGUGGGAGUUCAUAAGAUGAACUUAAUUAUCCUGAACAUAGUCAAAAGACCUUUUGCAAAUUAUGUCGUAGCUCGCGCUAUAGUUCUACUGUUUAGAUAUGUUCCUAGAGAAAAUAUAGUUGAAAGUUGAUAGUAGCAAUUAUGCGGACAGUAGAAAGCUUAUGUCCUUAAUGUACCGCUCAGUGUGCUGAACCCCAAACGUCGUUUGUGGAUGUUGCGAACAUCGGACAUACACGUUUUGAUAACUACGUGAUAGUUUAGUUAAACGGUUUAGAGUUGAGGCACCAAAGACGUUUUCGAAACAUCGCGAAACAUAUGAGAUGUUUCGAGGGCUGAAAUUGGGAUUUCAGGCUCGUGCCCACGUCAAGAGGUAUAAGACCUCCGACGAUUUUCUUAACCUGCAAACUAAGGAAGAAAAGCUCAAUCGUUGAGCUUGUGCUCAGAUUGUCUGAGUGCAACAAUCACUUGAAUCGAGUGGGAGUUAAUCUUCCAGAUGAGAUAGUGAUGUUUCCCCAAAGUCAUUGCCACCAAGCUGCUAGAGCUUCGUGAUGAACUAUAACAUAUCAGGGACAGAUAUGAUGAUCCUUGAGGUAUUCGCGAUGUUUGACACCGCGAAAGUAGAAAUCAAGAAGGAGCAUCAAUUGUUGAUGGUUGGUGAAACCACUAGUUUCAAGAAGGGCAAGUGCAAGAAGGGAUACUUCAUGAAAUGACAAAUCAGCUGCUGCUCCAGUGAAGAAACCCAAGGUUGAACCCAAACCCGAGACUAAGUGCUUCUGUAAUAAGGGGAACAAUCACUAGAGCAGAAUUACCCUAGAUACUUGGUAGAUGAGAAGGCUGGCAAGGUCGAUAGAAGUAUAUUGGAUAUACAUUAUGUUAAUGUGUACUUUACUAGUACUCCUAGUAGCACCAGGGUAUAAGAUACCGGUUCGGUUGCUAAGUGUUAGUAACUCGAAAUAAAAGCUACGGCAUAAACGGAGACUAGCUAAAGGUGAGCUGACGAUAUGUGUUGGAAGUGUCUCCAAUGUUGAUAUGAUCAAGCAUCACACGCUCCCUCUACCAUCGAGAUUUGGUGUUUGCGUUGAGCAUAGACAUGAUUGGAUUAUGUCUAUCGCAAUACGGUUAUUAAUUUAAAGAGAAUAAUGGUUACUCUAUUUAUUUGAAUAAUACCUUCAAUGGUCUUGCACCUAAAAUGAAUGGUUUAUUGAAUCUCGAUCGUAGUGAUACACAUUUUCAUGCCAAAAGAUAUAAGAUAGUAAUGAUAGUACCACUUACUUGUGGCACUGCCAUGUAAGUCAUAAUGGUAUAAAACGCAUGAAGAAGCUCCAUGUUGAUGGAUCUUUGGACUCACUCGUUUUUGAAAAGUUUGAGACAUGCGAACCAUGUCUAUUGGUGUAUAUGCAUGAAGAAACUCCAUGCAAAUGGACCGUUUGGACUCACUUGAUUUUGAAUCACUUGAGAUAUGCAAAUCAUACCACAUGGGCAAGAUGACUGAAAAAGCCUCGUUUUCAGUAAGAUGGAACAAGAUAGCAACUUGUUGGAAGUAACACAUUUUGAUGUGUCCAAUCCAAUGAGUGCUGAGGCAUGCAGUGAAUAUCGUUAAGAUCUUACUUCACAGAUGAUUCGAGUAGAUGUUGAGAAUAUUUACUUGAUGAAAUACAAGUCUGAAUUAUUGAAUGGUUCAAGUAAUUUCAGAGUGAAGUAGAAGAUCAUUGUGACAAGAGGAUAAAAUGUCUAUGAUAUGAUCAUAGAGAUGAAUAUCUGAGUUACGAGUUUUGGCACACAAUUAAGACAUUGUGGAAAUUGUUUCGCAAUUAAUACCGCCUGGAACACCAUAGUGUGAUGGUGUGUCCGAACAUCAUAGUUGCACCCUAUUGGAUAUGGUGCGUACCAUGAUGUCUCUUAUCGAAUUACCACUAUUGUCCAUGGGUUAGGCAUUAGAGACAACCACAUUCACUUUAAAUAGGGCACCACGUAAUUCCGUUGAGAUGACACCGUAUGAAUUAUGGUUUAGAGAAACCUAAGUUGUCAUUUCUUAAAAGUUUGGGGCUGCGACGCUUAUAUGAAAAAGUUUUAGGUUGAUAAGCUCGAACCCAAAGCGGAUAAAAUGCAUCUUCAUAGGAAACCCAAAACAGUUGGGUAUACCUCCUAAUUCAGAUCCGAAAGCAAUAUGGAUUGUUUCUUGAAUCGGGUCCUUUCUCGAGGAAAAGUUUCUCUCGAAAGAAUUGAGUGGGAGGAUGGUGGAAACUUGAUGAGGUUAUUGAACCGUCUCUUCAACUAGUGUGUGGCAGGGCACAGGAAGUUGUUCCUGUGGCACCUACACCAAUUGAAGUGGAAGCUUGUGAUGUUGAUCAUGAAACUUCGGAUCAAGUCACUACCAAACCUCGUGGGAUGACAAGGAUACGUACUACAUUAGAGUGGUACGUAAUCCUGUCUUGGAAGUCAUGUUGCUGGACAACAAUGAACCUACGAGCUAUGGAGAAGCAAUGGUGGGCCCGGAUUCCGAUAAAUGGCUCGAGGCCAUAAAAUCCGAGAAUGGAUCCAUGACUUUGGAAGAAAUACUUGAUGGUCGUAAGGCCAUUGGGUACGGAUGGAUUUUAAAAGGAAGACAGACAAUGAUGGUAAGAAUUACCAUUAAGAAAGCUCGACUUGUCGUUAAGAUAUUUUCCGACAAGUUCAAGGAGUUGAUUACGGUGAGGUUUUCUCACUCGUAGCGAUGCUAAGAGUCUGUUGGAAUUGGAUUAGCAGUUACUGCAUGAUUGAUGAAAUCUUGCAGAUAGGAUGUCAAAACAUUGUUUCCUCGACGUUAUACUUGAGGAAAGGUUGUAUGUGAUACAACCGGAAGGUUUUGUCAAUCCCAAAAGAUGCUAAUAAGUAUGCAAAGCUCCAGCAAUCCUUCUAAGGACUGGAGUGAGCAUCUCGGAGUUGGAAUGUGUGCUUUGAUGAUGAUCAAAGAUUUUGGGUUUGUACAAAGUUUACGAGAAACUUGUAUUUCCAAAGAAGUGAGUGGGAGCACUAUAGAAUUUCUGAUGAGUAUAUGUUGUUGACAUAUUGUUGAUCAGAAAUGACGUAGAAUUUCUGGAAAGCAUAUAGGGUUAUUUUGAAAGUGUUUUUCAAUGGAAAGCCUGGAUUAAGCUACUUGAACAUUGAGCAUCAAGAUCUAUAAGGAUAGAUCAAAAUGCUUAAUAAUACUUUCAAAUGAGCACAUGCCUUGACAUGAUCUUGAAGGUGUUCAAGAUGGACCAGCCAAAGAAGGAGUUCUUGCCUGAGUUGUAAGGUACGAAGUUAGGACUUAAAGCUCGACCACGGCAGAAAAGAGAGGAAGGAUGAAGGUCGUCCCCUAUACUUUAGACGUAGGCUCUACAGUAUGCCAUGCUGAGUACCGCACCUGAAGUGUGGCUUGCCAUGAGUUAGUCAAGGGGUACAAGAGUGAUCCAAGAAUGGAUCACAGGACAGCGGUCAAAGUUAUCCUUAGAAAUUAGUGGACUAAGGAAUUUUUCUCGAUUAUGGAGGUGGUAAAAGAGUUCGUCGUAAAGGGUUACGUCGAUGCAAGCUUGACACCUAUCCGGAUAGCUCUGAGUAGAGAUACCGGAUACAUAUAAUGGAGCAACAAUUUAGAAUAGCUCCAAGUAGAACAGUUAUUUGGAUUAGCUCCAAAUAGAGCGUGGUAGCUACAUCUAGGAGAUGACAUAGAGAUUUGUAAAACACACACGGAUCUGAAAGGUUCGGACCCGUUGACUAAAACCUCUCUCACAAGCAACAUGAUCAAACCUAAAACUCAUUGAGUAUUAAUCACAUAGUGAUGUGAACUAGACUACUGAUUCUAGUAAACUCUUGGGUGUUAGUCACAUGGCGCUGUGACCUGUGAGUGUUAAUCACAUGGCGAUGUGAACUAGAUUAUUGACUCUAGUGCAAGUGGGAGACUGUUGGAAAUAUGCCCUAGAGGCAAUAAUAAAAGUAUUAUUAUUAUAUUUCCUUGUUCAUGAUAAUUGUCUUUUAUUCAUGCUAUAACUGUAUCAUCCGGAAAUCAUAAUACACGUGUGAAUACAUAGACCACAAUAUGUCCCUAGUGAGCCUCUAGUUGACUAGCUCGUUGUGAUCAACAGAUAGUCAUGGUUUCCUGGCUAUGGACAUUGGAUGUCGUUGAUAACGGGAUCACAUCAUUAGGAGAAUGAUGUGAUGGACAAGACCCAAUCCUAAGACUAGCACAAAAGAUCGUGUAGUUCAUUUGCUAGGCUUUGCCAAUGUCAAGUAUCUCUUCCUUCGACCAUGAGAGCGUGUAACUCCUGGAUACCGUAGGAGUGCUUUGGGUGUAUCAAACGUCACAACGUAACUGGGUGACUAUAAAGGUGCACUACAGGUAUCUCCGAAAGUAUCUAUUGUUUUAUGCGGAUCGAGACUGGGAUUUGUCACUCCGUGUAAACGGAGAGGUAUCUCUGGGCCCACUCGGUAGGACAUCAUCAUAUGCGCAAUGUGACCAAGGAGUUGAUCAUGGGAUGAUGUGUUACGGAACGAGUAAAGUGACUUGCCGGUAACGAGAUUGAACAAGGUAUUGGAUACCGACGAUCGAAUCUCGGGCAAGUAACAUACCGAUAGACAAAGGGAAUUGAAUACGGGAUUGAUUAAGUCCUUGACAUCGUGGUUCAUCCGAUGAGAUCAUCGUGGAACAUGUGGGAGCCAUCAUGGGUAUCCAGAUCCCGCUGUUGGUUAUUGAUUGGAGAACGUCUCGGUCAUGUCUACAUGUCUCCCGAACCCGUAGGGUCUACACACUUAAGGUUCGAUGACGCUAGGGUUAUAAAGGAAGUUUGUAUGUGGUUACCGAAUGUUGUUCGGAGUCCUGGAUGAGAUCCCGGACGUCACGAGGAGUUCCGGAAUGGUCCGGAGGUAAAGAUUUAUAUAUGGGAACUCCUAUUUUGGCCACCGGAAAAUGUUCAGGAUUUUUCGGUAUUGUACCGGGAAGGUUCUAGAAGGUUCCGGAGUGGGGCCCACCUGCAUGGGGGGACCCACAUGAACGUGGGUAGUGGGGGCAAGGCCCCACAUGCCUGGUCAAGGCGCACGAAGAUCCCCCCUUAGAAGGAAUAAGAUCAUAUCCCGAAGGGAUAAGAUCAAGAUCCCUAAAAAGGGGGGAUAACAAUCGGUGGGGAAGGAAAUGAUGGGAUUUCUUUCCUCCCACCUUGGCCAACGCCCCAAUGGACUUGGAGGGCAAGAAACCAACCCCUCCACCCCUAUAUAUAGUGGGGAGACGCAUGGGAGCUACAGACGAAGUUCUGGCGCAGCCCUCCCCCUCUCCCAAGUCGUCCUCCUCUCCCGUGGUGCUUGGCGAAGCCCUGCUGGAUUGCCACGCUCCUCCAUCACCACCACGCCGUUGUGCUGCUGUUGGAUGGAGUCUUCCUCAACCUCUCCCUCUCUCCUUGCUGGAUCAAGGCGUGGGAGACGUCACCGGGCUGUACGUGUGUUGAACGCGGAGGUGCCGUGCGUUCGGCACUUGAUCAUCGAUGAUUUGAAUCACGACGAGUACGACUCCUUCAACCCCGUUCUCUUGAACGCUUCCGCUUAGCGAUCUACAAGGGUAUGUAGAUGCACUCUCUUUCUACUCGUUGCUGGUCUCUCCAUAGAUAGAUCUUGGUGACACGUAGGAAAAUUUUGAAUUUCUGCUACGUUCCCCUACAGUAAACUACUUUACUUUAUUGAUAAACGCGUUAGCCAUAGAAGUAGAAGUAGUCGUUGGCGUGACAACUUCAUGAAGACACGAUGAUGGAGAUCAUGAUGAUGGAGAUCAUGGUGUCAAGCCGGUGACAAGAUGAUCAUGGAGCCCCGAAGAUGGAGAUCAAUGGAGCUAUAUGAUAUUGGCCAUAUCAUGUCACAACUGUAUAAUUGCAUGUGAUGUUUAUUAUGUUUAUGCAUCUUGUUUACUUAGGACGACGGUAGUAAAUAAGAUGAUCCCUUACAAAAAUUUCAAGAAGUGUUCUCCCCUAACUGUGCAUCGUUGCUACAGUUCGUCGCUUCUAAGCACCACGCGAUGAUCGGGUGUGAUGGAUUCUUACGUUCACAUACAACGGGUGUAAGACAGUUUUACACAGCGAAAACACUUAGGGUUAACUUGACGAGCCUGGCAUGUACAGACAUGGCCUCGGAACACGGAGACCGAAAGGUCGAACACGAGUCGUAUGGAAGAUACGAUCAACAUGAAUAUGUUCACCGACGAUGACUAGUCCGUCUCACGUGAUGAUCGGACACGGGCUAGUCGACUCGGAUCGUGUGACACUUAGAUGACUGGAGGGAUGUCUAAUCUAAGUGGGAGUUCAUAAUUUGAUUAGAACUUAAUUAUCAUGAACUUAGUCUAAAACCUUUGCAAAUAUGUCUUGUAGAUCAAAUGGCCAACGCUCAGUUCAACAUGAACUUCAACGCGUUCCUAGAGAAAACCAAGCUGAAAGAUGAUGGCAGCAACUAUACGGACUAGGUCCGGAACCUGAGGAUCAUCCUCAUAGCUGCCAGGAAGCAAUAUGUCCUAGAAGGACCGCUAGGUGACGCUCCCGUCCCAGAGAACCAAGACGUUAUGAACGCUUGGCAAACUCGCGCUGAUGAUUACUCCCUCGUUCAGUGCGGCAUGCUUUACAGCUUAGAACCGGGGCUCCAAAAGCGUUUUGAGCAUCACGGAGCAUAUGAGAUGUUCGAAGAGCUGAAACUAGUUUUCCAAGCUCAUGCCCGGGUCGAGAGAUAUGAUGUCUCCGACAAGUUCUACAGUUGUAAGAUGGAGGAAAACAGUUCUGUCAGUGAGCACAUCCUGAAGAUGUCUGGGUUGCACAACCGUAUGACCCAGCUGAACAUUAACCUCCCAGAUGAGGCGGUCAUUGACAGAAUCCUCCAGUCGCUCCCACCAAGCUACAAGAGCUUUGUGAUGAACUACAACAUGCAGGGGAUGGUAAAGACCAUUCCUGAAGUGUUCUCGAUGCUGAAGUCAGCAGAGGCUGAAAUCAAGAAAGAACAUCAAGUGUUGAUGGUCAAUAAGACCACUAAGUUCAAGAAGGGCAAGGGUAAGAAGAACUUCAAGAAGGACGACAAAGAUGUUGCCGCGCCCGGUAAGCCAGUUGCCGGGAAGAAGUCAAAGAAUGGACCCAAGCCUGAGACUGAGUGCUUUUAUUGCAAGGGGAGGGUCACUGGAAGCGGAACUGCCCCAAAUACUUAUCGGAUAAGAAGGCCGGCAACACCAAAGGUAUAUUUGAUAUACAUGUAAUUGAUGUGUACCUUACAGUACUCGUAGUAACUCCUGGGUAUUUGAUACCGGUGCCGUUGCUCAUAUUUGUAACUCACAGCAGGAGCGGCGGAAUAAAUGGAGACUGGCAAAGGACGAGGUGACGAUGCGCGUCGGGAAUGGUUCCAGAGUCUAUGUGAUCGCCGUCGGCACGCUGCCUCUACAUUUACCCACGGGAUUAGUUUUGAACCUUAAUAAUUGUUAUUUAGUGCCAAGUUUGAGCAUGAACAUUGUAUCUGGAUCUCGUUUAAUACGAGAUGGCUACUCAUUUAAGUCUGAGAAUAAUGGUUGUUCGAUUUAUAUGAGAGAUAUGUUUUAUGGUCAUGCUCCGAUGGUCAAUGGUUUAUUCUUAAUGAAUCUCGAGCGUAAUAUUACACAUGUUCAUAGUGUGGAUGCAAAAAGAUGUAAAGUUGAUAACAAUAGUCCCACAUACUUGUGGCACUGCCGCCUUGGUCACAUUGGUGUCAAGCGCAUGAAGAAGCUCCAUGCUGAUGGACUUUUAGAGUCUCUUGAUUAUGAAUCGUUUGACACAUGCAAACCAUGCCUCAUGGGCAAAAUGACCAAGACUACGUUCUCCGGAACAAUGGAGCGAGCAACCAACUUGUUGGAAAUCAUACAUACCGAUGUGUGCGGUCCAAUGAGUGUUGAGGCUCGCGGAGGAUAUUGUUAUGUUCUCACUCUCACUGAUGACUUAAGUAGAUAUGGGUAUGUCUACUUAAUGAAACACAAGUCUGAGACCUUUGAAAAGUUCAAGGAAUUUCAGAGUGAGGUGGAGAAUCAACGUGACCGAAAGAUAAAGUUCCUACGAUCAGAUCAUGGAGGAGAAUACUUAAGUCUCGAAUUUGGUACACACUUAAGGAAAUGUGGAAUCGUUUCACAACUCACGCCGCCUGGAACACCUCAGCGAAACGGUGUGUCCGAACGUCGUAAUCGCACUCUAUUGGAUAUGGUGCGGUCUAUGAUGUCUCUUACCGAUUUACCGCUAUCAUUUUGGGGAUACACUCUAGAGACAGCUACAUUCACUUUAAAUAGGGCACCGUCUAAAUCCGUUGAGACGACACCGUAUGAAUUAUGGUUUGGGAAGAAACCUAAGCUGUCGUUUCUAAAAGUUUGGGGAUGCGAUGCUAAUGUCAAGAAACUUCAACCUGAAAAGCUCGAACCCAAGUCGGAAAUAUGCGUCUUCAUAGGAUAACCUAAGGAAACUGUCGGGUAUACCUUCUACUUAAGAUCCGAGGGCAAGAUCUUUGUUGCCAAGAACGGAUGCUUUCUGGAAAAAGAGUUUCUCUCGAAAGAAGUAAGUGGGAGGAAAGUAGAACUCGAUGAAGUACUACCUCUCGAACGGGAAAGUGGUGCAGCGCAGGAAACCGUUCCUAUGAUGCCCACACCAACUGAAGAGGAAAACAAUGAUGAUGAUCAAGGUACUUCGGAUCAAGUUGCUACUGAACUUCGUAGGUCCACAAGGACACGUUCCGCACCAGAGUGGUACGGCAACCCUGUCCUGGAAAUCAUGUUGUUAGACAACGGUGAACCUUCGAACUAUGAAGAAGCGAUGGCGGGCCCAGAUUCCAACAAAUGGCUUGAGGCCAUGAAAUCCGAGAUAGAAUCCAUGUAUGAAAACAAAGUAUGGACUUUGACAGACUUGCCCGAUGAUCGGCGAGCGAUAGAAAACAAAUGGAUUUUUAAGAAGAAGACGGACGCGGAUGGUAAUGUUACCAUCUACAAAGCUCGACUUGUCGCUAAGGGUUAUCGACAAGUUCAAGGGAUUGACUACGACGAGACAUUCUCUCCCGUAGCGAAGCUAAAGUCCGUCCGAAUCAUGUUAGCAAUUGCCGCAUACUAUGAUUAUGAGAUAUGGCAGAUGGACGUCAAAACGGCAUUCCUUAAUGGACAUCUUAAGGAAGAGCUGUAUAUGAUGCAUCCGGAAGGUUUUGUCGAUCCUAAGAACACUAACAAAGUAUGCAAGCUCCAGCGAUCCAUUUAUGGACUGGUGCAAGCAUCUCGGAGUUGGAACAUUAGCUUUGAUGAGAUGAUCAAAGCGUUUGGGUUUAUGCAGACUUAUGGAGAAGCCUGCGUUUACAAGAAAGUGAGUGGGAGCUCUGUAGCAUUUCUCAUAUUAUAUGUAGAUGACAUACUCUUGAUGGGAAAUGAUAUAAAACUUCUGGACAGCAUUAAGGCCUACUUGAAUAAGUGUUUUUCAAUGAAGGACCUUGGAGAAGCUGCUUAUAUAUUAGGCAUCAAAAUCUAUAGAGAUAGAUCGAGACGCCUCAUAGGUCUUUCACAAAGCACAUACCUUGAUAAGAUUUUGAAGAGGUUCAAAAUGGAUCAGUCCAAGAAGGGGUUCUUGCCUAUGUUACAAGGUGUGAGAUUGAGCUCAGCUCAGUCACCGACCACGGCAAAAGAUAAAGAAGAGAUGAGUGUCAUCCCCUAUGCUUCAGCCAUAGGAUCUAUUAUGUAUGCCAUGCUGUGUACCAGACCCGAUGUAAACCUUGCCGUAAGUUUGGUAGCAAGAUAUCAAAGUAAUCCCGGCAAGGAACACCGGACAGCGGUCAAGAAUAUCCUGAAGUACCUGAAAAGGACAAAGGACAUGUUUCUCGUUUAUGGAGGAGACGAAGAGCUCGUCGUAAAGGGUUACGUCGACGCUAGCUUCGACUCAGAUCUGGAUGACUCUAAGUCACAAACCGGAUACGUGUAUAUGUUGAAUGGUGGAGCAGUAAGCUGGUGCAGCUGCAAGCAUUGCAUCAUGGCGGGAUCUACGUGUGAAGCGGAGUACAUGGCGGCCUCGGAGACAGCACAUGAAGCGAUUUGGGUGAAGGAGUUCAUCACCGACCUAGGAGUCAUACCCAAUGCGUCGGGGCCGAUCAAACUCUUCUGUGACAACACUGGAGCUAUUGCCCUUGCCAAGGAGCCCAGGUUUCACAAGAAGACCAGGCACAUCAAGCGUCGUUUCAACUCCAUCCGUGAAAAUGUUCAAGAUGGAGACAUAGAGAUUUUCAAAGUACACACGGAUCUGAAUGUCGCAGAUCCGUUGACUAAACCUCUCUCGCGAGCAAAACAUGAUCAACACCAGAACUCUAUGGGUGUUCGAUUCAUCACAAUGUAACUAGAUUGGUGACUCUAGUGCAAGUGGGAGACUGUUGGAAAUAUGCCCUAGAGGCAAUAAUAAAAGUAUUAUUAUAUUUCAUUGUUCAUGAUAAUUGUCUUUUGUUCAUGCUAUAACUGUAUUAUCCGGAAAUCGUAAUACACGUGUGAACAAAUAGACCACAAUAUGUCCCUAGUGAGCCUCUAGUUGACUAGCUCGUUGUGAUCAACAGAUAGUCAUGGUUUCCUGACUAUGGACAUUGGAUGUCGUUGAUAAUGGGAUCACAUCAUUAGGAGAAUGAUGUGAUGGACAAGACCCAAUCCUAAGCAUAGCACAAAGAUCGUGUAGUUCGUUUGCUAGAGCUUUGCCAAUGUCAAGUAUCUCUUCCUUCGACCAUGAGAUCGUGUAACUCCCGGAUCCCGUAGGAGUGCCUUGGGUGUAUCAAACGUCACAACGUAACUGGGUGACUAUAAAGGUGCAUUACAGGUAUCUCCGAAAGUGUCUGUUGGGUUGACACAGAUCGAGACUGGGAUUUGUCACUCCGUAUGACGGAGAGGUAUCUCUGGGCCCACUCGGUAAUGCAUCAUCAUAAUGAGCUCAAGGUGACCAAGGUGUUGGCCACGGGAUCAUGCAUUACGGUACGAGUAAAGUGACUUGCCGGUAACGAGACUGAACAAGGUAUUGGGAUACCGACGAUUGUGUCUCGGGUAAGUAACGUACCGAUUGACAAAGGGAAUUGUAUACGGGAUUUGAUCGAAUCCUCGACAUCGUGGUUCAACCAAUGAAAUCAUCGAGGAGCAUGUGGGAGCCAACAUGGGUAUCCAGAUCCCGCUGUUGGUUAUUGCCCGAGAGUUGUCUCGGUCAUGUCUACGUGUCUCCCGAACCCGUAGGGUCUACACACUUAAGGUUCGGUGACGCUAGGGUUGUAUGAAUAUGAGUAUGCAGCAUACUGAAUGUUGUUCGGAGUCCCGGAUGAGAUCCCGGACGUCAUGAGGAGUUUCAGAAUGGUCCGGAGGUAAAGAAUAAUAUAUAGGAAGUGGUAUUUCGGCCAUCGGGAAAGUUUUGGGGUCACCCGGUAUUGUACCGGGACCACCGGAAGGGUCCCGGGGGUCCACCGGGUGGGGCGACCCAUCCCGGAGGGCCCCAUGGGCUGACGUGGGAGGGGAGCCAGCCCAUAGUGGGCUGGUGCACCCCCCCUAGGCCCACCCCCUGCGCCUAGGGUUGAAACCCUAGGGUGGGGGGGCGCACCACAUGCCUUGGGGGGCACUCCUCCCCCCUUGGCCGCCGCCCCCUUGGGAGAUUGGAUCUCCCAGGGCCGGCGCCCCCCCUGGGGUCCUAUAUAAAGGAGGGCAGGGGGAGGGCAGCCGCACCGAUUGCCUUGGCGCCUCCCUCCCCCUGCUACACCUCGUCCUCCUCCCAUAGACGCUUGGCGAAGCCCUGCUGGAGUUCUGCUGCAUCCACCACCACGCCGUCGUGCUGCUGGAUCAUCAUCAACCUCUCCUUCCCCCUUGCUGGAUCAAGAAGGAGGAGACGUCUCCCGUCCCGUACGUGUGUUGAACGCGGAGGUGCUGUCCGUUCAGCACUUGGACAUCAGUGAUCUGAAUCACGUCGAGUACGACUCCAUCAUCACCAUCCCUUUGCAAGCUUCCGCACGCGAUCUACAAGUGGUAUGUAGAUGCAAACUCACUCCCUUGAUUCGUUGCUUAGAUGAACUCAUAGAUGGAUCUUGGUGAAACCGUAGGAAAUUUUUCAAUUUUCUGCAACGUUCCCCAACAAUCUUUAAUAGUCAUCUCCUCUGACUUCACUCCAAUAUAAUGUAACCUCUGUGUCAGUUCCUCAAUGCCUGCCAGCGCUGAUUUCAUAAUCCCUUUGGUAUUAGCUUGCCCUCUUAGGUGCUGAGCGGUUGUUGAGUUCUGUAUCUGGUCAGAAUAUGAGCUCAUAUACCUAACAGCAUAGUACCAGCCUUUGCGUAGUUUCUUGAUAGUCUCAUUUCCUUCCAACAACCACGUGACCAAAUGCCUAACUUGAUUUUGAAGCAUUAUGACAUGGGUGUAGUGGUAGUCUCUAAUUUCUUUCCCACACGCAUUUUCCAUAUAUCUAAUAGCUUUUAUAGCGGCACUGUCUUCUGCAUCUUCAUAGGUAUGUGAAACCAUACCAGAUAUUGAGGUAAAAACAAGCAAACCAUCAAGCUGCUCUAAGGAAGAAUUGAAAGUGACCUUGCCACCCGGACGUAUCUUGUGAUGGUAAAUUGUAGGGGGCAAUUUUAAAGCUUCCAACAUAAGCCCAAAUAUGUGGGAAUAGGGGAUUACUAUCAGAUAGUCAUCUUCCUGUAGGUUCAUAAUGAGGUCAAAAUAGUUGUUUCACAAAAGAACAUCUAGGUAGUCAGAUGAGGGUUUGAAUCGGAUAUGCCAGAUCAUAGAAAGUUAGAGCAUGUGUUUAGAAGAUUACUCUGGAUUCAGGUGUUCUUGUCCUUGACGAUGUUGAACCUGGAGAUCCCUCGUCACAAAUCAAACCAAUGUCCAUGCGUCCAUGCCUAAGAUGUCCAUGGCGUCCAUGCCUAAGGUCUUGGAUCUGAGCCUGUAGUGUGAUAUUGAAGUGAGGAAAAAGUCAACAGUGAAUGAGAGAGGAAAGCAGGCGUUGAAUUACCUUUACUUCGAAGAAUGGCUGCCAAAGAAGCUGAUGGAGCCGUCGCUGGGCACACCUCAUAUUCAAUAGAUUUGGAUGAUGAAAUGGAAAAGCGCUUCAUAUUCGACAGAUUCACAUGAUGAAAGGGAGAAGUGCACAGGUUCAGGGCAUUAUACCAAAAGCAAAACAGAGCAGGAUCGCAUCACACUAACAUAUUUACAAUGUAGUGACUUUUUUGAGGGAAUACAAUGCAGUGACCGUAAUAUUUGAUAAAGUGUGGCUUACCGUACCCCAUUUGUCCCCAACCAUAUCAAGCCCAGUAAGGUUCACAAAGAUUAAAAGGUUCGGAGCAUCGAAUUCUAUUACAUACCAGUUGUGUUUUACCAUAGGCAAUGCAACAUGUGAUACACCAAAAGGAUUGAGGAUUCAAGGUUCAGUUCAUCGUACCAAAAGGCCACAAAUAACCAUUCAUCUAUUAAUACUCCUAGAUGUUGAGUCACGGGAAUAAGAGCGGUACUGACAAUACAUCAGAGCUUAUAUGUGCACACAAGUUCAUGUUCAUUAUUCAUUAAGUGACUUUACAUCACCGAUAGGAAGUGCAGCUCGCUGCAACCCACCUCUAGCCAACCUGGUAGUACACUAUUCAAUAGAUCCAAUGAAUGCAAAGGUAUAAGGGUAGCAGACAGAUGAAAGGAUCAAAGAAAGACACAAGGAGGAGUAAUCACUUGUAAUAUUAAUGGUUCGGUCCAUACAUCCCUUUGAGCAUGUCAUGGAACCAAUAUAUAUGGUUCUAACUUUGAUCCCAUCUUUGAGCGAAACUACAUUUUUAUAGAUCUCCUAAUUUUGAUCCCAUUAUUUUAUAGUCCACCAUUCAAUAGUUAAUUUAACAUCAACAUCAGGAGGGAGUGUACCUCCCUUUUGCAUUUGAAUCGGUUGGAACGAUUAAACCUCUCCGCAAACAAAAUCUGCAAAGCAUGUAUCAAACAUUUUAUAGUAUGCUGGCAAUACAGAGCAAUAAAAAAACCACAAGACAAUAAUAAUGGAUGGACCUAACUUCACAUAGUAUGAAAAAUGCUCAAUUCAAUUUUUUUGAUAGUCGAUAAGUGUUUCCCAUGAGAAGUUGUAUGGUGUACAGCUGGCCAGAAAUACACACCCUGAUCAGUACAUAGUAGUAAUUGUAACAUAUAGUCUUUCUAUUUGUAUAAGCCUACAAAUUUAUGCACUUCACGAAGUAAGUGAUAUUCGACUUGUAAGUAUUCCAUUACCAUUUACCAACCACAUUUAUAUCAUAGCUCUGGAAGCUUUGGACCUCAAUACACCUUUGUUUGACCACUAUGGGGCCUUUCAAACCCUUUUUGUUCGCCUAGUCAGCACCUUAGAACGCAAUCAACAUCUUUAGCACAUCAAGAAAUACAUAUCUGGAUCAUACAAUAUAUAGCUAGUGACUUUGUUAUUCCAGUAAAUACAUAUCCUAUAUAGAUAGGAAACCGCCACGCAUUGCCCGCAGAAGCGGUGGGCUAACCAACAUUAAUAACCUCUUUAAAAGCCAAUAAGGUUAAAGAAGUAUACACCUAAAUAACUAAUCAUGCAUAUACACAAAUAGAUAUGGAUCUAAAUAUUUUGCUAGUUACCUAUGGUUUUUAGACAAAUGAAAAUAAAUAGGUGUUCCUUUAUGAAAAGGGUAUGCGGGUGCAUACCAUAAACUGUAGAAAUUGAAUAUUCAUUAUAGAAAACAGAAGUAGAAGAGCUAGAUUCAAAACAUUGAUGAAAAACUGCAACAAGUUAUUCUGUCUGUAUGUAUCUAUGGAUCGAAGUUUAUCACAAUAUUUUGAAGCAUACCAAGCUUCUGGUUCAUGCUCCUAUAUUUUAGUUCACGAAAGAAAAAAAUUCUAGUAAACUGAAACAAAAUCUAAAACGCAUGUCGAAUGCAUAUUUCAACACUCGGCACUCCACCGCAGUAAUCAUAACAUGCACCUGCUAGUGAAAGAUGAACAACUCUUUUUAAUCUGCAUUCUUAUAGUUCCCUUAUUCAAAAUUUAAAUGAAUAAAUUUGAUGACACACAAUCUUACAGGACAGUAAAUAACUACAGUUCUUCUCCUCGAAAGGCAGAAUCCAAACUCGCUAGGGUCAAAUCGACAGUUAAGUGACUGACUGUUUUUGAUUGAACUAAAUCAAGUAUGAAUGAGAAUAAAUCACAAAGUUUUAGUGGUAGAAACCAUCCAAGAGAUACACCAUCAACUACACAUUUAUCACACGCAUAUGCCAGAUAUUUUACCACAAUGGAGCUGAAUAAAAAAACACUGGACAACUUCAGUGAUAUUUUAAAUGGCUUAAACUGGUAGAAUUAGUUUGCGCCAUUUUAUACUUCUUUUCACGAAGGAGCACAUCUAGCGGCAAGAAUCGAUAGGCAAGACCCACCUUACCAGCGUCACGCCGAUGCGAAGGCAUCUCGCAGAUCCAAGGCGACCAGCCCCACCGACCGUAAUUGUAAUUGACGGUAAGACAACAGCUAAUAACAAAAAAGUGGAAUUGAAAUGAGAAGAGUCAGACCUCCUUCCAUCUUUCUAUGCUUCAACUUUAUGUUCUUACAAUGGUUUCCAUGCUCCCAGCAGCUGCUUCCAAAUGCAGUUGAAGCAAAUCGUCGUCUUCUGAAUCCUUGUAGACAACCUCCAUGGUAAAGCAAGAAUCAAGAAAGGUUUUCUACAAACCUGACCAUAAACAUGAACACAAUAACAAUAUAAAACUCGCAGUGCAAAAAACCACACCUUGCUGGGUAGUUUUGGUUGCAGCUCACUUGAUUUGUUCCUUUGGUGUUAUCUAAAUCAGGAUCAACAACGAAAACAAAAUCCAUUGAGCAUCAUCACCCCUUGCACCCCAGCCUCAACGAUGAUCCCCAUCAGGAAGUCUGGGAUGACGAUGGCAAUGAUCAUCAUCAUGCUCUCCACCAGCAGUGUGCACAUGCACAGGUUGACAACGAAGUAGGUGAAGCGGUCAGGUCCUUUCAUUUGCCCGGUAAGGUAGUACAUCAUUCUGCCAAGGAUCACAGCGAUGACAGCCAGGUAUGGAGUGGCUGACAAUGUGUUUGAGAUCACAAACUCCGCCAUGCCGUAAUGGCCACUCGGCCUCUCCCUUCUGAAUACCUAGAAACAAAGUGUGCAGACAGACUUUUAUUUAUUUCAGACUUUCAAUAUACAAUGAAAGCAUGGACAUAUAAGUGCUCUUAUGAAAAUGUCAGUCUGAUGGCAGGGAGAAAGCAACCUUUACAUCCUCUACAAAAGAAGUGAAUCCUCCAAUGGCCAUGAAGGUAAGAAGUGUCGUCGUAUACAUUAUUACUUCACAUCUAGACUGAAAAAUCAGAGGAACAGAUCAAUUUUUGUUGACAUAUAAAUUAUUUAUGUUGCCUAAUGAAUCAUGUCUUCUAGAAUUCACCUGGAUGGAACUGUAACUAUGGACAACUUGGUAUAAUAUGGUGCCAAGACAAAUGCCAAUGCCUAGGUAAACACCCAAGCGCAUCCAGUAGUAUCCUAUGUCCCUGUGCAUAUUCACAAAUGACCUUCUGGUGAGUACAAAGAGCUUUGCUGAGAAGAUCGCUUGUUCCCUCUUCCUAAAUGGAGCUCCACCCUGGAACAUAGCUCAAUAAUACUAGAACAAUAAUUUGAUUUUGAAUGUGUAAACUUCGCUAGGCCAGCACCGUAUACUCUGCGGCGAGAAGUUUGUUGCCGAUUCAUUCAAAUGAAAAAUGACAUGUUGUACAGAUGCUGAAUUAGCAUGUUGUUCCCUCCAGUUCAUAAUGGAGAUUCUUUAGGGGCUGAACUUUGAAAACUUUGACGGCCAGUAUGUUUUGAAUAUUCAGAUCCAAAAUGGUAUGCGUUUCUCAGAAAAUAUUUCCAACAUGUUAUAAUUUUACUGGGUACUAUAUGUACAUAUUAUACCACAACAAAAACAAGUUGCCAAAGUUACAUUUUGAAGGCCGUGUAAAAGACACCACUUUUUCGUGAGCUAGAGGGAGUACUUCACUGACUGAAUUUGCCCUAGUAAUUAGUUUGCAGUUGGUAUAUACAGAUCUGUCCACAUUUGGGUGGUCCCUUCUUUGUAACCAAACAUUUUGGUAUAGCCAAAACAAUACAAUCUUUACUCUCGAGAAAAAAGGGGCUUGUAAGCAACUUACUAUCCCUUUCAUCUCAGCUAUCCGGUUCAUUCUUUUCUCUAAAUAAGCGAGGGACUGGUAAGCAUUUGUUAGAAUCUCUAUUGCUUCAGCUGCCAUUUUUUCCUAGCUUUGGAACUCUCUACAAUUUCCUGCAUGCAUAUGGGAUCACAUAGCCAAAGUAAAGAUGAUGCACUUCUUGUGCAGAGUAUCAUACAACAAAAUGACAAGGAAAAACAGGCACUACCUCGUCAAAAUCUUUGUUGAUUGUCCUCGGGAAGUGGUUGGAUGGGUUCCUCAGGUGUGGGAAUGGGAAGCCACUUUCAGUGUAAUAUUUGAAAGGUCAAUAACAUACAUGUUUUUCUAUCAUAGGUCAAAAGUAAUUCAGUACGAAUAAACUGGAUGCUUUAGUAUGUUUUCAUUCUAAAGGAAAAAAACAACAUUGGCUGACACUUGUACACAUUAACACGAGCCUUAUUAUACAACCAAAGUUUGAUCAAGCCAAUAGCAAAUCUGCUAAUACACAUACUACUGAACGUUUAUAGCACUCGUGUAGCACUUCCAGCGAGGUUGUCCAGCCAAUAGGAAAUCUGUAGCUACAGAGAGAGGCGAACCUGUGGACAGCUGCAUCGUUCUCCUACCCAUGCUCGACAUUGACGGCGGUGCUGCCAUGCCACCACGAGGAAGAGCAAGAGGAACGCCUCCACCUGUGGUGUGGUGCGGCCGGGAGAAGAAGGUGGCCUCCGCCAUUCGGUGGCGCCAACCGCUGGGGGUUGGCCUAGUGCUCCUCCCGUUGAAGCCGCCCGUGCUCCCUCUAUCGAGCAUCAUGGAGGAGUGGAUGAAGAGGAGGCUAAGGUGAGCUUGUGUGGUGGCUGGCAUUGGGAGAGGGACGGAAGGGAGAGAGAAGUGUACCUGGUCGCCCAGGAAUGCCUCGCUAGAGCCGGAGAUGCAGCAAGGCCUGGGGCGGUUCUUGGCGCCGGGAGGCCAAGCACGCGCCAUGGCCAGCGGGAAGCGGAGCCGCACGUGGGGGCGAGGGAGGAGACAGAGAGGAGCCGCCGGAGUCCAUCAGCGAUGAUGUAGGGUAGAACCCUAGAGGCCGAUCUUUCACGUUUGCAAAGGAUCCCUACGAAGAACACGAAGAACACGAGAAGGGGAACGAGAGAAAAACACAAGAAAUCACUCAACCAACAGGAACAAAGUCACACAUGUGCUAGAUCAUCGAGCCACGAGGUAAUACAAGAUCCAAAUCCAACGAGAGACGAUACAAAGGGUAACGGUUCUUCUCCGUGACGAGGUCUUGAUGGUCUUCUACGGAUGAAGGUCUUGAAUCCUGGUGGAUCAUCUCUGAAGAGGUGUCGGCCCCUCACGAGGAGCAAAUGCGGAUGUAUGAGCGAGGCUCUAUCUCACAAAUGAGCUAAAUCAACGCUAAGUCUCAAAAGGAGGAGGAGGAGUCCUAUAUAUAGACUAGGGGGGCGAAGGGGUACAUGGGCUCAGCCCAACACACACGCACAGACGGGGUCCGGAUGAUCCGGGUGAGGAGCCGUAUGAGCCGGGUUUGGGCCGGAUGAUCCGGGAGGAGGCCCGGAUGAGCUGGUGACGCAGGCGGUGGCGGAGCAGGUCCGGAUGUCCGGCUGGGGGUCCGGAUGUCCGGGCAAUGUCUGGAUGAUCCGGGUCGGCGUCCGAAUGGUCCGGCUUUGGGGGGUGAGCUUCGGGUGAUUUAGCCGGAUCGUCUGGACUAGGGUCCGGAUCGUCCGGCCAGCCUGGGACUUGGCGCUUUUCCUCUCCGUCUUCAUGCAUGUCUUCCGCUUCUGGUUCUCCUUGCUUCCUAGCUUCUCCGUGGCUAACUCCUUAGUACCUAAGUAUGCAAAGCGUCUCCGUUUGAGGUAGUAGCCAUGUCUCGUGUGAAUUGAAAGGGAGUUGUGAGAGGAGUGAUGUCACCUCGGUUUCGAGAGCUCUUGCAUGUGCUCUAGUCAUAGGUCCAAGUGGUGUUGUAGGAGAUGUAGAUGCGUCCAUGGGGAUGAUCGUGGGAUGCUCCGCAUCAUCUCCCCCCCCCCUUGGGAAAGAUCGGACCUCAGAUCAAAAUCUUCAUCACCAUGGUAUGGCGAGAGGUCUUUGAUGUUGAAGAUGUCGCUCACAUUGUACUUGUCGCUUGGUAGGUCGAUCUUGUAAGCAUUGUUGUUGUAGCGUGCUAGCACCUUGAAGGGUCCAUCGGCUCAAGGUAGAAGUUUGGACUUGCGUUCAUUGGGAAGCGGUCCUUGCGAAGGUGUAGCCACAUGAGAUCUCCAAUGUUGAAUAUCAUGGGUUGCUUGUUGAUGUUGAGCUUGGUCGCUAGUCGUUGUACUUGGCGCUCGAUGGUGUGCCUUGUAUCCUCAUGCAUCUUCUUGAUGUAGCUUGCUCGUGCACUCGCAUCCAUGUUGGUGCGCUCUUGUAGAGGAAGAGGUAGAAUAUCCAAUGGGGACAACGGGUUGAAGGCGUAGACGACCUCGAAAGGGGACUUGCCGGUCGUCGAAUGUCUUGCCCGGUUGUAGGCGUACUCGGUGAUGUGUAGACACGCCUCCCACUCCUUGAUGUUCUUCUUGAUCAACACGUGAAGUAGAGUGGAGAGCGUACAGUUCGUCACCUCCGUUUGGCCGUCGGUUUGAGGAUGAUAUGCGGAUGAGAACAAGAGCUUGAUUCCGAGCUUGGUGCAUAGCGUAUUCCAGAAGUAACUCAGGAACUUGACGUCGCGGUUGGAGAUGAUUGUCUUUGGUACUCCAUGGAGGCGCAAGAUUUCCCUACAAAAGAGAUUUGCAACAUGUGAAGCAUCGUCUAUCUUGUUGCAUGGAAUGAAAUGUGCCAUCUUAGAAAAUUGGUCCACAACAACAAACACGGAAUCCUUUCCAUUUUGAGUUCUAGGCAAACCAAGUACAAAAUCCAUGCUAAUGUCUUCCCAAGGUUGAUAAGGAAUAGGAAGAGGCAUGUAAAGACCAUGGGAUUGAGCUUUAGACUUAGCUUUGCGACAUGUGGAGCAUCGAUUGGUGAAGCGUGAGACGUCGCGGAACAUCUUGGGCCAAAAGUAGUUCUUGGAGAGCGUGGCGAAUGUCUUGUCGCGACCAAAGUGUCCCCUGAGUCCACCUCCAUGAGCCUCUUGCAAAAGUAGCAAACGAAGAGAAGACUCGGGAAUGCAAAGUGAAAGCACAAGUGCUCCCUGGGUGUUUUUGGUAAUUAAUGUCAACAUAUCUCUUGUUGGACUAACACUUUUAUCUAGUAUGUUUCAGAUAAGUUCAACAAUGGAGUGGCAUGGACUAAAAGAUGUGGGAACUCCUUCAAGAUGCUAAGGACAAAGGAUUGGCUCAAGCUUCAAGCUCGAGACUCUUCAUUUUCCAUUUUAGUGAUCCAAGAUCACAUUGAGUCUAUAGGAAAAGCCAAUACUAUCAAGGAGGGAUGAGGUGUUGCUUAAUGAGUUUCUUGCUCCACAGUGCUUAGUGAUAUGCUCCUAAACCCUCAACUACUUUCCCACUCCCACACAUAUGUCCUAAACCUAAAGUCAAACUUGGCCCCACUGAUUCUUUCUAUCCGGCGCCACCAAGUUUGAAUGUCAUAGCCACUGCCACAAACCCUAAGCAAAUCGGUUCUACCGAUAGGGAUCUUGGUCUCACUGAGAUGGGAUUGUAAUCUCUCUGUAUAUGUCCAUUAUCAAAAUCGGUCUCACCGAGUUUGAGUAAUCGGUACUACCGAGAUUACAAUGCAAACUCUCUGGAUAACUUAUUACAAAAAUCGGUCCCACCGAGUUUGAGUAAUCGGUACCACCGAGUUUGCCUGACCAACUCUCUAGAAAGCUUAUUAUCAAAAUCGGUCUCACCGAGUUUGUGUAAUCGGUCUUACCGAGAUUAUGUUAUGCCCUAACCUAACCAUAUCAGUCUCACCGAGUUGCAUUUCGGUCCCACUGAAAAUCCUAACGGUCACAUUAUUUGCUAAAUCGGUCUGACCGAGUUUAACGGUUUGGUCCCAUCGAGUUUGGUAGAUUGUGUGUAACGGUUAGAUUUUGUGUGGAGGCUAUAUAUACCCCUCCACCUCCUCUUCAUUCGUGGAGAGAGCCAUCAGACUGAACCUACACUUCCAGCAUACAUUUUCUGAGAGAGAACUACCUACUCAUGUGUUGAAGCCAAGAUAUUCCAUUCCUACCAUAUGAAUCUUGAUCUCUAGUCUUCCCCAAGUUGCUUUCCACUCAAAUCUUCUUUCCACCAGAUCCAAAACCUAUGAGAGAGAGUUGAGUGUUGGGGAGACUAUCAUUUGAAGCACAAGAGCAAGGAGUUCAUCAUCAACACACUAUUUGUUACUUCUUGGAGAGUGGUGUCUCCUAGAUUGGCUAGGUGUCACUUGGGAGCCUCCGACAAGAUUGUGGAGUUGAACCAAGGAGUUUGUAAGGGCAAGGAGAUCGCCUACUUUGUGAAGAUCUACCGCUAGUGAGGCAAGUCCUUCGUGGGCGACGACCAUGGUGGGAUAGACAAGGUUGCUUCUUCGUGGACCCUUCGUGGGUGGAGCCCUCUGUGGACUUGCGCAACUGUUACCCUUCGUGGGUUGAAGUCUCCAUCAACGUGGAUGUACGAUAGCACCACCUAUCGGAACCACGCCAAAAACAUCCGUGUCUCCAAUUGCGUUUGAAUCCUCCAAGCCCUUCCUUUACAUUCUUGCAAGUUGCAUGCUUUACUUUCCGCUGCCCAUAUACUCUUUGCAUGCUUGCUUGAUAUGUAUUGUGAACAUUAAACUUGUGCCUAAACUCCACUUAAACCUAAAGAAACUUAAAAACUGCAACUUUGGUACUUAGUGUCUAAUCACCCCCCCUCUAGACACAUCUUCUCAAGGUCCUACAAGUGGUAUCAGAGCAAUAUUCUCCAUUUCUUUGGUUUAAUCAUCAUUGGAGGAAGAUGGAUGAGUCUACUAUUGGGAGUCUUAGACAUAGAGUGCCUAUUCUUGAUGGAGAGUAUUUUCAUGAGUGGAAAAAUGAGAUGCUUGUUAUUUUCAAUUAAUAUCAUUUGAACAAGUACAUUGCUAGCCCUUGUGCACCUUAUGUUGAUCCUAUGCAUCCUACCCAUGAUGAGUCAAUUGACAUGAUUAGGAAUCUUACAACUGCAGAACUUAUCAUUAGAGGAUUGCCUAGAAACUUGAUUGGAUGCUUGCCUACUUUUAAGUGUGCCUACACUAUAUGGAAAUUUCUUGAGGAACGAUUUCCAGAUUAUUCCUUGAAAAAUCUUGAUGAAAUUCUCCAUAAGUCCAUUGCCUUGAGUAAGAUGAAUUCUAGUGAUCCUAUGUUUGGUGAUCGUCUAUUUGAGCUUACUAACCUUAUGCGUGCCAAAGGAAAUGUUGGUAUUAUUAGUAAUAUUAUUUCCGAAGCUAUAAAAAUUCAUAAGCAAGAUCAUUGUCAAACUCACUCUAAUGAAUCACCCUCUCUAGGACUUGAUCCACCACAUGACGAUGUUGAACAUGGAUACUAUGAUGAGGAUGAUGAUAGUGACUUCGAUCUUGAUGAUGCAAUGAGACACUUUGGUCUUAUGGCAAAUCUUUGGGGAUAUAUGACAGGAGGAAAGGAAUGGGUUCUUGAUAGUGGAUGUACCGAUCACAUGACCGGAGAUAAACACAUGUUUUGUGAGCUUGCUGAUAAUGAUAGUCCUCGAAAGUAUGUCACUUUCGGUGACAACUCAAAGGGUAAGGUGAUUGGCCUCGGUAAGGUGGCCAUAUCACAUGAUAGCUCCAUACAAAAUGUUAUGCUCGUUGAAUCUCUUGGAUACAACUUACUUUCAGUAUCUAGACUUGCUGAUGUCGGUUUCAAUGUUCUAUUUACUGAAGUAGAUUGUCAAGUGUUUCGUCGAGACAAUCAUAAAAUGGUCUUUACCGGUGUGCGUAGAGGUGAUCUAUACAUUGUUGAUUUCACUAAAAAGGCUCAACCUCAAACUUGCUUCAUUGCUAAAUCCUCAAAAGGCUGGUUAUGGCAUAGACGACUAGGUCAUGUUGGUAUGCGAAACCUUGACAAACUUAUUAAAGGAAAUCAUAUCCUUGGAGUUAACGAUGUCAUAUUUGAUAAGGAUAGACUUUGCAGUGCUUGUCAAGCAGGUAAACAGGUUGGAGGAAGGCAUCCAGUGAAGAACAUCAUGACCACAAGGAGGCCACUCGAGCUACUUCACAAGGAUCUUUUUGGUCCCAACUCUUACAAGAGUCUCGGUGGAAAUUCUUUUGCUCUAGUUAUAGUUGAUGAUUUUUCAAGAUUUACGUGGGUGUUUUUUCUCGAUGAUAAAUCGCAGGUCCAAAAGAUCUUCAAAAACUUCGCAAGGAAGGCUCAAAAUCAAUUUGAAGUGAAGAUCAAGAAGGUUCACAGCGACAACGGAACGGAGUUCAAGAACGCAAAUGUGGAUACCUUUCUUGACAAAGAAGGGAUUUCACACGAGUUCUUGGCUACGUACACACCUCAACAAAACGGAGUUGUUGAGAGGAAGAACCGGACGCUCAUUGAAAUGGCGAGAAUGAUGCUUGAUGAGUACAAGACGCCGAAGCACUUUUGGGCGGAAGCGGUUGAGACAGCUUGUCAUGCAACAAACCGCUUGUAUCUUCACAAGCUACUUGGCAAGACGGCAUACGAGCUCCUCACCGAUAAAAAAACCCCAAGUUGGAUACUUUCGAGUAUUCGGCUCAAAGUGCUACAUUCUUGAUAAGCAUCAUCACUCUAAAUUUGCUCCUAAGUUUCAUGAAGGUUUCCUACUAGGUUAUGGCUGAAACUCUCACACUUACCGUGUCUACAACAAUUUCACCCAAAGGGUUGAAGAGACGGUAGAUGUGAAGUUUGAUGAAUCUAACGGCUCGCAAGUAGAGCAAUUGCCAAUUGAUGUAGGUGACAAAGAUCCUUCGGAAGCAAUUCAAGACUUGGCUAUUGGCAAGGUUCGUCCAAAGGAGGUGAAGGAGAGUACCUCGUCCGUCCAAGUGGAAGCUUCUACUUCACGAUAAGGUGAACCAAGAGUUGAUACGGAAGCAUCCACAAGUGGGACACACCAAGAUGAAGAAAACGAGGAAGUGCAUCAAGAUGAACGUCAACAACCUCCUUCUCCACCACGACAAGAGAAUGAGAACGCCAACAAUGAAGAAGGCCAAGAAGAAGAAGAACAAGAUGAAGAAGAUGUUGAACGAAGACCCAAGCAAAAGCUUUCACGAGUUCGAGCAAGAAUUGCUAAAGAUCAUCCCGUCGAGCAAAUCUACAAUGACAUUCAAACCGGGAGAAUCACUCGCUCUAAAACUCGUUUAGCUAACUUUUGUGAAAACUAUUCUUUCAUCUCUAGCAUUGAACCUAUGAAGGUUGAAGAAGCAUUGGAAGAUCCAGAUUGGAUAAAUGCAAUGCAUGAAGAGCUACAUAACUUUGAGAGGAACCAAGUUUGGACAUUGGUUGAGAAGCCCGACAACAACCACAACGUCAUCGGUACCAAAUGGGUGUUUCGCAACAAGCAAGAUGAAGAUGGACAAGUAGUUCGCAACAAAGCACAUCUCGUCGCCCAAGGCUACACACAAGUCAAAGGUAUGGACUAUGGUGAGACUUAUGCUCCCGUUGCUAGACUUGAGUCCAUUCGCAUCUUACUUGCCUAUGCUAAUCAUCAUGAUAUUACCUUGUACCAAAUGGACAUUAAAAGUGCUUUUCUAAAUGGUGAAAUAGAGGAGGAAGUUUAUGUUAAGCAACCUCCCGGCUUUGUCAAUCCCAAGAAACCCAAUCAUGUUUACAAACUUCACAAAGCUCUUUAUGGUCUUAAACAAGCUCCUAGAGCAUGGUAUAAAUGCUUGACCAAGUUCCUUAUGGAAAAAGGCUUUGAAAUUGGGAAAAUUGAUUCUACUCUUUUUACUAAAAGGGUUAUUGGAGAACUAUUUGUGUGCCAAAUCUAUGUUGAUGAUAUUAUAUUUGGUUCAACUAACCCUCAUUUUAGUGAAAAGUUUGGGAAGCUAAUGUCGGAGAAGUUUGAGAUGUCUAUGAUGAGUGAACUCAAAUUCUUCCUUGGGUUGCAAAUCAAGCAAACAAAGGAAGGUACCUUUGUUUCUCAAACGAAGUACACCAAGGACUUAUUCAAGAAGUUCAAUAUGCAAGAAUGCAAAGGUAUGUCUACACCCAUGCCUACUAGUGGACAUAAUGACUUGACCAAAGAUGGUGAACCGGUUGAUCAAAAGGUUUAUCGCUCUAUGAUUGGUUCAUUGUUAUAUCUCUGUGCUUCACGUCCUGAUAUCAUGCUAAGUGUGUGCAUGUGUGCACGAUAUCAAGCUGCUCCUAAAGAAUGUCAUCUUAAGGCCGUGAAAAGGAUAGUGAGAUACUUAAUCCAUACACCAAACUUUGGCAUUUGGUAUCCCAAGAGGGCCUCUUUCGAUCUUGUUGGCUAUUCCGACUCAGACUAUGCCGGAGACAAGGUUGAUAGAAAGUCCACUUCGGGCACUUGUCAAUUUCUUGGUAGAUCUCUUGUGUCUUGGUCCUCCAAGAAACAAAACUCGGUAUCCUUGUCCACUGCCGAAGCUGAAUAUAUUGCAACUGGUUCAUGUUGUGCUCAAUUACUUUGGAUGACCCAAACUCUUAAAGAUUAUGGGAUAUAUGUGAGACAUGUUCCACUGCUUUGUGACAAUGAAAGUGCUAUCAAAAUUGGUCUUAAUCCUGUGCAACAUUCUCGAACUAAGCAUAUUGAAGUUCGUCAUCAUUUCAUUCGAGAUCAUGUUGCUAAGGGUGACAUUGAUCUUAAGCAUGUUCGCACUGAAAAGCAAUUAGCGGAUAUAUUCACUAAACCUCUUAAUGAGAAAGUGUUUUGCAGGUUAAGAGGAGAAUUGAACAUCAUUGAUGCUUCAAACUUGGAGUAGAAACUCCAUUGGAUACAUGCAAGACAUGAGCUUAUGACUAAUCCUUGAUAUUUCUCUUAUGAUGAAAAUCUUAUGUCUUGGAUAUAUUUGUAUCUUGCCCAUGUAGGUACUUGGUGGAAUCAAAUUCCAUGAGAUUGUAAUCUACUCACAUCUUGAGCAAUCUCUACAUCACCAAGUCUCUACACUAUGGUGGAUGAAGACAAGGAAGCACGAAACCUUUCAAACAUAUCCUUUGACAAAUUCUAUGUUGAACUUCAUGAUUGUCAUUUUGGAUAACACAAGUGCUCUUCCUUGCAAAAACUAACCCAUGUAGGUAGAUGGACUAAAAUUCCAAGUGGUGCUCCAAAUUCUUGAUGAGCUACAUCAACCUUGAGCAACCCACACAAGUUCAACUACAUGGACAACACCACCAACCAAGGUAUGUCAUUCCAUCUUAGAGAAGCUUUACUCCAAGUCAUGAGCUAAAGCAACUCAACAAGAUGUGAAUAUAUCAAGAUGCUUAAACGAAAAUGGCAACCCCAUUUUGAGCUUAAACAAUGAGUAUGACCUAUGAUCAAGUGAUCUCACUUGACUCCUAAGUCAAUAUACUCUAACAUAGGUGACUCUGUCGCCGACCAUCUCUAGAUGAAGUUCUCUUGUGCUGUUUUCUGUGUUUUUGCAUUUGUCACAUGCAUAUUUGUUUCCCCUUUCAAAAAAACUUCAUCUAGAUUUCUUUCUGUUUGCUCUGCAUUCCAAUUCAUUGCACAUCUUUAAGUGAAUUCCUUGCAAAUCUUUGUGAAAUCUUACUAGUCUAGUGAGCUGAGGUGACAGGUGUUUUCUCUGCGAUGAACUCGGUUUCACCGAUUUGUUGUCUUCGGUCCCACCGAAUCCUUUCGGUCCAACCGAAGAAUACCACUCGGUGCCACCGAUUUCACAAGAGGAAAAACAGUUUGCCACAUAUUCUAUGAUUCUUUUGAUCCAGCUCCACUCAAUGAAUCUUGUCCUCUACAAGCAUCACAUUUUUAUCAUUGCUUUGUGCUGUGUCUCAAGGACCAAACCCAUUCGACGGAUUCCAGAAAACCCUUCUUGGAAAUUUAUGUCAAAGGGGGAGAGAGAGAACAUCAAAGCUUAUCAUUUAAAAAGAGUUUAUCACCUUCUUAAGGGGGAGAGAGAUAUCAUCUCCUAAAGGUGGAGAGAGACCCUUAAAGGGGGAGAGAUACCCUCAAAGGGAGAGAGAGAGAGAUCUCCAGGGGAAGAGAAUACUUAAGUAGAAAGUAUUCCUCAAGGAUCCCAGAUGCUUAGUGUUCAAGAGGAGAGAUGCCCACAUGUCUUCUUGAGGGGAAAGACAUGUUCAUUAUGAUAUUUUGUGCUUAUUUGCAUUAGCAUGCAUUAGCUCUGUUCAUCAUUCAUAUCCUUCAGCUCUGAUUUUCUAUUCCCUAUCUUCUCCCAGUAUCCCAUGCUAGAUUCAGGGGGAGCAAGACAUCUGAGGGAAAGAAAUCAUUUAAAUUCAUUGCAUAUCUUUACUCUUGGGGACAUGUCUAAUCCAAUGUGGUACUCAGUACUCACUCUCUACAUGUCAUCCCAGUCUUGGUAUUCUUGUGGUUUCUUUUGUUUGCUCUGGCUAGUAGGUGCAUCUGUGUUAUCUAACCUUGUUUAUGCAGGUUCAUUCUAUCCUAAGCCAACUCAAGACUACAAGGUAAGUAUAGGCAUCACAAUUAUGUGUAUGAGGAAUUCUUGCUGAUGUACAUACUGUUUGCAAGAAGGACUCAUGAGCAUGAAGGUAUUUUCUUUAAUAUUCUUUGCUCUGAUGCAUAUGGCCAAGAUACAUGUAACACAUUGCCUGCUCUAUCAUGGUUAUGCUCUCACAUGCUCCUAUAUUCCAUACUCACAUGAUUGCAUACAUGUAGGGGGAGCCUAUGCUUGUUACAUGUCUUUCCAAAGCUUUACUUGCUACUCUUUAUAUCUUUAUCUAAAGCUUUGAUGUAUGUUGUCAUCAAUUACCAAAAAGGGGGAGAUUGAAAGCACAAGUGCUCCCUAGGUGGUUUUGGUAAUUAAUGUCAACAUAUCUCUUGUUGGACUAACACUUUUAUCUAGUAUGUUUCAGAUAAGUUCAACAAUGGAGUGGCAUGGACUAAAGGAUGUGGGAACUCCUUCAAGAUGCUAAGGACAAAGGAUUGGCUCAAGCUUCAAGCUCAAGACUCUUCAUUUUCCAUUUUAGUGAUCCAAGAUCACAUUGAGCCUAUAGGAAAAGCCAAUACUAUCAAGGAGGGAUGAGGUGUUGCUUAAUGAGUUUCUUGCUCCACAGUGCUUAGUGAUAUGCUCCUAAACCCUCAACUACUUUCCCACUCCCACACAUAUGUCCUAACCUAAAGUCAAACUUGGCCCCACCGAUUCUUUCUAUCCGGCGCCACCGAGUUUGAAUGUCAUAGCCACUACCACAAACCCUAAGCAAAUCGGUUCUACCGAUAGGGAUCUCAGUCUCACCGAGAUGGGAUUGUAAUCUCUCUGUAUAUGUCCAUUAUCAAAAUCGGUCUCACCGAGUUUGAGUGAUCGGUACUACCGAGAUUACAAUGCAAACUCUCUGGAUAACUUAUUACCAAAAUCGGUCCCACCGAGUUUGAGUAAUCGGUCCCACCGAGUUUGCCUGACCAACUCUCUGGAAAGCUUAUUACCAAAAUCGGUCUCACCGAGUUUGUGUAAUCGGUCUUACCGAGAUUACGUUAUGCCCUAACCCUAACCAUAUCGGUCUCACCGAGUUGCAUUUCGGUCCCACUGAAAAUCCUAACGGUCACAUUAUUUGCUAAAUCGGUCUGACCGAGUUUAACGAUUCGGUCCCACCAAGUUUGGUAGAUUGUGUGUAACAGUUAGAUUUUGUGUGGAGGCUAUAUAUACCCAUCCACCUCCUCUUCAUUCAUGGAGAGAGCCGUCAGACUGAACCUACACUUCCAGCAUACAUUUUCUGAGAGAGAACUACCUACUCAUGUGUUGAGGCCAAGAUAUUCCAUUCCUACCAUAUGAAUCUUGAUCUCUAGUCUUCCCCAAGUUGCUUUCCACUCAAAUCUUCUUUCCACCAGAUCCAAAACCUAUGAAAGAGAGUUGAGUGUUGGGGAGACUAUCAUUUGAAGCACAAGAGCAAGGAGUUCAUCAUCAACGCACCAUUUGUUACUUCUUGGAGAGUGGUGUCUCCUAGAUUGGCUAGGUGUCACUUGGGAGCCUCCGACAAGAUUGUGGAGUUGAACCAAGGAGUUUGUUAGGGCAAGGAGAUCGCCUACUUUGUGAAGAUCUACCGCUAGUGAGGCAAGUCCUUCGUGGGCGACGGCCAUGGUGGGAUAGACAAGGUUGCUUCUUCGUGGACCCUUCGUGGGUGGAGCCCUCUGUGGACUCGUGCAACUGUUACCCUUCGUAGGUUGAAGUCUCCAUCAACGUGGAUGUACGAUAGAACCACCUAUCGGAACCACGCCAAAAACAUCCAUGUCUCCAAUUGCGUUUGAAUCCUCCAAACCCUUCCCUUUACAUUCUUGCAAGUUGCAUGCUUUACUUUCCGCUGCCCAUAUACUCUUUGCAUGCUUGCUUGAUAUGUAUUGUGAACAUUAAACUUGUGCCUAAACUCCACUUAAACUUAAAGAAACUUAAAAACUGCAACUUUGGUACUUAGUGUCUAAUCACCCCCCCCCUAGACACAUCUUCUCAAGGUCCUACACAAAGUUUGUUAGCCCUCAUAAGAUAAUCAUCCUUGAUGUAAUAUCGUUCCCAAGAUGUAUGCGUCAAACACUUAACAUAAGGAGUAGCAAAGGAAGGAUCAUUCGCAUACAAGUCUUUUAUGUGCUCAAAGCCAAUAACAUUCAACUCAAGUUUAGUGACAAGCAUGCAUAUGUGUGAAAGUGCAUCCGCAACUACAUUUUCCUUACCCUUAAUGUACUUGAUCACAUAGGGGAAAGAUUCAAUAAAUUCACUCCAUUUGGCAUGACGCUUGUUCAACUUAGUUUGACCUUUCAAGUACUUAAGCGUUUCAUGAUCGGUAUGGAUGACAAACUCAUGAGGUCUGAGAUAAUGUUCCCAAACAUGUAGCACAUGCACUAAAGCAGAAAAUUAUUUGUCAUAGAUGGGAUAGUUAAGUUGAGCACCGAAGAGUUUUUCACUAAAAUAUGCAAUAGCUCGUUUUUCUUGCAUCAAAACUCUGCCAAUUCCGGUACCACUUGCAUCACAAUGAACCUCAAAAGUUUUGGCAAAGUUGGGCAAAGCGAGAAUCGGAGCAUGAGUAAGCAAAGACUUGAGCUCAUCAAAAGCGGUAGAUUGCAAGGGUCCCCAAACAAAAGGAGCAUUCUUCUUACUCAAGGCAUGCAAAGGAGCGGCAAUAGUGCUAAAAUCCUUCACAAAGCAAUGAUAAAAACCCGCAAGGCCAAGGAAGCUACGCACUUGUUGCAAAUUGGUGGGUUGGGGCCAGGUUUUAAUUGCUUCAAUUUUAGAUUCAUCAACAUGGACACCCUUGGAAGAAACGACAAAACCCAAGAAAACAAGCUUGUCAACACCAAAUGUGCACUUUUUCAUGUUGGCAUAAAGACGUUCCUUGCGAAGAGUUUGCAAAACAGCCCUAACAUGCUUUAGAUGCUCUUUCAUGGAUUUGCUAAAAACAAGAAUGUCAUCAAAGUAAACCACAAAAAACACUCUGAUGUAAGGACGAAGCACAAAAUGCAGAAUAUGCAUGAAUGUACCGGGAGCUUCCGAUAAAACCAUAGGCAUAACCAACCACUCGUACAAGCCAAAUUUGGUUUUGAAAGCAGUUUUCCAUUCAUCACCUUAUUGUAUGCGGAUUUGAUAAUAGCCACUUUUAAGAUCAAUUUUUAAGAAAAUGGUGGCACCGCUAAGUUCAUCAAGCAUAUCAUCUAGGCGAGGAAUAGGAUGCCUAUAGCGAACGGUAAUAGCAUUGAUAGGUCUACGAUCCGAGAACAUGCGAAAACUACCAUCUUGCUUGGGCACAAGUAUAACGGGAAUGGUACAAGGGCUUAAGCUUUCACGUACAUGUCCGUUGUCGAUUAGUUGUUGUACUUGCCGUUGGAUCUCCUUAGUUUCUUCGGGGUUGACGCGGUAUGGAGCUUUGUUUGGAAGAGGUGCUCCGGGGACGAGGUUGAUUUGGUGCUCAAUGCCUCGUAGUGGACGUAGACCCGGAGGUAGCUCAUCGGGGAAAACAUCUUGGAAUUCCUGCAAAAGAGAAGAAACCACUAAAGGUAGAUCAUGAGAGGUGUUAGUUUUUGGUUCCCCAUCCUUGCACACAAGGACAAAGUGCAUAACACUCGAUGGGUUCUCAGACACUUCUCUCAUCUCACUUUUGAUGGCAAAUAGGACUAAGUUUUUCUUGUUGCUCAUCGUGGAGGCACUCGGUUUUGGCUUGUGGCUCUCACUCUCUUUUGGGCGGAUAACUUUCUCACUCUUCUCUCCAUGAUGGGUGUCUUGCUUGUCGGCUAUAACUUGACUAGGAGACAUAGGUCGUAGCACAUGUUCCUUCCCUUUCAUCUUGAAGCUAUAGUGAUUGGUACGCCCAUUGUGGAUGACGCCAUGGUUGAAUUGCCAUGGUCAACCAAGAAGGAGGUGGCAAACGGACAUCGGGACGACAUCACACUCUAAAGUGUCUUCAUAUGCACCAAUUUUGAAGGAGACUUGGACCGUAUGCUCAACUCGUGUAGUGCCGGAAUUUCUUAGCCAUUGGACUUUGUAGGGGUGCGGGUGCUUCAUCUUGACAAAUUGUAGCUUGGAGCAUAGUUCUUCACUUGCCAAGUUGUGACAACUACCUCCAUCGAUGAUGACCUUGACAGACCUUCCAUUGAUGCCAGCCUUUGUGUGGAAGAUGUGGCAUCCUUGGUCUUCUUCUUGUUGAUGUUGAAGAGUCAAGACUUUGGAGACAACGAGAGCGGGGCUCAAAUCCUCAUCACAAAAGACUUGAUCAUCUUCAUCCUCGUUCACGCGCCGGUGCAUGGCUACUUGCUCAAGGGCUUCCAUUUCCUCAUCACUCAUGGAGUCAUAGGUGUCGUCGUCGUUGAGGAUCAUGGUGCGCUUGUUUGUGCAUUGGAAGGACUAGUGGCCUCGGCCGCAACAAGUGAAACACUUGAAGGAGCUUGUCUUGACGGUCUCAUCAGGUGGAGUAGAUGAUGAAGCUCAUGGCUUGAAGUUGCUUGUGGUAGGAGGAAGACGAUUUGAGCUUGUCGAAGUUCUCUUGUAACUUGACUUGUCGUCGUUUCUUAUAGAUGGCUUGGUGGAGGUAGAAGUUGGAGGAGUCGUUGAAGCUUGGUUGUUGGAGAAGCCGUAGGUCUUGGAUGAGUACUUGGCGUACUUGAAGUCAUCUUGCACUUGACGUUCCGCUUUGGUAGCUUUAUGCAUGAGCUCAAUGAGGUUGGAGUAGGGUUGGAAGUCGGCAAUCUUCUUGAUGGGAUGAUUGAGGCCAUUCAAGAAGCGUGCCAUAGUUUGCUCGUCAUCUUCCGUGACAUUGGCUCGAAUCAUGGCUAUCUCCAUUUCCUUGUUGUAUUCUUGAACACUCUUUGUUCCUUGCUUGAUUAGUUGGAGCUUCUUGAAGAGAUCGCAGUUGUAGUAGGUGGGCACAAAACGUGCUCGCAUGACAUCUUUCAUUUGAGCCCAAGUGGUGAUUGGUGGUUCACCUCUUGCUUCUCGGUGCUCAAGGACUUGUUCCCACCAUAUGAGCACAUAGUCUUGGAACUCAAGGAAUGCCAUAGCGAUCUUCUUCUCUUCCUCAUAGUUGUGCAAACGAAAGAUUUUGACGACCUUCAAUGCCCAUCAGAGGUAUUCUUCGGGAUCAUUGCCUCCAUUGAACUUGGGCAUGGUGAAUUUUAGCUUGCCGUAGCAUCGCUCUUCAUUGUGUUGUGGUCGAUGGUGAUGAUGACGCCCUUGACGUGGAGGAUAAUCAACCUCAUGUUGCUCUUGGCAUGGAGGAAGUUCUUGAUCAUCUUGCUCUUGUUGAACUUGAGGUUGUGGAGGAGCUUGUCGAGUUUGUGGAGGAGCUUGUCGAGCUUGAGGAGGAGCUUGAGGAACUUGACAUUGCACUCUUGGUUGGUAGUUUCUCUCUUGGAUUUCUUCUCGAAGUGCUUCCUAUUGAUUGCGCCUAUCGCGGUUGCACUUGGGAAUGGCUCGACUUGAUUCUUGAAGGGCACGAUGCGCCUUAAGAGCUUGUGCUUCACGUUGUUGUUGCUGUUGAAGACGUUGAGCCUCGGCGUCUUGUUCCUCUUGAUGUAGACGCGCUCGUUCUUCCUCUUGGCGACAUUGACGUUGUCGUUCUUGCUCGAUGAAGAGUGUGUUGGUAGAAGAACUUAACCUAUCCAUCAUUCCAAGCAAAAUGUGAGUGGGAGAAGGAGAAGAACUUAUACCAAAUGUACCUUGACCGAUGUUGGAGAUGAAUCAAGAUCACUCAGAUGCGGACAAUGAAAUAGCACAAUUGGUACCAAUUCUUGUCGGCUCUCACACCUACACAAGUAAAAGCUUAUGGUGGAGCUUGGUUAGGAUGGUGGCACAAAAUUUGAUGCAAUUUUUAGUUUGACUCAAAGAUGUUGAAAAAGAUUCGCAAAUUCGCAAAUGCAACAAGUAGACCAAGCAAGUAGUGGUACGCGGAAACACACACGCAAAUAGAAUAAUGGGAUUGUGCAAACGAAAAAUGAGACAAAAUGUGGACUCCACGAAAAUGCUCGUUUUGCACAAUACUUGAGAGACGCUAGCACGAUCGCACAAUUGGCGGAUGAGGAACUUGUGCACAACCUACUAGGAAAAAAUGCAACGACCUCUAUCCCAAGUAUGCUAUAUGUAUGGUAUUUCGGUGAUAUGAUCCAAGAUGAUCGGAUAUGACAAUCUUAAUGUAGUAUGAUGCUAUGGUUCUUGCUUAUAAGCUCUUUUCUUAUCUUUCUCGUUUGCUUAAAAGCUUGGUUGGCUCUUUCACUUUUGAGCUCUUUUCUCAUGCAAAACUUCGCGAACCAAGGUAGCAAUUAUGUAUGCAAUGACAACUUUGUGAUAUGGUAUGUAUGCUAUGGAGUAUGAUCACUAAUGUGCACAAGUCACGUUGCCGGCAAUACUCAAUGGCUAGUCUUGAUGGGUAAGCAACACAAAAGUAAGGCUAUGGUGGUUAUCAAUGCAAUCGCAAGGCGUAAACAAAGAUGUCGUCAAAGUUACCGUCCGUAGCGAUGAUGAGUAGUCGACGAAGAUGAGCGGUGGUAAUGUUGAUGUCGUGCCGUACCUAAAUAGCCGAAACACAAUAGGACACGGGAAACCACAACUCAAAUUCUUGAACCCAAAGUCGAAUGGUAGUACGGAGGGGUAUGUCAUGGGGGUUGGCGGGUGAAGGUGGUGGUGGUUGAAGUGGGUGGAGUGCGGAGGCGUAGGUGUGAAGGAAAUAUGCCCUAGAGGCAAUAAUAAAGUUAUUAUUUAUUUCCUUAUUUCAUGAUAAAUGUUUAUUAUUCAUGCUAGAAUUGUAUUAACCGGAAACAUAAUACAUGUGUGAAUACAUAGACAAACAUAGUGUCACUAGUAUGCCUCUACUUGACUAGCUCGUGAAUCAAAGAUGGUUAAGUUUCCUAGCCAUAGACAUGAGUUGUGAUUUGAUUAACGGGAUCACAUCAUUAGGAGAAUGAUGUGACUGACUUGACCCAUUCCGUUAGCUUAGCACUUGAUCGUUUAGUAUGUUGCUAUUGCUUUCUUCAUGACUUAUACAUGUUCCUGUAACUAUGAGAUUAUGCAACUCUCGUUUACCGGAGGAACACUUUGGGUGCUACCAAACGUCACAACAUAACUGGGUGAUUAUAAAGGAGUACUACAGGUGUCUCCAAAGGUACAUGUUGGGUUGGCGUAUUUCGAGAUUAGGUUUUGUCACUCCGAUUGUCGAAGAGGUAUCUCUAGGCCCUCUCGGUAAUGCACAUCACUAUAAGCCUUGCAAGCAAUGUAGCUAAUGAGUUAAUUACGGAAUGAUGCAUUACGGAACGAGUAAAGAGACUUGCCGGUAACGAGAUUGAACUAGGUAUUGGAUACCGACGAUCGAAUCUCGGGAAAGUAACAUACCGAUGACAAAGGGAACAACGUAUGUUGUUAUGCGGUUUGACCGAUAAAGAUCUUCGUAGAAUAUGUAGGAGCCAAUAUGGGCAUCCAGGUUCCGCUAUUGGUUAUUGACCGAGAAUAGUUCUAGAUCAUGUCUACAUAGCUCUCGAACCCGUAGGGUCCGCACGCUUAACGUUACGAUGACAGUUUUAUUAUGAGUUUAUGAGUUUUGAUGUACCAAAGGAGUUCGGAGUCCCGGAUGAGAUCGGGGACAUGACGAGGAGUCUCGAAAUGGUCGAGAUGUAAAGAUCGAUAUAUUGGACGACUAUAUUCGGAGUUCGGAAAGGUUCCGUGUGAUUCGGGUAGUUUUUGGAGUACCGGAGAGUUACGGAAUUCGUAUUGGGCCUCAUUGGGCCAUACGGGAAAGGAGAGAAAGGGCCAAAAGGGUGGCCGCACCCCUCCCCUUGGACUAGUCCGAAUUGGACUAGGGAGGGGGGCGCCCCCUUCCUUCCUUCUCCUUCUCUCUUCCCUUUCCUUCUCUCCUACUCCUACUACAUGGAAGGGUUCCUAGUUGGACUAGGAAAGGGGGAAUCCUACUCCUGUUGGGAGUAGGACUCACCUAGGGCGCGCCAUAGAGAGAGCCGGCCCUCCCCCUCCUCCAAUCCUUUAUAUACAGGGGCAGGGGGCACCCAGUAGACACACAAGUUGAUCUACGGAUCGUUCCUUAGCCGUGUGCGGUGCCCCCCUCCACCAUAUUCCACCUCGGUCAUAUUGUCGCGGAGUUUAGACGAAGCCCUGCGCCGGUAGAACAUCAUCAUCGUAACCACGCCGUCGUGCUGACGGAACUCAUCCCCGACGCUUUACUGGAUUGGAGCCGGAGGAACGUCAUCGAGCUGAACGUGUGCUGAACUCGGAGGUGCCGUACGUUCGGUACUUGGAUCGGUCGGAUCCUGAAGACGUACGACUACAUUAACCGCGUUGUCAUAACGCUUCCGCUUACGGUCUAUGAGGGUACGUGGACAAUACUCUCCCCUCUCGUUGCUAUGCAUCACCAUGAUCUUGCGUGUGCGUAGGAAUUUUUUUGAAAUUACUACGUUCCCCAAUAGUGGUAUCAGAGCCUAGGUUUUAUGCAUUGAUAUUAUAUGCACGAGUAGAACACAAGUGAGUUGUGGGCGAUACAAGUCAUACUGCUUACCAGCAUGUCAUACUUUGGUUCGGCGGUAUUGUUGGAUGAAGUGGCCCGGACCGACAUUACGCGUACGCUUACGCGAGACUGGUUCUACCGACGUUCUUUGCAAACAGGUGGCUGGCGGGUGUCAGUUUCUCCAACUUUAGUUGAACCGAGUGUGGCUACGCCCGGUGCUUGUGAAGGUUAAAACAUCACUAACUUGACGAACUAUCGUUGUGGUUUUGAUGCGUAGGUAAGAACGGUUCUUGCUCAGCCCGUAGCAGCCACGUAAAAUUUGCAACAACAAAGUAGAGGACGUCUAACUUGUUUUUGCAGGGCAUGUUGUGAUGUGAUAUGGUCAAGACGUGAUAAGAUAUAAGUUGUUGUAUGAGAUGAUCAUGUUUUGUUAAAGUUAUCGGCAACUAGCAGAAGCCCUAUGGAUGUCUCUUUGUUGCAUAAGAUGCAAGUGCCAAAUAAUUGCUUUACUUUAUCGCUAUACGAUAGCAAUAGUUGCAAGAGCAAUAGUUGGUGAGACAACCAUGUGAUGACACAUUGAUAUAGAUCAAGAUUAUGAAGAUCAUGGUGUCGUGCUGGUGACGAUAGAGAUCAUGACAGUACUUUGGAGAUGGAGAUCAAAGGCGCAAGAUGAUCAUGGCCAUAUCAUGUCACAUAUUUUGAUUGCAUAUGAUGUUUAUCUAUUAUACAUCUUAUUCUUGCUUUGAUUGACGGUAGCAUUUUAAGAUGAUCUCUCACUAAUUAUCAAGAAGUGUUCUCCCUGAGUAUGCACCGUUGCCAAAGUUCGUCGUGCCCAGACACCACGUGAUGAUCGGGUGUGAUAAGCUCUACGUCCAUCUACAAUGGGUGCAAGCCAGUUUUGCACACGCGGAAUAUUCAGGUUAAACUUGACGAGCCUAGCAUAUGCAGAUAUGGCCUCGGAGCACGAAGACCGAAAGGUCGAGCGUGAAUCAUAUAGUAGAUAUGAUCAACAUAGUGAUGUUCACCAUUGAAAACUACUCCAUCUCACGUGAUGAUCGGUUAUGGUUUAGUUGAUUUGGAUCACGUGAUCACUUAGAUGACUAGAGAGAUGUCUGUCUAAGUGGGAGUUCUUAAGUAAUAUGAUUAACUGAACUUAAAUUUAUCAUGAACUUAGUCCUGGUAGUAUUUUGCAAAUUAUGUUGUAAGAUCAAUAGCUCGCGUUGUUGCUUUCAUAUGUUUAUUUUGAUAUGUUCCUAGAGAAAAUUGUGUUGAAAAAUGUUAGUAGCAAUGAUGCGGAUUGGAUCCGCGGUCUGAGGUUUAUCCUCAUUGUUGCACAGAAGAAUUAUGUCCUUAAUGCACCGCUAGGUGACAGACCUAUUGCAGGAGCAGAUGCAGACGUUAUGAACGUUUGGCUAGCUCAAUAUGAUGACUACUUGAUAGUUUUGUGCACCAUGCUUUAUGGCUUAGAAUCGGGACUUCAAAGAUGUUUUGAACAUCAUGGACCAUAUGAGAUGUUCUAGGAAUUGAAGUUAAUAUUUCAAGCAAAUACCCGAGUUGAGAGAUAUGAAGUCUCCAACAAGUUCUAUAGCUAAAAAUGGAGGAGAAUCGCUCAACUAGUGAGCAUGUGCUCAGAUUGUCUGGAUACUUCAAUCGCUUGAAUCAAGUGAGAGUUAAUCUUCCAGAUAAGAUAGUGAUUGACAGAAUUCUCUAGUCACCAUCACUAAGUUACUAGAACUUCGAGAUGAACUAUAGUAUGCAAGGGAUGACGAAAACGAUUCCUGAGCUCUUCGUGAUGUUGAAAUCAACGAAGGUAGAAAUCAAGAAAGAGCAUCAAGUGUUGAUGAUUGACAAGACCACUAGUUUCAAGAAAAGGGCAAAGGGAAAGAAAGGGAAACUUCAAGUAGAAUGACAAACAAGUUGUCACUCCCGUGAAGAAGACCAAAGCUGGACCAAAACCUGAAACUGAGUGCUUACACUGCAAAGGAAAUGGUCACUGGAAGCGGAAAUGCCCUGAAUAUUUGGUGGAUAAGAAGGAUGGCAAAGUGAACAAGGGUAUAUUUGAUAUACACGUUAUUGAUGUGUGCUUUACUAGUGUUUAUAGUAGCCCCUGAGUAUUUGAUACUUGUUCGGUUGCUAAGAUUAGUAACUCGAAACAGGAGUUACAGAAUAAACAAAGACUAGUUGAAGGGGAAGUGACGAUGAGUGUUGGAAGUAGUUCCAAGAUUGAUAUGAUCAUCAUCGCACACUCCCUAUACUUUCGGGAUUAGUGUUAAACCUAAAUAAAUGUUAUUUGGCGUUUGCGUUGAGCAUGAAUAUGAUUUGAUCAUGUUUAUUGCAAUAUGGUUAUUCAUUUAAAAUUAGAGAAUAAUUGUUAUUCUAUUUAAAUUAAUAAAACCUUCAAUGGUCAUACACCCAACGAAAAUAGUUUGUUGGCUCUCGAUCGUAGUAAUGCACAUAUUCAUAAUAUUGAUGCCAAAAGAUGCAAAGUUAAUAAUGAUAGUGCAACUUAUUUGUGGCACUGCCAUUUUUGGUCAUAUCGGUGUAAAGCGCAUGAAGAAACUCCAUAAAGAUGGAUUUUCAGAAUCACUUGGUUAUGAAUCAUUUGAUGCUUUCGAACCAUGCCUUUUGGGCAAGAUGACUGAAACUCCGUUCUCCAGAACAAUGGAACAAGCUACUGACUUAUUGGAAAUAAUACAUACCGAUGUAUGCGAUCCGAUGAGUGUAGAGGCUCACGGCGUGUAUCAUUAUUUUCUGACCUUCACAGAUGAUUUGAGCAGAUAUGGGUAUAUCUACUUGAUGAAACAUAAGUCUGAAAUAAUUGAAAGGUUCAAAGAAUUUCAGAGUGAAGUGGAAAAAUCAUCGUAACAAGAAAAUAAAGUUUCUGCGAUCUGAUCGCGGAGACGAAUAUUUGACUUACGAGUUUGGUCUUCAAUUAAAACAAUGUGGAAUAGUUUCACAGCUCACGCCACCUGGAACACCACAACGUUAUGGUGUGUCCGAACGUCGUAACCGCACUUUAUUGGAUACGGUGCGAUCUAUGAUGUCUCUUACUGAUUUACCACUAUUGUUUUUGGGUUAUGCAUUAGAGACAGCUGCAUUCACGUUAAAAGGGCACCAUCUAAAUCCGUUGAGACGACACCAUAUGAACUGUGGUUUAGCAAGAAACCCAAGUUGUCGUUUCUUAAAGUUUGGGGCUGCGAUGCUUAUGUGAAAAAGUUUCAUCAUGAUAAGCUCGAACCCAAAUCGGAGAAGUGCGUCUUCAUAGAAUACCCAAAGGAAUUGUUGGGUACACCUUCUAUCACAGACCCGAAGGCAAGAUAUUCGUUGCUAAAAAUGGAUCCUUUCUAGAGAAGGAGUUUCUGUCGAAAGAAGUGAGUGGGAGAAAAGUAGAACUUGAUGAGGUAACUGUACCUUCUCCCGAAUUGGAAAAUUGUUCAUCACUGAAAUCAGUUCCAGUGAUUUGUACACCAAUUAGUGAGGAAGCUAAUGAUGAUGAUCAUGAAACUUCAGAUCAAGUUACUACAGAACCUCGUAGGUCUUACAGAGUACGGUCCGCACCAGCGUGGUACGGUAAUCCUGUUCUGGAAGUCAUGUUACUAGACCAUGAUGAACCUACGAACUAUGAGGAAGCGAUGAUGAGCCCAGAUUCCGCAAAAUGGCUUAAGGCCAUGAAAUCUGAGAUGGGAUCCAUGUAUGAGAACAAAGUGUGGACUUUGGUGGAGUUGCCCGAUGAUUGGCAAGCCAUAUUGUAUAAAUGGAUCUUCAAGAGGAAGACGGACAUUGAUAGUAGUGUUACUAUCUACAAAGCUCGACUUGACGCAAAAAGGUUUUUGACAAGUUCAAGGUGUUGACUACAAUGAGAUUUUCUCAACUGUAGCGAUGCUUAAGUCUGUCCGAAUCAUGUUAGCAAUUGCCACAAUUUAUGAAAUCUGGCAAAUGGAUGUCAAAACUGCAUUCCUUAAUGGUUUUCUCAAAGAAGAGUUGUAUAUGAUGCAACCAGAAGGUUUUGUCAAUCCUAAAGGUACUAACAAAAUGUGCAUGCUCCAGCGAUCCAUCUAUGGACUGGUGCAAGCAUCUCGGAGUUGGAAUAUACACUUUGAUGAGUUGAUCAAAGCAUAUAGUUUUGUACAGACUUACGGUGAAGCCUGUAUUUACAAGAAAGUGAGUGGGAGCACUACAACAUUUCUGAUAAGUAUAUGUGAAUGACAUAUUGUUGAUCGGAAAUAAUGUAGAAUUAUUCUGCAAAGCAUAAAGGAGUGUUUGAAAGGAGUUCUUUAAAAUAAGGACCUCAGUAAAGCUACUUACAUAUUGAGCAUCAAGAUCUAUUGAGAUAGAUCAAGACGCUUGAUAAGAUUUUCAAUGAGUACAUACCUUGACAAGAUUUUGAAGUAGUUCAAAAUGGAACAGUCAAAGAAGGAGUUCUUUCCUGUGUUGCAAGGUGUGAAGUUGAGUAAGACUCAAGACCCGACCAUGGAAGAAAAUAGAAAGAGAAUGAAAAGUCAUUCCCUAUGUCUCAGACAUAGGUUCUAUAAAGUAUGCUAUGCUGUGAACCAGACCUAUUGUAUACUCUGCGCUGGUUUGGCAAAGGAGUACAAUAGUGAUCUAGGAGUAGAUCACUGGACAUUGGUCAAAAUUAUCCUUAGUGGAAUAAGGAUAUGUUUCUCAAUUAUGGAGGUGACAAAAGGUUCGUCGUAAAAGGUUACGUCGAUACAAGUUUUGGCACUGAUCCAGAUGACUCUAAGUCUUAAUCUGGAUACAUAUUGAAAGUGGGAGAAAUUAGCUAGAGUAGCUCCGUGCAGAGUAUUGUAGACAUAGAAUAUUUGCAAAAUACAUACGACUCUGAAUGUGACAGACCCGUUAACUAAACUUCUCUCACGAGCAAAACAUAAUCAUACCUUUGUACUCUUUGGGUGUUAAUCACAUAGCGAUGUGAACUAGAUUAUUGACUCUAGUAAACCCUUUGGGUGUUGGUCACAUGACGAUGUGAACUAUGGGUGUUAAUCAUAUACAGAUAUGAUUAUUGGUGUUAAAUCACAUGGCAAUGUGAACUAGAUUAUUGACUCUAGUGCAAGUGAGAGACUGAAGGAAAUAUGCCCUAGAGGCAAUAAUAAAGUUAUUAUUUAUUUCCUUAUUUCAUGAUAAAUGUUUAUUAUUCAUGCUAGAAUUGUAUUAACCGGAAACAUAAUACAUGUGUGAAUACAUAGACAAACAUAGUGUCACUAGUAUGCCUCUACUUGACUAGCUUGUGAAUCAAAGAUGGUUAAGUUUCCUAGCCAUAGACAUGAGUUGUGAUUUGAUUAACGGGAUCACAUCAUUAGGAGAAUGAUGUGAUUGACUUGACCCAUUCCGUUAGCUAGCACUUGAUCAUUUAGUAUGUUGCUAUUGCUUUCUUCAUGACUUAUACAUGUUCCUGUAACUAUGAGAUUAUGCAACUCCCGUUUACCGAAGGAACACUUUGGGUGCUACCAAACGUCACAAUGUAACUGGGUGAUUAUAAAGGAGUACUACAGGUGUCUCCAAAGGUACAUGUUGGGUUGGCGUAUUUCGAGAUUAGGUUUUGUCACUUCGAUUGUCGGAGAGGUAUCUCUGGGCCCUCUCGGUAAUGCACAUCACUAUAAGCCUUGCAAGCAAUGUAUCUAAUGAGUUAGUUACGGAAUGAUGCAUUAAGGAACGAGUAAAGAGACUUGCCGGUAACGAGAUUGAACUAGGUAUUGGAUAUCGACGAUCGAAUCUCGGGCAAGUAACAUACCGAUGACAAAGGGAACAACGUAUGUUGUUAUGAGGUUUGACCGAUAAAGAUCUUCGUAGAAUAUGUAGGAGCCAAUAUGGGCAUCCAGGUUCCGCUAUUGGUUAUUGACCGAGAAUAGUUCUAGGUCAUGUCUACAUAGUUCUCGAACCCGUAGGGUCCGCACGCUUAACGUUACGAUGACAGUUUUAUUAUGAGUUUAUGAGUUUUGAUGUACCGAAGGAGUUCGGAGUCCCGGAUGAGAUCGGGGACAUGACGAGGAGUCUCGAAAUGGUCGAGAUGUAAAGAUCGAUAUAUUGGACGACUAUAUUCGGAGUUCGGAAAGGUUCCGUGUGAUUUGGGUAUUUUUUGGAGUACCGGAGAGUUACGGAAUUCGUAUUGGGCCUCAUUGGGCCAUACGGGAAAGGAGAGAAAGGGCCAAAAGGGUGGCCGCACCCCUCCCCUUGGACCUGUCCGAAUUGGACUAGGGAGGGGGGCGCCCCCUUCCUUCCUUCUCCUUCUCUCUUCCCUUUCCUUCUCUCCUACUCCUACUACAUGGAAGGGUUCCUAGUUGGACUAGGAAAGGGGGAAUCCUACUCCCGGUGGGAGUAGGACUCCCCUAGGGCGCGCCAUAGAGAGGGCCGGUCCUCCCCUCCUCCACUCAUUUAUAUACGGGGGCAGGGGGCACCCCAUAGACACACAAGUCGAUCUACGGAUCGUUCCUUAGCCGUGUGCGGUGCCCCCCUCCACCAUAUUCCACCUCGGUCAUAUUGUUGCGGAGUUUAGACGAAGCCCUGCGCCGGUAGAACAUCAUCAUCAUCACCAUGCCGUCGUGCUGACGGAACUCAUCCCCGACGCUUUGCUGGAUUGGAGCCCGGGGAACGUCAUCGAGCUGAACGUGUGCUGAACUCGGAGGUGACAUACGUUCGGUACUUGGAUCGGUCGGAUCGUGAAGACGUACGACUACAUCAACCGCGUUGUCAUAACGCUUCCGCUUACGGUCUACGAGGGUACGUGGAGGAUACUCUCCCCUCUCGUUGCUAUGCAUCACCAUGAUCUUGCGUGUGCGUAGGAAUUUUUUUGAAAUUACUACGUUCCCCAACAAGGUGGUGGUGGAGAAAACUGCAGAAAAUGCACUUUCGACACACGAAGCCGGAUGAUCCGGGCCAGGAGCUGGAUGAUCCGGGUGAGUCUGGAUGAUCCGGGUCAGGGUCUAGGUGAUUCGGGCAGGUCAACUGUGCUAGGGGGCUGCUCGAGAUGAACUCGAAAAUGGGGAGAAAUUCGAAGAUUUCGUGGAUUUUGGAUGGAUUUCGAGGGUGAGAUGGUGGGGAAAGGCAAGAUCCACGAGUUACACAACGAAUCCAUGGAUCAAAAUCAACAAAACAUCAUCAAAACCAAGAAAUCACAAAAAAAAUUGGGGGCUAUCUUGGUGGGGAUUUUCGGAUUUAGGACGAAAUCAACAAAAUCAAGCUAGAAAAAGAGGGGUAGGGGCUCCAAAAAUGUGAUCAACGUGGCUCAUGAUACCAAGAUGAUGUAGGGUAGAACCCUAGAGGCCGAUCUUUCACGUUUGGAGAGGAUCCCUACGAAGAAUAUGAAGAACACGAGAAGGGGAAUGAGAGAAAAACACGAGAAAUCACUCAACCAACAUGAACAAAGUCACACAUGUGCUAGAUCAUCGAGGCACGAGGUAAUACAAGAUCCAAAUCCAACAAGAGAUGGUACAAAGGGUAACGGUUCUUCUCCGUGAGGAGGUCUUUAUGGUCUUCUCCGGAUGGAGGUCUUGAAUCUAGGUGGAUCUUCUCCGAAGAGGUGUCGGUCCCUCACGAGGAGCGGAUCUAGAUGGAUGAGCGAGGCUCUAUCUCAAUGCUAAGUCUCGAAAGGAGGAGGAGGAGUCCUAUAUAUAGACUAGGGGGUGAAGGGGUACAUGGGCUUAUCCCAACAUGCGCACGCAGGCGGGGUCCGGAUGAUUCGGAUGAGGAGUCGGAUGAUCCGGGUGAUGAGGAUACAAACCUGGGGUCGGGUCAUAGGCCUGACCUACACGUCCUACCCAAGGUCACUACCCCAGAAGAUAAGAAGACCAAGAAUCCACUCGACGACCUAGUCACUCGACCAUCUUUCCUCACCGUCACUCGACCAUAUGGGGAAUCACUCGACUAUAUCGAAGACCAGGAGUCGAAAGAACGCACAACGGCCGGGCAUUCACUCCUUAGUCUUCAUGAGCAUUAAGAGUAUUUAAGACUGCCGUUACCUGUAACGCCCUUACUUUAUGUACAUUAAGCCCUUUGUAAUGGAGGUGGGCGGGGGUCCUGGCACACUCUAUAUAAGCCACCCCCUCCUCUGGGACAAGGGUUCGCACCCCCUGUAAGACAACACACAUAAUCCAAUCGACCGCCUUCGGGCACCGAGACGCAGGGCUGUUACUUCCUCAGGGAAGGGCCUGAACUCGUAAACCUCAUGUGUACAUCUUCGCCAUAGCUGAGAUCUUGCCUCUCCAUACCUACCCCCCCUUCUACUGUCAGACUUAGAACCACGACAGUUGGCGCUCACCUUGGGGCAGGUGUCUUAGCGACUUAUUGGCGAAGUUGCAAUUUUUUCCGAUCAUCAUCAUGGUUUUCAACGGCGAGAUGGUUGAGGGCCGCGAGAUCCGUCUCGGCGCGCUCGUUUUCGUCGCCGAUGACUCGGCGUGGCUCCAGGAAGCUCCGCUCAAUGUCGAGGCGCUCCCCGUCCGAGGGGCGACGCACUUUCGCGCGUGCGUUCGUGGCGUCCUUCUUCGGCAGCCGUCGACCCAGUAUCAGUCGGCUCCGAUGACAUCUCCCCUCCCCGUUAUUCGUCGCUGCAAGUGAUCCGGUCGGUCGUGGCUUCAGCGAUGGGUGAGGCAUGCGGUGACUCGACGUUCGGCCACUCAUCAAGUCGCGGCAAUCGAGCUCGACGAAACUCUCCACGGCCUGUUCGAUCUGUCAACUGGCUCUGCGAAGACGGCGUCCGAGUGCGAUAGCAGCGAUCCGGCGGCUGAAGUCCUGAUGGUCGAUGGUCCGCGUGGCCCACCUGGCUUUCGCCGCGAGGAUGGGGAAGAGGCUGGUGGCGAUCCAUCACGGGUCCAUGAGGAGUACCAUCCCGAACCUCUCUCUUCGUAGCAGAGAGAGGAUCUUCGUGGUCGCAACAUGGACACACUCCACACGCCCAUCGUUGGGGAAACUCCCGAGGCUCGGGCCUUGGAGGAGGCGCGCUUGGCUAACUUGGCUGAGCGCACUCGACUGGAAAACCUGCAGCGCGCUCUCGACGAGCGAGCCCAGGAUCGAGUUCCUGAUUCCAGUCGACAGCAGCUUUUCCCACCUCCACCUAAGGUAUACCGUACUCCGAUUCAGAACCUCACUGUUGCGGCCCGAAUUGCAGAGUCGAUUCAACCUUCCCAGUCAGAGGCUUGCCGAGGGUUGGAGCAAAUCCGGGCCCUGCUCUGAGCGGCAGGAGAGCAGAAUUCUGCGGUGUCUCAGUCGCGGAAUAGGAUAUACAGCAGAUCCGUGGUAGCAGAUACAAUUCAGUCGGUCCAUAGCCCAAGAUCACCACCACAGCAUAAAGGACGUGGGUAGUACGAUCGUCAGUUCGUCCGCGACAAUCGUCGUCGAGUGCCAACGCCUCCUGCGAGGAGUGCGUCGUACGUGCCUCGGCAGAACGAUGACAGACGCCAUCACAUGGACGAGCGCAGAGUUCCGGUCAACCCAAGGGAGCCGGGCUUCGAUGCGAGAUCCAUUCUCGUCCAAGGCCUGGUCGACCGGAAUAGAGCACACAGAGAAGACUCGGGCAGAGAUCCUCCGAGUGGCAGCAGGUCACAUGUUUCAGGCCCAGAGUGUUUCAGCAGAGCCAUCAGGGCUCCAGUGAUUCCUCCCAACUUCAGAUUAGCAACAGGAGUCAGCAAGUUCACUGGAGAAUCCAAGCCUUAAACUUGGCUUGAGGAUUACCGAGUGGCUGUGCAAAUUGGAGGCGGAAACGACGAGAUAGCAAUGAAGCAUCUCACUCAUAUGUUGGAAGGGUCAGCCCGAGCCUGGUUGACUCAGUUGGCCCCAGACAGUAUACACAGCUGGGAAGAGCUGUCUCGAGUGUUCGUAUGAACCUUUGAGGGCACGUGCAAGCGGCCAGCAGGGCUUCCCGAGUUGCAACAUUGUGUGCAAAAGCCGAAUGAAACUUUGAGGGAAUUCAUUCAGAGGUGGACCACUUUGCAUCACACCGUGGAGAAUGUAUCAGAGCAUCAGGCGGUGUGCGCUUUCAAGGAAGGCGUCAAGUAUCGAGAGUUGAUUCUGAAGUUCGGUCGGACUGGGGAUAUGACAUUGACCCGGAUGAUGGAGAUAGCCACCCGGUAUGCUAACGGAGAAGAAGAGGAUCGACUCUGAAGCGAUAAGAGUAAACCAGUCGGCCAAGAGGCCGGUGGAGGUGGUUCCAGUCGGAAGCAAAAGCGCAAAGCCGAGCCAGCGGCACCUGGGGAGAUUGCAGCAGUGGCUCAAGGAAAGUUUAAGGGAAAACCUAAGGGGCCCUGGCCUCCUAAGAAGGUAAAGGAUCAAGCAGGAAAUGAUGUGCUGGACUUGCCGUGUCACAUCCACACGAAGAAAGAUGAGGAAGGUAAUCUGAUUUACCCAAAGCAUACCACUCGACAAUGUCGACUCCUGAUCCAACAGUUCCGGGAGAAACAUCCCAAUGAGAAGGACAAGGAGUCGGACAGAGAUGAGGAGGAAGAGGAAGAUGACGGUUACCCCAAGGUCAAUUCCACCCUCAUGAUUUUUGCCGAUGUUGAGAGCAAGAGUCCGUUGAAAGUCAUCAACAGAGAAGUGAAUAUGGUUUCUCCGGCGACGAUGACCACGCACCUGAAAUGGUCCCAGACGGCCAUCACAUUCGACCAGUCAGACCAUCCUGCUCGCGUAGUCACCCCCGGGAGGCAAGCGCUGGUGGUCGACCCAGUGGUUGGUGGCACUCGACUGACUAAAGUGCUGAUGGAUGGAGGUAGCGGCCUGAAUAUCCUGUAUGCUGAAACCUUGAAGGGGAUGGGCAUCCCGAUGUCCAAGCUUAGCGAGAGCAACAUGAGCUUUCACGGUGUUAUUCCCGGAAAGAAGGCCGAGUCACUCGGCCAGAUCACUCUCGACGUGGUUUUCGGUGACUCCAAGCAUUACCGGAAAGAAAAGUUGACAUUUGAAGUCGUAGAUUUCCAGAGUGCUUAUCAUGCCAUCCUGGGGAGACCGGCGUACGCACGUUUCAUGGCUCGACCGUGUUAUGUGUACCUCAAGCUGAAGAUGCCUGGCCCCAAAGGUGUGAUCACGGUCACCUAGCAAUCGGCAAAAAGCAGAAGAAUGUUUCCAGAAAGGUUCCAAAAUCGCCGAUGCACAUAUGGCGGCAGUUGAAUUCCAAGAGUAUCAGAAGAGUGCAGAUCCGAGUGAUUUGCUCCGAGCCAAGAAGCCUGCGACAGACUCUGCAUUUCAGUCGACUGGUGAAACAAAGCCGAUUCAUAUCACCCGACCGAUCCCAAUGCUGCACCGACUCAUAUAUCAAUGACGCUCGACAGCAAAUAGGAAGAAGCGCUCAUCCAGUUCCUCCGUGAGAAUUGGGACAUCUUUGCAUGGAAACCCUCUAACAUGCCAGGUGUACCCAGAGAACUGGCUGAGCACCGUUUGUGUGUCAACCCCAAAGUAAAACCUGUCAAAGAGCACCUAGGGCGGUCCACCAUUCAGAAGAGAAAAGCAAUCAGCGAAGAAGUGGCUCGACUGUUGGUAGCAGAGUUCAUCCGUGAAAUCUACCACUCCGAGUGGCUUGCCAAUGUCAUCAUGGUCCCCAAGAAGGACGAUUCACUUUGCAUGUGCAUUCAUUUCAAGCAUAUCAAUCGGGCCUGCCCGAAAGAUCACUUCCCUCUCCCCCGUAUCGAUCAGAUUGUUGACUCGACUGCGGGGUGUGAGCGCUUGUCUUUUUUAGAUGCAUAUUCCGGGUAUCAUCUGAUCCGACUAUAUGGUCCCGAUGAAAUAAAAACAGCCUUCAUCACCCCAUUCGGGUGCUUUUGCUAUGUCACCAUGCCAUUCAGUCUUAAAAAUGCCGGAGCCACGUUCGUGAGAAUGAUCCAGAAGUGCCUACUCACCCAAAUCAGUCGGAAUGUGGAGGCACACAUGGAUGACAUCGUGGUCAAGUCUCGCAAAAGUUCCGACCUAUUGACUGAUCUCGCAGAAACCUUUGCCAACCUAAGAAGGUAAGAUAUCAAGCUUAAUCCGUCAAAGUGCACAUUCGGAGUUCCAGGAGGAAAGCUGCUCGGUUUUGUCGUUUCCAAACGAGGGAUCGACGCCAAUCCAGAAAAAGUUGAUACCAUCCUCCGAAUGAAACGCCCCGUGCGAGUGCAUGAUGUUCAGAAGCUGAUUGGUUGUUUGGCCGCCUUGAGUCGAUUCAUCUCUCAUCUCGGUGAAAAGGCCUUGGCUCUUUACCGAUUGAUGAAGAAAUCUGAUAAGUUCGAGUGGUCUGAAGAAGCUGAUGCAGCGUUUGCAGAGCUCAAAGCCCUGCUUUCCACCCAGCCGGUGCUCGCUGCGCCAAUCAGCAAAGAGCCUUUACUGCUUUACAUUGCAGCCACUAGACAAGUUGUCAGUACAGUACUCACGGUCGAUCAAGAAGAGGAAGGAAAAGCUUACAAGGUUCUACGCCCAGUUUAUUAUCUCUCUGAAGUUUUGACUCCGUCCAAGCAACGCUAUCCUCAUUAUCAGAAGUUUGUCUAUGGAAUUUACAUGACUAUGAAGAAGGUUGCACAUUACUUCUCUGAUCACUCUAUUAUAGUCGUCAGCGACGCACCGUUAUCUGAGAUCCUAAAUAACAGAGAUGCAACUGGUCGAGUAGCAAAAUGGGCGAUUGAACUCCUUCCACUGGACAUCAAGUUUGAGCCAAAGAAAGCUAUCAAGUCCCAAGCAAUCGCAGAUUUCCUUGCCGAGUGGAUUGAACAGCAACUACCGACUCAAGUUCACUCGGAACAUUGGACUAUGUUCUUCGAUGGCUCCAAGAUGCUAAAUAGAUCAGGUGCUGGAGUAGUAUUGGUGUCCCCCCGUGGAGACAAGCUCAAUUACGUUCUCCAGAUUCACUUUGAUUCCUCCAAUAAUGAAGCAGAAUACAAAGCACUUCUAUAUGGGUUGCGUAUGGCCAUUUCACUUGGCGUCCGUCGCCUCAUGGUGUAUGGCGAUUCAAAUUUGGUGGUUAACCAGGUGAUGAAGGAAUGUGAUGUCAGAAGUCCAGCCAUGACUGGUUACUGCAAUGCUGUCAGGAAGCUGGAAAAGAAGUUUGAGGGGUUGGAACUUCACCAUGUGCCCCGAUUGAAAAAUCAAGCUGCUGAUGAGUUGGCGAAGAUAGGUUCCAAGAUAGAGGCCAUCCCCCGCAAUGUAUUACUGGAACAUAUCCAUUCACCUUCAGUUCAGGAGGAUCCCUUCACAGAAGAGUUGCCACAGCCCAAGAGUGCUGCAGAUCCGACUGAAGUUGACAUCCCAGCCGGGGUCGACUUAGUCAUGGAGGUUCUGGUCAUCACUCCCGACUGGACAGUGCCGUACAUCGCAUACAUUCUGAGGAAGGAACUUCCGGAGGAUGAAGAAGAGGCUCGACAGGUCGUCCGGUGAUCUAAGGCUUUUACUGUGAUAAAGGGGCAGUUGUUCAGAGAAAGUGCAACUGGAGUUUGCCAGAAGUGUAUCACACCAGAGGAAGGUCGAGUGAUCCUCAAUGAUAUCCACUCGGGGACCUGUGGUCACCAUGCGUCCUCUUGGACCAUCGUGGCCAAAGCAUACCGAGCCGGAUUUUACUGGCUGCGGGCCAACGAGAUGGCUAAGGAAAUAGUGGACAAGUGUGAAGGCUGCCAGUUUUACUCCAACAUGUCUCAUAAACCUGCGUCGGCUCUAAAAACAAUUCCACUCGUCUGGCCUUUUGCCGUCUGGGGACUGGAAAUGGUUGGACCUCUGAGGACAGGCAGGAGUGGAUUUACUCAUGUGCUGGUAGCAGUCGACAAGUUCACCAAGUGGAUCGAAGCCAAGCCCAUCAAAAGCCUUGAAGCAAGCACAACCGUGAGUUUCAUCAGGGAACUUAUAUUCAGAUAUGGCAUUUCGCACAGCAUCAUCACGGAUAACGGCUCGAACUUCGAUUCUGAAGAAUUCAAAGCCUUUUGUGCCUCCCAAGGCAUGAGAGUCGACUACGCUUCGGUCGCUCAUCCUCAGUCGAAUGGGCAGGCCGAGCGGGCAAAUGGAUUGAUUCUCAAAGGAUUGAAGCCUCGGUUGAUGCGUGACCUGAAACAUGCAGCAGGAGCCUGGGUCGACGAGCUCCCAUCCGUACUGUGGGGGUUGAGGACAACCCCUAACCAGUCAACUGGAAGGACUCCAUUCUUCUUAGUCUAUGGAGCUGAAGCCAUGCUCCCCAUUGAUUUGCUCCACAAUGCACCUCGAGUCGAACUCUUCUCAAAAGAAGAAGCAGAACAUGCUCGGCAAGAUGCAGUCGAUCUCUUGGAAGAAGAAAGAGAGAUGGCUUUGAUCCGGUCGACCAUUUAUCAGCAAGACUUGCGUAGAUUUCAUGCUAGAAACGUGAGGGGUCGAGCAUUUCAAGAAGGAGACCUGGUUCUUCGAGUGGACCAGCAAAGACCUCACAAGCUUGCUCCUGCUUGGGAAGGCCCUUUCGUCAUCACCAAGGUGCUCCACAACGGAGCAUACCGUCUCUUCAACGUCGAACAUAAUAAAGAUGAGCCGCGCGCCUGGAAUGCGGAUCUGCUCCGCCCUUUCUAUUCUUAAAUAUUUAGAAUGAUGAGAUGUAAUAAGAAAUACCUUUUAGAUUGACUAUCAAAAGACAUAAUUUACUUCUUCCAAACGAUUGUUGUUUAUUUCUUUUGUACGAAUUACCUUAGCUGCGAAUCUAUUUCGCCUAAGACGAAGUGAUAAAAAUCCUACCGAGUGAUGAGUCUGCCUCUCACUCGGGGGCUUAGCUGCAGCCCAGUGCUCUCCUAAGUGAUAAAAAUCCUACCGAGUGAUGAGUCUGCUUCUCACUCGAGGGCUUAGCUGCAUCCCAGUGCUCGCCUAAGUGAUAAAAAUCCUACCGAGUGAUGAGUCUGCCUCUCACUCGGGGGCUUAGUUGCAGCCCAGUGCUCGCCUAAGUGAUAAAAAUCCUACUAAGUGAUGAGUCUGCCUCUCACUCAGAGGCUUAGCUNNNNNNNNNNNNNNNNNNNNNNNNNNNNNNNNNNNNNNNNNNNNNNNNNNNNNNNNNNNNNNNNNNNNNNNNNNNNNNNNNNNNNNNNNNNNNNNNNNNNNNNNNNNNNNNNNNNNNNNNNNNNNNNNNNNNNNNNNNNNNNNNNNNNNNNNNNNNNNNNNNNNNNNNNNNNNNNNNNNNNNNNNNNNNNNNNNNNNNNNNNNNNNNNNNNNNNNNNNNNNNNNNNNNNNNNNNNNNNNNNNNNNNNNNNNNNNNNNNNNNNNNNNNNNNNNNNNNNNNNNNNNNNNNNNNNNNNNNNNNNNNNNNNNNNNNNNNNNNNNNNNNNNNNNNNNNNNNNNNNNNNNNNNNNNNNNNNNNNNNNNNNNNNNNNNNNNNNNNNNNNNNNNNNNNNNNNNNNNNNNNNNNNNNNNNNNNNNAAGUGAUAAAAAUCCUACCGAGUGAAUGAGUCUGCCUCUCACUCGGGGGCUUAGCUGCAGUCCCAUACUCGCCUAAGUUUGAAAAAUCCUACCGAGUGGUGAGCAAACCUCUCACUCGGGGGCUUAGCUGCGGUCCCGUACUCGCCUAAGUUUGAGAAAUCCUACCGAGUGGUGAGAAAACCUCCCACUCGGGGGCUUAGCUGCAGUCCCGUACUCGCCUAAGUUUGAAAAAUCCUACCGAGUGGUGAGCAAACCUCUCAUUCGGGGGCUUAGCUGCAGUCGCGUACUCGCCUAAGUUUGAAAAACCUUACCAGGUGGUUGACAGGAACGUCAAGACCAUUGCUGAGUGCCUUGCUGAUGAGCUGAUCAAUGCUACUCAAGGAUCAACCAAUUGGUUGACAGGAAUGUCAAGACCAUUGCUGAGUGUCUUGCUGAUGAGCUGAUCAAUGCUACUCAAGGAUCACCCGAUCGGCUGACUGGAACGUCAAGACCAUUGUUGAAUGCCUUGUUGAUGAGCUGAUCAAUGCUACUCGAGGAUCGCCCGAUCGGUCGACUGGAACGCCAAGACUAUGGUUGAAUGCCUCGCUGAUGAGCUGAUCAAUGUUGCUCAAGGAUCGCCCGAUCAGUCGACUGACCAUCCUUCUCCAGAAGCUGCAUCAAGCAAACAGACAACAAUUCGAGAGAAAAAUGAAUUUCGUUCGAAGAAAGACGCAAUAUAUGAGAUGAUAAAUCCAAAGUUUCUUAACCACGGAAUAAAGUGCUCGGGCAUCAGGCCCGAAGGAGUUUUAAUGGUUACAAAUUCACUCGGCAUCUCGAGGCAAAUAAAAGUGAGGCAUAUGUUUUUUAAUCACUCGGCUGGAGAAGGACUGGCCGGGUCGUAGAAGCUGUCGAGGUCGAUGCUGUCAGCGAUGCGAGUGGCUGCCUCGAGGAAGGUGUCCAUGAAGUCCUGGAAGGAGUACUUCUUAGUGUUUGCCACUUUGAGAGCUGCCAGUUUGUCUUCCUUAGCCUCCUUGCAGUGCACUCGGACCAAAAACAAGGCGACAUCAGCACCACAGCGGGCGGAAGAUUUCUUCCACUCUUGCACUCAGCCUGGAAUCUGAUUUAGUCGAGUCAUCAAAGACUCGAGAUCUUGAGACAUCUCCGCCCGAGGCCAGAGUUCAGCAUCCACCUGGGCCAUCGCCGCCUUCAGCCGAGCCAGAUAAGCAACCGCGCCAUCUAGGCGCGACUCCAAUCGAAGCAGAUUCAUUGCGGUGUCAUCUUUCACCGGAUAGUUGAUGAGGUCGAGACCCGUCUCCACCCGCCCAGUUUCAGCCUCAAAGUCCUGACACAGUUCUGUCCCAUUGCAAAAAGUGAUGAAUCGACGGCGUGACAACAAAGUUCAAUCGGCAACAAAGUGAUGAGUCGACUGAUCAUACCUUCAAGCUUCAGAACAAGUUUGGUGGCGAGUCGCUCCAGAUAGGACUCUAGCUUGUCGGUCUUGGUCUUGAGGCCGCCAACUUCAGUGGUCAGAUUUUCUUUGUCCUUCUUCAGCUGCUCGACUUCCCGAUUGGCGUCUGAGAUGGCAGCCUUGAGCUUCGCAAUCUCCUCCUCCAGUUUGCUGACCGAAGCCAGCUUCUGGUCCGCAAGCUUCGUCUUCUCGCGUGCUUCCUUCUGAGCGGUUGCCAGAUCCAGAUCCUUCUGCUCCAAAGCCUCCUUCAUCCUAUCUAAAGAAACAACACUCUUCAGACGGGACUGAAGUUGACGAUUUUCACUAUGCACAUCUGCUCGUGUGAAAUCAGUUGGUUCAAAGAGACUGAAGGAAAAACUAGUGUGAAGCAUGAAGCUGCAAAACAGGCAAAAUGGUCGAGUGAUUACCUCCCAUGAUAGCCGUUUCUUGUCGGGCUGUCUUCAGAUUCUUCUUCGCAAGUUCGAGGUCAAGUUCAACGCUGAUAUGCUUCUUCUUUAACUUGAUGAGCCGAGCUCCAAGAUCACAAGACCUCUGCAGCCAGAAAGACAGACAUGUCAGUCGACAGAUACAAGCAAUAGUGAAAGCAAAGAAUUACUCUAAGACUACUGCCGAGUCAAAUAUUCAACAGUAGUCUCGGGGACUACACCCAGUGGGUGCACUUAGCGUGCCCCACUGGAUCGGAUCAAUACUCAGCGUGAGUUCAAAAAAAGAAAAAGAGACAGAUACAUCAUUAGACCUCAGUCGACUGCCAGCAACCGACCAUGGUCUCGGGGACUACACCCAGUGGGUGCGUCUCCAAGUGCCCCCACUGAUUCGAAAAAGUGCAGAAUUGAAGAUUUCCUGAGUUCUAAGCAAAGGAACACCCAGUGGGUGAUCAGAUAUAAAGCGACAUUCAAAAGUUCAGUCAGAAUUUUGCUGACCUGGACAUUGGUCUGAAGGGCAGUGCUGGCAUUGUAAGCUAUCUGACUGGCUUCAUGCAUCACUUUCACUUGCUCCAUGACAAGAUUCGCCUGGCGAAGAGCUUCCCUAGCGGCACCCGGCGAGUCGUUUGGAGUCUGAUAUGUAGCAAAGAGGAAUGGCUCCAGAGGGGUCGAAGUAGUUGCCGGGUCGGAUGAGUGGAGUUGCACCGGUGCAGCAGGCGUCUGUGCAGUCGGCCCCGACGGACGAUAAGUCGUCAACGGGUUAGCGAAUGUGACGUUGGUCCGGACUAUCGCCUCGGCGCCGGUGUCGACUGAGGGACCUGGACUUCAAGCUUCUUCCUUCUUGAGCCUCCACUCUUCUUCCUCCUCUCCUAUAGAGGCACUUCUUCUUCGUCAUCAGGAAGCACAACAAUAUCUUGCGGAGCUACAUAAGAAGAGAAGUAUCAAAUUUUCAGUCAAUGGAUCACCCACUCGACUAAACAGAACUUGGUCGAAUGAACUUACCAGCUCGCGAGGUGGCCUCUUCGUCUCCUGGGGCCUUGUCAACGUCCAUGUCAGUAUCAACAGAGGUGGGGCUGGAAGGACACAAGAAUUGGUCGGUCAGAUCAAGAAAAUCUUCAGUCGACUUACAAAAACACAAACAAGAUACCCACCCUGAGGCAACGGGGAUGUCCAUCUUGAUGCGCGGAAAUGUCUUCCGGGCCUUGGAGGGAGCAACUUUAGGCUGCUUGGCCACCUUCUCCGUCGGCUCCGGAGUCGACGUCCGAGUGCGCUUCUGAGUAUUGGCACUCGGACCCACACCUUUCCCGCGCCCGCCAGCCGGAUCAUGCUGCUGUUUGGAUCGACGUUCGGAGCGCGGCCGCGAGUCGACUUCCUCCUCCUCGUCCGACUCCUCGCUCUCCUCCUCGUCGUCGUCUCCCUGAGAAUCCCACUCGGCACUAUCUUCCGUGCUGUCCUCCCCCUCCUGGGCCUGUUCCAAAGCCUGUUCACCAUUGGGCAUCGAAUGCAUCUCAGUGAACGCCUGCAGAACAAAUUGGUCGAACAAGAGUCGGUCAAUACCAAGUGCAGUCGGAGCAUGAAUGAGAAGCAGCCGGAACAAAAAGCAUACCUUGUCGGGUGGGUUUACGCUGCUAAAGGGAACAACUCGCCUGGAUCCUCUGGGAUUGUCCUGAUUGCCUGUGAUGCUCCUCAGCCACAAAGCCACCGUUUCAGACGGCACUUCUUCUGGAUGAACCAGAGCGGUGUCGUCCGGUCCGGAAUACAGCCACAUCGGGUGAUCGUGGGCCUGGAGAGGCUGGAUGCAUCAACUGAGGAACACCUCCAACAGAUCGAGACCCGUAACGCCAUCAUUGAUAAGCAGAACCACCCUAUCUACCAACAUCCUCGUCUCCAUGGUCUCGCCAAUAGUCACUUUCAGUGGAGCAGGAGUCUGGACUCGGUCAAAUGAGAAGUGGGGAAGGCCGGUCGACUGACCUGGAGACGCUACAUCUUGGCAAUAGAACCAAGUCGACUGUCAGCCUCUAACAGAGUCAGGAAGAGUCUGGACUUGCAGAAAGCACUCGCGAGGCCCCGAAGCUCGGAACAAGUUCAGUUUCGAGUAGAUGAUUUUUCAUAUAAAAAACUUUUUCAUCCGAGUUAGUAUGCAAAAGUUAUGCCCAUUUUUACAAAUUCUCGAGAGAUUUUGCAAAUAAAGUCGAAAUUCAUAUUUGCAAAUUUUCCCAACAACUAGACCACAUAUCACAUGGGAAACUUAUUUUAUUUUAUUUUUUUGACAUUUUCAUCAUUUUCUUUUAUUUAUUUUAAAACUGAAAAGNNNNNNNNNNNNNNNNNNNNNNNNNNNNNNNNNNNNNNNNNNNNNNNNNNNNNNNNNNNNNNNNNNNNNNNNNNNNNNNNNNNNNNNNNNNNNNNNNNNNNNNNNNNNNNNNNNNNNNNNNNNNNNNNNNNNNNNNNNNNNNNNNNNNNNNNNNNNNNNNNNNNNNNNNNNNNNNNNNNNNNNNNNNNNNNNNNNNNNNNNNNNNNNNNNNNNNNNNNNNNNNNNNNNNNNNNNNNNNNNNNNNNNNNNNNNNNNNNNNNNNNNNNNNNNNNNNNNNNNNNNNNNNNNNNNNNNNNNNNNNNNNNNNNNNNNNNNNNNNNNNNNNNNNNCCGGUACUAAUGCCUCAAACCCCAUUAGUACCGAUUGGUGGCUCGAACCGGGGCUAAAGGUCUAACCUUUAGUCUCGGUUGGUGCCACGAACCGGUACUAAUGGGCAUCGCACCCUUUAGUCCCGGUUCGUGGCACCAACCGGAACUAAAAGGUCCAGACGAACCGGGACAAAUGGCCCACGUGGCCCCUGGGCUCACGAACCGGGACUAAUGCCCCCAUUAGCCCCGGUUCUGGACUGAACCGGGACUAAUGGGCUAACCCGGCCUAGACCAAAGCCCUCUUUUCUACUAGUGUACUGCAGGCCGGCUCUUCGAGAACAGAUCGACCCCAGAACAGGUAUGAAAUUAUACUGUCAUUUAUCGUUUUGUUUUGGUUCAACCGGAACCACUUCAUGAAAACAAAACGGCGAAUUUUCUCUGAGCAGUGACAUUUAGUUUUCUUGCACCCACUUCUGCUCAUAGUUGUCCAGGAACUAUCUUUAUUUUUUUUGGGCACAUAGUGAGCUUGAACUUGGUGCCUUUCUUCAUUAUUAUGUUAAACUGGGCAUUAUGCAGAUUUUUGGUUUUUUACUUGAAGAUUUUAUUGGAUCAAUUAUGUAUUUUUUUAUGAGUGGUACAUGUGCUUUUUAUUUGAAACUUUUUGCUCUGGGGAUUUUUAGCUUACCACUUAAUGUGUACCCUUGCUGCAUCUAAGUACUUGUUUUAUGCUGAUCUUCCUGAUCAGAUGGCUGCAGUUGGCCCCGAACUUAAACCAACUUUUCAACAGCAGCAGUUUUUUGUACUUCUAGGAAGUAAACCUCCCCGGACCCAUCCUUUGAUAGGAAAAAAGAGGCCAAUGGCCUACAAAACAUUCAGUUUAUACAAACAUCAAAAAUCAGAAUCAACUAAGGGAAACAGCAGAUUUUUUACAACACUUUUUACCAAGUUUGAAUACUAAUCAGGGUGGUGUACUGCUACUGCAGGCCGGCUCUUCAAAAACAGAUCAACGCCACCACAGGUACGGAAUUAUACAAUCAUUUAUCUUUUGUUUUGGUUUAACUGAAAUGACUUCAUGAAAAUGAAAUGGCAGAAAUUUUCUGUGACAAGUAACAAUGUAACAUUCAGUAACGGUUACCGUACAUCCUAUUCUCUUUAUGUCUGUACAGAAAUUAUGUUUGUUUUUUCGAGCACAUGUAUGUUAAACUGAGAAUGGGCUUAUAGGCCAUCCCUUUGAUCAUCCAUUGUAGUAAUUUCGUUAACUAAAAAUGUGCCUAGCUAGCCACUUAUUCCCAGUUCCCCACUAGGACAGAAAUGAACAUGUGCAUGUAAAUCAUUAGGAAACUGCUGCUACUAUUCUCUGCAGCUAAAAAUCGACGAGCUGCAAUCAGUUUUGCCGACAUCUUAGUCAGAGGAACUCUCAAUUUUCUUCUGCUGCUAGCUUGUUUAGCUGACUGAGAUCGGUGUUAUAUGCUAGUACUUUUUUAACUUGUGAAUUAUAUGCGUCUCUUGAUACAUGUAUGUAUUGCUUUCGGGGGUGAUUUCUGCUACUGUGUAUUGCAGUUGGUCUGUUCUUGUCCUGGCCUACAUGUGAUCUCACAAGCUACUGCUGCUAACUAAUUAACUGCUUCAUUGCAUAUUGCUUCUUUUGAUAAGAAAUGUUUGUUCAACUUGUAUGCUCACAGAGUGCAUAUUUCGAUAACUUACAUUUUCAACACUGUUGGCUGAAAUUAGUAUAAUUUCCCCCAUAUAUAUGAUGUUGGAAUUCUUGUGGGUGUCCAUAUACAAGAAAAUUAUUACUAUCUUUCAGUAUGCUCGUAUUCAUCUUCUUAAGUAGCCAAGUUCUUUAGGAUUAUCAAUCCUCUUAUUUAUGACUAUAUGCUCAUUGUAUGUUCCUUCUUCACAAGUGAGAUGUCUCUUGUAACUAAAUUUUGUGGGAGCAUAUUUGCAGGCCUAGUGUAUUCUAUAUUGAAAUGGUUAAGUUUGCCACUGAAGUGUUAGGAAUGACCAUUAUGAUGCUUCAAACUGUGUAUUCAGAAUUUCAGAUAUAUUUACUUUUGUUGUGGUGUGAGUUAAUUCCAACUUUUAAGGACAGACGCAGCUACUUUUUUUCUGUAGUAUAUGGUUUUUAUUACUUCAUAUAACAAGUUUAUGGUCCAUGGACAAAUCGCUACAAAAAUAUCUUCAACAUGUCCAAAGGGAGUUUUGUAUAAAAUCAACUUUCUAAGUUCAACCUAAACGACUACAAGAAAACAAAUGGGUGAAUUUUCUGUGACUUGUAAGAUUUACAAGCUUUCUUACGUCCUUUUUCGGUAUGUAUAGUGUAUGAGAAAUUUUCUGUACUUUUAUUAGCACAUAUGGUUGUUUCAAUAUAUGAUAAACUGAAUAUGACAUUUACGGUUAUAUUUUAUCAUCAUAUUGAUAUUUAUUCCUAGCCACUUGAUGUGAUCUUGCUUGAAAAGAUUGCAUAUUAUGAUCUAUCAUGAGUGAAAUUUAAACAUAUUUUCUCCGUGUGGGUGCAGCUAUAACAUCGGCAGUUCAAAGAUAAGGCGCAAUGGCAGGGAACAGAGGAAAAGGGAUAGUUGAAGAAGCUGCACCCAUCCUUGACAUAGGUGUUACUAGCUACCUCUACUGAAAUAUGCAUGCCUUAUUAUCAUAAGCACUGUCUUAGUACAAAAAUGUGUGUAGAUCUUAAGAGACAAUAUUCCCCAUGGCUGCCUUCAUUAGUUACUUUGAUGAUAAUCAAAUGUGCAUGGUGCACCAUAUGAAAAACACAAUAUCUUCUGUAUAGAUGUACAACAACAACAACAACAAAGCCUUUAGUCCCAAACAAGUUGGGGUAGGCUAGAGGUGAAACCCAUAAGAUCUCGCAACCAACUCAUAGCUCUGGCACAUGGAUAGCAAGCUUCCAUGCACCCCUGUCCAUAGCUAGCUCUUUGUCGAUACUCCAAUCCUUUAGGUCUCUCUUAACGGACUCCUCCCAUGUCAAAUUCGGUCGACCCCGCCCUCUCUUGACAUUCUCCGCACGCUUUAGCCGUCCGCUAUGCACUGGAGCUUCUGGAGGCCUGCGCUGAAUAUGCCCAAACCAUCUCAGACGAUGUUGGACAAGCUUCUCCUCAAUUGGUGCUACCCCAACUCUAUCUCGUAUAUCAUCAUUCCGGGCUCGAUCCUUCCUCGUGUGGCCACACAUCCAUCUCAACAUACGCAUCUCCUCCACACCUAACUGUUGAACAUGUCGCCUUUUAGUCGGCCAACACUCCGCGCCAUACAACAUUGCGGGUCGAACCGCCGUCCUGUAGAACUUGCCUUUUAGCUUUUGUGGCACUCUCUUGUCACAGAGAAUGCCAGAAGCUUGGCGCCACUUCAUCCACCCGGCUUUGAUUCGAUGGUUCACAUCUUCAUCAAUACCCCCAUCCUCCUGCAACAUUGACCCCAAAUACCGAAAGGUGUCCUUCCGAGGUACCACCUGGCUAUCAAGGCUAAUCUCCUCCUCCUCACACCUAGUAGUACUGAAACCGCACAUCAUGUACUCGGUUUUAGUUCUACUAAGCCUAAACCCUUUCGAUUCCAAUGUUUGUCUCCAUAACUCUAACUUCCUAUUUACCCCCGUCCGACUAUCGUCAACUAGCACCACAUCAUCCGCAAAGAGCAUACACCAUGGGAUAUCUCCUUGUAUAUCUCUUGUGACCUCAUCCAUCACCAAUGCAAAAAGAUAAGGGCUCAAAGCUGACCCCUGAUGCAGUCCUAUCUUAAUCGGGAAGUCAUCGGUGUCGACAUCACUUGUUCGAACACUUGUCACAACAUUAUCGUACAUGUCCUUGAUGAGGGUAAUGUACUUUGCUGGAACUUUGUGUUUCUCCAAGGCCCACCACAUGAAAUUCCGCGGUAUCUUAUCAUAGGCCUUCUCCAAGUCAAUGAACACCAUAUGCAAGUCCUUCUUUUGCUCCCUAUAUCUCUCCAUAAGUUGUCGUAUCAAGAAAAUGGCUUCCAUGGUCGACCUCCCAGGCAUGAAACCAAACUGAUUUUUGGUCACGCUUGUCAUUCUUCUUAAGCGGUGCUCAAUGACUCUCUCCCAUAGCUUCAUUGUAUGGCUCAUCAGCUUAAUUCCACGGUAAUUAGUACAACUCUGAACAUCCCCCUUGUUCUUGAAGAUUGGUACUAAUAUACUCCGUCUCCAUUCUUCUGGCAUCUUGUUUGCCCGAAAAAUGAGGUUGAAAAGCUUGGUUAGCCAUACUAUCGCUAUGUCCCCGAGACCUUUCCACACCUCAAUGGGGAUACAAUCAGGGUCCAUCGUCUUGCCUCCUUUCAUCCUUUUUAAAGCCUCCUUCACCUCAGACUCCUGGAUGCUGGUCUCAUCAAAGGAGUCGUCCAGUUCAAUGGUAGAACUCUCAUUCUUCCUAUUGAACAGCUUGUCGAAGUACUCCCGCCAUCUAUGCUUAAUCUCCUCGUUCUGUAUAGAUGUAAUUAUUCUAAAUCAUGUUUCAUUGUGUAUACAGAAUAUCCCUUCUCCGAUUGCCACCUUUAAGAUGGGAAACAUACACAAGCUCUCUCAGAACUACGAGAAGUGUGUGAAGGAUAUUAGAGCUGCUAUGGAUACCACCGAUGUGAAGUUUACAAUCGUUGAUGGUGGAAAGGACACAACUGUUCCUGUCACUCCGGGCGAAGAUAACACAAGCCGUGGGGUAUAUGUGAUUAAAAUCACAGACGGCCAGUACAACCUCUCUCUGGUGCCUACUAAACACCAGGCUUGGUUCAGGGGGAUUGUUACUAACAAUGGAGGCAGAUAUGAGAUUGACAAGAUGCUAACCAAGAUGAUGAAGGGCUCUACAUCACUUCAUACCGAUGGGCAGUAUCCACAUUUGCUGUCUGGUGGAGAUAAAGUUGAAGCACUAAAGGUGGGAUUUCAUCGAUUGCUCCAUGCCUUCCCUGCUUUGGCUACUCUUGGGAAGGAUGAGAACAAAAAGGUCACGUCCGAGCAUAAGGAGGCUUUGGCUGUGCUAAUAGUCAUGUUCUUCGAAGGGCCACGUUUCCCUGAUGUGGAAAAUUUGGUGAAGCGCCUACUGACCCGUAUGGAGGACGGUGUGGUUGGGGAAUCGAAUGGAAAACUGAUAACUAGCUGGUGUUAUACCAGCGAAAUUUUUUACGAUGCAACUAAGAAUGAUAGAAGAAUUGUCAUCUCACAUGAGACCUCGGAGGUGGUGAAGAAGGUUAAAAAUGGUUUCCGAAUCUUGUGCCGGACAAUGUGGGAUAAAUCCUUGGAUGGACAGGGAGGCACCACAGGAAGCAGCAAAGGCAGAGCCAGCAGCAGCAAAAGCAAGAAGUGAAGAAGCAAAAGCAAGAAAUGAAGAAUUGAAGGGUUAGUACCUCACUAAUCAAUCCGCUCGUUGUAUGAAAUGGACUCUACUGCUCGCACUAUUUCCAUUACUAUGCUUCAUUACUUAGUGAAGAUUGCAGUGAACCACUCUAUGUAUUGUCUACUACUCGGUUGAUAUUCUGUACGAUUAAUAUCCUGCAGUUAGUUUGUGUGUUCACUUGACGUUCUCUUUUGCACAAGCUAACUAAAUGCACAUGUUAUAUGUACGAGUUUUGCUUAUGUCCGUAUUCUUCUUCUUCACAUGAUGCACAAAAUGUUUAAAUUUGAUGGUACAUAAGAUAAAAUAUUGUAAACAGAAUAAUAUAAGAUGCAGCAUACAUGGCAGAUUCUUCCGGUCCUCAGUGUUUCAAGUCAUGUAAACUCUUCACAGCCUUCCAGGUAACCUUGACAGAAAUUUUUGUGGAAUCAUGAAGAUACACCACUUCAUGCACUGUUCCAUGAUACCCCGAACCAAAUCGACCUUCCCACAUACAACACGGCAGCUCUUGAGAAAAACCACCAUC
rnacentral:lncRNA from 1 species